UGGCGUUGAGCUAAGCUCCAAGUGAGCGAUGAGGGUACAACCCAAGCUGGUGAAGGUUCCCGAUGACAGGCAGCUUUCGAGGAGAAGGUGGCGAUGAGUUUGGUGUGGAGGUGAAGGACCAUUUGUAUAUGAGGAUGAGGAAAAUGGCCACUAGUAGGAAAUAUUUGAAGGAAAAUGGUUGCAGUAAGCAUGAUAGGGUUUCAGUUAUUAUUUUCAUCAGCUCCACCAUUUUCUUUUCUGUUAAUCUCUUCUCCGUCUUCCCUAACCUACAGACAAUAUAUAUAAGAUCGAUCGGGCUCCGACCUUCGACGAAAGAGGUUGGACAGCAAUUAUCAAAGGAAAAAGAAUAAAGUAACACAAUAAUAAUAAUCUGUAUUGUAGAAAUAGACUGAAUAAACAAACAAAUUACCAGAUCAAUUUUAAUCAAGGAAGCCAUAAAAUGCGGGAAACCUGGUCGAAACUAUUUAUUUAUGAAUUUUGCAUUUGUUUUCUGAGAAUGACAGCUCACGGACCAAUAAUUAUUCUUUCCAAUAUUGAUUAAUUUGUUUUCAACACAAUACGUUGGAAAUGAAGCAAAACUUAUUUAUUGAUAUCUCCGAUAAGUUACAAAUAUGUACAUAUACAUAAGUCAAAAUAAACAAACAAGAGGGAGCCUUCACAAAGGUUGCUUAGGAGAAGUCUCAGCAGUCGGUAGAGCCCCAGAAAGAGAAGGCACCGGAGGGGGAUCAUUCGGAGCCUCAGUACUGGACAGAACCCUAGAAGGAGGAGGCAUCGGAGGUUGAUCAUUUGGAGCUUCAUUAUGCGGUACAGCCCCAGAAGACGAAGGCAAUAAAUGCCUUUGGAACAAACCCACAAACCGCUGAUGAUCAAGUAAAACCUGACCAUCAGAUUCCUUCAUCUGGUCAAGCUUCCUCUUCAUGUUUGUAGCAUAGUCAUGUGCGAGCCGGUGCAACUGUUUAUUCUCAUGCUUGAGCCUUCUAAUCUCCUGUUUGAGACUCAUCACUUCAGCCGCCAAUGAUUCAACUUGGCGGGUUCGAGCAAAUAGGCGUUGGGCCAUAUUAGACACAGAACCUGCACACUGAACACUCAGAGCCAGAGAAUCCUUAACAGCCAACUCAUCAGACCGUUUGGAAAGUAGUCUGUUAUCUUUGGGAGUGAGAAGGUUCCUGGCCACCACUGCAGCGGUCAUAUCAUUCUUCAUCACGGAAUCUCCAACGGUAAAAGGACCAGUAGGGGAUAAGAAGGAUGGGCGCCAUAUGUUGUCUGGAGAAGGCGUGGCUGCCUCUUCAACAAGGUUCAAGUCAAAACGACGGUCGGAGGGGUCAGACAUUUUCAAAGGUGUUGAAGAGAGAAGAGGUCGGACAAAUCAAGAUCUUAGAAGUGCAAGAAGGGAGCUUCUACUGGUGAAGAUUCAAGUGUGCUUUGAAACUUAAUGCCAGCCUCUAUAAAAAUCUGCACUCGACGGAGCUUCAGAAAUCGAAGAGGCGUCUGCCCAGAAAUCGAAGAGGCGUUUGCUUUCUCAAAAGCUGGGCUGCUCAGAGACCACGAGGGCCGAUCUCAGAAAUCGAAGAGGCGUUUGCUUUCUCAAAAGCUGGGCUGCUCAAAGACCAUGAAGGCCGAUCUCAGAAAUCGAAGAGGCGCUUGCUUUCUCAAAAGCUGGGCUGCUCAGAGACCACGAGGGCCGAUCUCAGAAAUCGAAGAGGCACCUGCUUUUUUUUUCAGCCUUGUCAGCACUUGUCACAUGCGCACUCAGCUUUGCUGAAAUUACGGGCAUUCUGUUGAAGAUUUCUGGUGAAGUAGAAAGCACGUGAAUCUUACUGUUCAAUCAUCCACUUUUCACACGCACCAUCAGCUCAUGGGUACCACAUAUAACUUUGCCAAAGAUUUUUGACAAAGUUUAGACACGUGAAGCUUGCAGCUCCCACUACAUCGCUAUGACCAAUAAUGGUAAAAGAAUAGCAAAGAAACAACACUAACAAAGUUUAGACACAUAAAUUUUGAAGGUCUAGCUAUCAUAUUAUUACCCACAAGGGUAAAGGAACAUCACCAUUGCUGGAUAAUUGGAAAGUCCCUGUGUGUCAACCUCUGUGCUCCGUGGCAAGGUAGACUAGCAAACAUGCCCUACCUUUACUCACAUUCGAGAAAACACUCCCAACAAGAUUGCUUGCUCCAAAAUCGAAAAGGCACCGUCCUCCGAAUCUCGAGAGCCAUACUCCUAACAUGGUUACUUUCUCAAAAAUCGAAGAGACCGCUCUCCGAAUCUCGAGAGCCAGACUCCCAGCAGGAUUGCUCUCUCAAAAAUCGAAGAGGCACUGUUCUCCGAAUCUCGAGAGCCAGAUCCGCGACAUGAUUGCUUGUUCUAAAAUCGAAGAGGCACCGCUUUCUCAACUUCGAGAGCCAGAUCUCAUUGGAUAAAGCUUGUCUGUAAUCUUCACACGCAACAUCAGCUUUCCAGAUACCACAUACCACUUUUUCAAAGUGCUCUGACACACGUGAAGCUGGCAGCUCCCACUACCGUGCUAUGACCAAGCAGGGUAAAGGAAUAACAUUACUACUUGUUGUUAGGGAGACUCCUAUAUAUGUUGACCUUCAUCCUUAACGGACAGGCAGACCUGCAAAAAUGCUCAACCCUUCCUCAUAUCUGAGAGGGCACUCCCAACGAAGCCUCUCGAAAUACUCAGCUUUCUUUCCCCCCGAUAAUACCUCUGCAAACAAGCUACACCAGAGCAAGAAUAUCUCAUAUCAUCAGGGUUAAAAGCAAGAGUAUCCCAUAUCAUGCUUUUUCCCUGUCUUUUCCUUUGGCCUUGUUCUUACCUGCAAGACAAGGAGAAAGAGAGCAAUCAGUCAGCACUUGGAAUCAAGCUUCCAGUCAGGAACUGACUGCCUGGAACCCUUUACCUGAUUACUUACCUGACAUUGCUCUCGAGUACUCAUCUUCAACAUCUUAUGCUUCCAGAGAAGAUACCACAUCUGCCUGAGGAACCAAUAGGGAAAGUAAGAAGGAUACAAGGAAGCAUGUGGAGACAAGCGUAACAGAACACAUGCCGAUACAUCCACUACUUUGUCAACAGCAAAAGUAUCCCAUAUCAGCAGGGUUGAACGUACUCUAGAUUUGAUGAACUUGUUUUGACCCUCAAAUUCUUCAGUCAGCCUUAUACUCUGGAGGAAACCAGAAAACCCUCCAGCCCAGUUCAAGAAUAAGCCUGUGGAAAGUUACUUUUUCAAAAGCAAAAGUAUCUCAUAUCAUCUAUUCUCCUUUUCUUCUCUUUAUCCUUCAUGUUGCUUGCAACAUAGGGAGAAUGAGAACAAUCAGCCGGAACUCGAAAUCAAACUUCUGAUCUGGGAUUGAUUGGUUGGAGCUUUGAUUGCUUACCUUGUCUGUCACCUCUUUCAGCAGAUCCCCUAGCUCGGCGACUUGGGGGACUCCUACUACAUGGUUGGUAUCGCGCUUGACCAAGCCUGAAACUACAAGUAAGCUUCAAGUGAAAUUGAUACAUUACCUUGUGCAUCUCCACCAGUUAAAGAUACCACCCCUGGAUGGAGGAAAAGUACUUCCAGAGAAGAUGCCACAUCUACCUAUGAGACAGAUAAGGCAAGUGAAGAUGAUACCACACUUCGGUACUUAGAAGUUUCGUGAUUACGAGAUCAUUCUCCCACAAUAUUUCCUAAUGUCAUUUGUACUAAAUCAUUCAUUUGUACUCACUAAAGGAGAGCUUGAACCUAUGUACUUGUGUAAACCCUUCACAAUUAAUGAGAACUCAUCUACUCCGUGGACGUAGCCAAUCUGGGUGAACCACGUACAUCUUAUGUUUGCUUUCCUGUCUCUAUCCAUUUACAUACUUAUCCACACUAAUGACCAUAGCAAUAACUUAAUACUUUCUGUUGUACCAAAGUCCUCACUGAUUUUGUGCAUCAACAAUCCUUAAGUCCUUACCCUCUUGCGUUGGUAAUGGAUGAGUUAACAGGACAUAUUCAAGAUGAUAUUCCUUGGUGUAUGCUUCUCGCAAAUGAUAUAGUGUUGAUAGAUGAAACUCAGGAGGGGUAAAUGCGAAGCUUAACCUUUGGAGAGAAGUGUUGGAAUCUAAAGGUCUUCGCAUAAGCCGAUCAAAGACAGAAUAUAUGGAGUGCAAGUUUAGCGCAAAUGGAUGCCAAAAUGAGUUAGGGGCAAGGAUCGGAGAUCAGGUAAUGCCAAAGAGCGACUGUUUUCGCUACCUAGGAUCUAUCUUGCAAAAGAACGGAGAAUUAGAUGGAGAUCUCAACCAUAGAAUACAAGCUGGAUGGAUGAAGUGGAAGAGUGCAUCCGGCGUGUUGUGUGACCGUCGUAGACCACUGAAGCUCAAGGGAAAAUUUUAUAGGACGACAAUAAGGCCAGUGAUGCUGUAUGGCACAGAAUGUUGGGCGGUGAAGCAUCAACACGUACACAAAAUGGGUUUGGACAUGUGCAAAGAAGGCCUACUGACUCUCCGGUUUGAAUAUGUGACUACGGGAUAGAAGUUCAGGGCCGAAGGGGUAGAGGAAGACUUAGGAAAACUUUGGAAGAGACCUUAGGAAAAGACUUAGAGUACUUGGAUCUAACGGAGGAAAUGACACAAACCGAGCGCAAUGGCGUUCUAGGAUUCAUAUAGCCGACCCCACUUAGUGGGAAAAGGCUUUGUUGUUGUUGUUGUUGUUGAUUAAUAGAAAACAUGUAUAUAUACCCGCUAUAUAUCGGAGGCAGAUUGUCUGCCCCUUUCCAUCCUCUCCUAUUUCGUGCGGUCACGGUUAAGUCACGUCAACAUAUUUUAUAUUAAUGUUUUUAUAGAUAUAAUAAGACAAAAAACAAUAAGAAUAUAAAAUGUUGACAUGGCUUAACCGUGACUGCACAAAUAGGAGGAGAUAGAAAAGGCACCCAAAUAGGAAGGCUGACAAUCUGCCUCCCUAUAUAUCACCGUCUUCAAUUUACAUUGUAUGGCAUGUAGGAUUGGAUUGAAAUGAAUCUCUUUAAAGUUGAGUUAUUUUGAGGGUAAAGGGGAAUGGCAAAGUGGUGAUUUGACUUGGGAUAUAUAAGGUUUUUCUCUUCAACUGCUGCGUCUUGAGAUUAGACAAUUAUCUUCUUAUAGAUUAGAUCAAAUUAGUGUAGAGUAUCCAUCUUUUUUGAUAAAAUUCUAAAAAGUAGAGGAGGAUGAUUUUUCAUUUUAAGGGGAUUAGACCGAAAUUUUCAUUUUCUUUCAACAUAACUUGAAAGUAAGUACUCAUCUAUUCAAAUCCAAUAUCCUUCAAACCAAAUGGUGGCAUGUAUUAUUCUUCUACAAAGCAAUUCUCAUGGGUUCUUUCAAGUUGGCGGUCAAUCUACGUGAAUCUCAUGUCAAGAAAUGAAUAAUAGACCUCUCAUACGCUUUAUUAUAAAGAGUAAUCCAACUCUAAAUUGCAACUUGGUUUAUGGUGGGACCUCAUUUUCUUUUUAGUAUCAGAGCACGCUAAUCAACAUGUUGAGCCUCUCAGUACACAUGUUCUCACAUUGGUCUUUGAUGAGUCGAUAUAUUUUACCUUAUUCUUAGUAUUAAUUUAUUAGUUAUUUUGUGAGAAUUUUGAUACUUUGAAUUAUAUUUCUAAUGUAGGACAUUCGACUUCUUCUUGAUCAAAAAGUGAUCAAACGGACGAAUUUUAGAGUGAUUUCAGUUGGAGGAUGUUCGUGAGUCUCUCAACUUAUUUGUAUCAAAGUUUCAAGUUUUUCUACCAAACGAAUAAUUUAUGGUGAUGAAAUAAAGGAGAAGAGUGCUGUCAAAGUGACGUUUUUGUGAUUAUUUAGGCUUUUUGGCGUCCAAGAUGAUGUCCUUUGGGUUCGAGGCCUUCUGCAAUUAUGUUCGAUCCUGGCAACAGUGCCAAUUUCUUGAUAGAUUUUUACCACACAUGCAAAAGGGUUAAAACACCAAUAAUACUUGCAAGAAUGACAAGAUUAUUGUAGUAUAAAUACUCUAACAAGAUCAUUUUCCACAAGAAUUAUUAAAUAAUUCGUAUCAGUCUCUCUAGCAUUAUCUUCUUAAUUGUUUAUUAGGGAAAGGGAUCCUUUCCGGAUCCCUUUCACCUGAGCCUCAGGACCCACAAAUCCGGGGCCCUGAAAUUUGACUCAACGACUACAAACAGAGAGUCCCAUUAAAAGUUAUAAUAACUUUAACCGUUGGAUCAAAUUUUAAGAGUCCGAAUUUGUGGGUCAUGAGGCUCAGAUAAAAGGAAUCCGUAGAGGAUCCCUUUCCGUUUAUCAGUUCAUGUAUUAGGUUUAGAUGGCUAUAUAUUAUUUUGAAAAGUUAGGUUGUCAAUCAGUUUUAUACCUCAAGCUGCCAAUAAAAAAUUGCUCGGACCAACAUCUGAUUAAAUUAUUUUUAUUCGGGUUUCUUGUUGCUGACAUAUCAUAUUAUAUAGCAUGGAAGAGGAUCUGCUAUGGAUUCACUUUAUGGGGAUCUUAGGGAUUUCCACAUCUUAACCGUUCAUCGGACAUUGUGCGGUCAAUUUUCAUCAUGUAUUAUUUGUGUUUAAUUUUAAAUAAAAAAAAUAAAAUGAUUUCUGACCGCACAAUCCACGAUGAAUGACUAAAAUGCAAGGAUUCCUACAAUUGGAUCCGGAUGGGAUCCAAAUCCAUAUAGCAUGAAGCAUUGUCGUUGCAUACGUGAUAUGAACAAUUCAAUGACUAACACCAAUUGCUUAAACAACGAAAUCAAACUACGAAAACAUGUAUCACUCCAUCUCUUUCUGUUUUUGUUUGUAAAUUAUAUUACAUGUUUGACGAUCAUCUCCUGUCAUUGUGAGUUUAUGCUGAACUCUUGAAUCCAGAACUGAAAGUGGCUUUCUAUUUUCAGAAUUUUGCUAAACUAUUUUUGGUGUUCGGUAUGUGCCUUACUAGCAAGCAAGAUAUUAGAUGUCAAGCUGGUCUUCAAGGACGACCCUUAUCAUGGUUAGAGUAAUGAAACAAGGGAGAAAGACACUUCAUUUCCGAAGAACAUCAGGGUGCUGCAAAUACCUGAUACUCGAGGGACGGUGUCACACAUUUUGGCUUGCACGACUCUUCCAGAUACUUCUUUUGAUCAACAGGUUCCUUGUCCACCCUAAAUAUGUUUUACCAUAACUAUUACGAAAGAUAGAAGAGACAUACUAUAUAUGCACACACAAAUUGACAAUAUAGAAACGUUACACACAAAACUAGAAGAGCAUUGGAGAAUACAUAAUAGUAUUAUCACUAGAGAAAGAAUUGAGCUACCAAUACCACCUAUUAUGGGAAGGAUAUCCAGUGGUAUGAACAUUCAGAACUGACCAUUUUGUUGUGGAAAGAAGAUUUUCUGCUAAUUCUGCAGUGACCAUGCAUUUUUGUAAUUUACCUAGCUACAUGUGAGAUAUUAAUUAAUCGUAAAAUUCUAAGUACUCCAGUGUUAUUCGUGUUGUAAUGCCUAAAGGUAAAAAUAGUCUCCCAUUUCUUAUUUUCUACACCACAUUUUUUAUCCUCCACUAGAAAUCAGAAAAACCAAAAUGAAGGAAAAAAAUCAAGAAGGCUCUCCCACAAUGAUAUUAAGAUAUCGUUGCUUGGCAGAAAUAGCUGAAAAGAAAAUCUCUAUUAUGUAGCAGACUUCUCAAUUCACAGAUCCAAUUUAUUUCUCCCUUUUGUCUAUGUGCAAACAUAUUCAGCCAAAGGCUCCCUUGAAUAACUUGUUACACAUAGAGGAAGCUUUGAUUGAGGGAUCUCUCAAAUAAGCUUAUUGGAGGGAACACAUCUGUAGGGCCUAUUUAGUAUUGUAUUUCAAUGAUUGAAACAAUAUUCUAAGUUUUCAUGUUUUAUCCCGAAAAUUAUCCUUGCAACAAAUCACUCAAAUCUGAAAUCAUUAUUGUACGGCUUUCAUGUUAGUGUUUCUUGAAAUACCACCGUGUUCAUCCGGUUUUUCUACUGAGACUAUAAUUUCGGAUUUGUCUCACUUGAGGAUGAACUUUGAAUGAAAAGAGUUUAGAAUUUUGGAUUAUUGAAACAAAAUUCUGUGUAAACCACAAGGUGUCCCUCAAAUAAGAAUUUCAACUGACAGUGACUCAUUAUAUAUAUUCACACAAAGACAUACAUAUACAUGUAUACCACAAAUAAAAAUUACAAAAAUAAUAAUAAAAAAAAAACACUGAACGUGAUCUUUUAAUUGUUUAAAGUCUGUCAGCUAAGCAAUAUCAUCAUAUAUUACAUUAGAACUUAGUUAAUGAAAUCUAAACCAAGCAUAAUCUGACAAGCAACUAGAAGAAAGAUAUCAUGAGACACAUCAUAUAUGAUUUUCUUUACUUCCAUGAGUCACGAGUUAAACUAAGCUCUCCAACCCUAACAUUAAUAAUAUAACAGAAAAUAUUAUUUAAUUGUCGUAAGUUUGCUGUUUAUGAUUUAUGGUGUCAUGCAAGCGUAUAUCUGACCUUAAGUGCUAGAAAUGAUUAUUAACUAUGUUGGAUCCCACUGAGAUAGAUGAGGACCUCCUAGCAAACAUUGCGAGAUCAUUGGAGACGUUGGUUUCGGUUACAAUAAGCUAGUAAUAAUAUAGUUCAUAUUCAUCUUUGGCGAAAAUCGAACCUAAGACUUUUUAUUUACAAAUAAAAAGAAAUAUCAUUUGAUCGUAGUAUUAAGUGGUGGUUGGGAAGAAGUUAGGCGUGUCCAAGAAACAAACCAAUAUUGGAUUACCAAACUUGGAAAAAUGUGUGUUACAAGAUUGAAGAGCUAAUUCUCUUAUGCUAUGUUUCCAUAUUCAUGCUGCUGGACUAGGAUUUCAGCGUACGCCGUACUCGACGGGUAUUUAUAGUCUUGUUAUAAGGAUGGUUUAAAGGAAGUGGUUGAUCUGAAAUCGAUCAUCUUAAUAACACUGUGUAUCAUAUCAAUUCAAGUUACUUAUUUUUGUGACUACAAAUUGAUACUGAACGAAAAUGAAAAGCAUAUGAAUGCAAGUUGUAAACGAUUGCGAGGGUGACUAAACCAAAUCGUAGUUAAUCACUCAGUAUCAACCGAGGCAUUCUCCUGACUGUCGAUUAAACUUAAAGAGCAAGUCCACCUCAUGCCAAUUACUACUAUCAUCAUUGGUCUUUGAUGAGUCGAUAUAUUUUACCUUAUUCUUAGUAUUAAUUUAUUAGUUAUUUUGUGAGAAUUUUGAUACUUUGAAUUAUAUUUCUAAUGUAGGACAUUCGACUUCUUCUUGAGCAAAAAGUGAUCAAAUGGAUGAAUUUUAGAGUGAUUGCAGUUGGAGGAUGUUCGUGAGAGUCUCAACUUAUUUGUUCAAAGUUUCAAGUUUUUCUACCAAACGAAUAAUUUAUGGUGAUGAAAUAAAGGAGCAGAGUGCUGUCAAAGUGACGUUUUUGUGAUUAUUUAGGCUUUUUGGCGUCCAAGAUGAUGUCCUUUGGGUUCAAGGCCUUCUGAAUUAUGUUCGAUCCCGGCAAUAGCGCCAAUUUCUUGAUAGGAUUUUUACCACACACGCAAAAGAGUUAAAAACACCAAUAAUACUUGCAAGAAUGACAAGAUUAUUGUAGUAUAAAUACUCUAACAACAUCAUUUUCCACAAGAAUGAUUAAAUAAUUCGUAUCAGUCUCUCUAGCAUUAUCUUACUUAAUUGUUUAUUAGGGAAAGGGAUCCUCGGACCCACAAAUCCGGGGCUUUGAAAUUUGACUCAACGACUACAAACAGGGAGUCCUAUUAAAAGUUAUAAUAACUUUAAACCGUUGGAUCAAAUUUUAAGAGCCUCAAUUUAUGGGUCAUGAGGCUCAGAUGAAAGGAAUCUGAAGAGGAUCCCUUUCCUUUUAUCAGUUCAUGUGUUAGGUUUAGAUGGCUAUAUAUUAUUUUGAAAAGUUAGGUUGUCAAUCAGUUUUAUACUUCAAGCUGCCAAUAAAAAAUUGCUCGGACCAACAUCUGAUUAAAUUAUUUUUAUUCGGGUUUCUUGUUGCUGACAUAUCAUAUUAUAUAGCAUGGAAGAGGAUCAGCUAUGGAUUCAUUUUGUGGGGAUCUUAGGGAUUUCCACAUCUUAGCCGUUCAUCGUACAUCGUGCGGUCAGUUUUUAUUAUGUAUUAUUUGUGUUUAAUUUUAAAUAAAAAAAUAAAAUGAUUUCUGACCGCACAAUCCACGAUGAAUGACUAAAAUGUAAGGAUUCCUACAAUUGGAUCCGGAUGGGAUCCAAAUCCAUAUAGCAUGAAGCAUUGUCGUUGCAUACGUGAUAUGAACAAUUCAAUGACUAACACCAAUUGCUUAAACAACGAAAUCAAGCUACGAAAACAUGAAUCACUCCAUCUCUUUCUGUUUUUGUUUGUAAAUUAUAUUACAUGUUUGACGAUCAUCUCCUGUCAUUGUGAGUUUAUGCUGAACUCUUGAAUCUAGAACUGAAAGUUGCUUUAUUUUCAGAAUUUUGCUAAACUAUUUUUGGUGUUCGGUAUGUGCCUUACUAGCAAGCAAGACAUUAGAUGUCAAGCUGGUCUUCAAGGACGACCCUUAUCAUGGUUAGAGUAAUGAAACAAGGGAGAAAGACACUUCAUUUCCGAAGAACAUCAGGGUGCUGCAAAUACCUGAUACUCGAGGGACGGUGUCACACAUUUUGGCUUGCACGACUCUUCCAGUUACUUCUUUUGAUCAACAGGUUCCUUGUCCACCCUAAAUAUGUUUUACGUAACUAUUACGAAAGAUAAAAGAGACAUACUAUAUAUGCACACACAAAUUGACAAUAUAGAAGUGUUACGCACAAAACUAGAAGAGCAUUGGAGAAUACAUAAUAGUAUUAUCACUAGAGAAAGAAUUGAGCUACCAAUACCACCUAUUAUGGGAAGGAUAUCCAGUAGUAUGAACAUUCAGAACUGACCAUUUUGUUGUGGAAAGAAGGUUUUCUGCUAAUUCUGCAGUGACCAUGCAUUUUUGUAAUUUACCUAGCUACAUGUGAGAUAUUAAUUAAUCGGAAAAUUCUAAGUACUCCAGUGUUAUUCGUGUUGUAAUGCCUAAAGGUAAAAAUAGUCUCCCAUUUCUUAUUUUCUACACCACAUUUUUUAUCCUCCACUAGAAAUCAGAAAAACCAAAAUGAAGGAAAAAAAUCAAGAAGGCUCUCCCACAAUGAUAUUAAGAUAUCGUUGCUUGGCAGAAAUAGCUGAAAAGAAAAUCUCUAUUAUGUAGCAGACUUCUCAAUUCACAGAUCCAAUUUAUUUCUCCCUUUUGUCUAUGUGCAAACAUAUUCAGCCAAAGGCUCCCUUGAAUAACUUGUUACACAUAGAGGAAGCUUUGAUUGAGGGAUCUCUCAAAUAAGCUUAUUGGAGGGAACACAUCUGUAGGGCCUAUUUAGUAUUGUAUUUCAAUGAUUGAAACAAUAUUCUAAGUUUUCAUGUUUUAUCUCGAAAAUUAUCCUUGCAACAAAUCACUCAAAUUUGAAAUCAUUAUUGUACGGCUUUCAUUUUAGUGUUUCUGGAAAUACCACCGUGUUCAUCCGGUUUUUCUACUGAGACUACAAUUUCGGAUUUGUCUCACUUGAGGAUGAACUUUGAAUGAAAAGAGUUUAGAAUUUUGGAUUAUUGAAACAAAAUUCGGUGUAAACCCCCCCCACAAGGUGUCCCUCAAUAAGAAUUUUAACUGACAGUGACUCAUUAUAUAUAUUCACACAAAGACAUACAUAUACAUGUAUACCACAAAUAAAAAUUACAAAAAUAAUAAUAAAAAAAAACACUGAACGUGAUCUUUUAAUUGUUUAAAGUCAUCAGCUAAGCAAUAUCAUCAUAUAUUACAUUAGAACUUAGUUAAUGAAAUCUAAACCAAGCAUAAUCUGACAAGCAACUAGAAGAAUGAUAUAAUGAGACACAUCAUAUAUGAUUUUCUUUACUUCCAUGAGUCACGAGUUAAACUAAGCUCUCCAACCCUAACAUCAAUAAUAUAACAGAAAAUAUUAUUUAAUUGUCGUAAGUUUGCUGUUUAUGAUUUAUGGUGUCAUGCAAGCGUAUAUCUGACUUUAAGUGCUAGAAAUGAUUAUUAACUAUGUUGGAUCCCACUGAGAUAGAUGAGGACCUCCUAGCAAACAUUGCGAGAUCAUUGGAGACGUUGGUUUCGGUUACAAUAAGCUAGUAAUAAUAGUUCAUAUUCAUCUUUGGCGAAAAUCGAACCUAAGACCUUUUACUUACAAAUAAAAAGAAAUAUCAUUUGAUCGUAGUAUCAAGUGGCGGUUGGGAUGAAGUUAGGCGUGUCCAAGAAACAAACCAAUAUUGGAUUACCAAACUUGGAAAAAUGUGUGUUACAAGAUUGAAGAGCUAAUUCUUGUAUGCUAUGUUUCCAUAUUCAUGCUGCUGGACUAGGAUUUCAGCGUACGCCGUACUCGACGGGUAUUUAUAGUCUUGUUAUAAGGAUGGUUUAAAGGAAGUGGUUGAUCUGAAAUCGAUCAUCUUAAUAACACUGUGUAUCUUAUCAAUUCAAGUUACUUAUUUUUGUGACUACAAAUUGAUACUGAACGAAAAUGAAAAGCAUAUGAAUGCAAGUUGUAAACGAUUGCGAGGGUGACUAAACCAAAUCGUAGUUAAUCACUCAGUAUCAACCGAGGCAUUCUCCUGACUGUCGAUUAAACUUAAAGAGCAAGUCCACCUCAUGCCAAUUACUUGGGCAAUUAGGCAACUCAACCCCCCAAAAUCCAAAAGAAUCUCUCCACCCCAGCCCAAUCAGGUGGCGAUCUCUGGGGCGUUGGUGACCUGUGACUGCCCGUGAAGCUCCAAUAAUGGCGGGAAAUCUGGUUCUUGACACAGCCAUCAGAGACUGGGUUCCAGCACGAGAUUGCUAACGAGCCCACCAAUGCCUUGUCCGCGACUCUUCGUCUGCGACUCUAGAGUCAAUCUUUUCAUCAUUUAGUUUCUUGAUCUGUGGAAGUGUCAAUCUUUCAGUCAUGGCUGCGCCCUCGUUUAAAGUUGAGGGUGUUUUGGGAAUGCUUACUAUUAAGCUUAGGGAUGAUAAUUUUGCCAAAUGGGCAUUUCAGUUUCAGUCGGUGUUAAGGGGAUAUAAGUUGUUUGGUCAUUUUGAUGGUACAACUCCUUGUCCAUCGAAGUUUGUUGUUGAUUCAGAUAAUGGGAUUACAAGGGAGAUCACAGUAGCAUAUACUGAAUGGGAAACAAUUGAUAUGGCUUUGUUGAGUCUAUUGCUUGCUACUCUUACUGAUGAGGCUAUGGAAUAUGUGAUUAGGUGUUGAACUGCGUAUGAAGCUUGGACUAAUCUUGUUGAUCGAUAUGCUACUGUGUCUAAAUCCAGAAUCAAUCAUUUGAAAACUGAAUUACACAUGAUUCAAAAAGGGUCAGAUACAAUUGAUCGAUAUUUGUGGAGGUUAAAGCAUAUUAGAGACCAACUCAGUGCUGUAGGAGAAUCUAUCUCAGAUAAUGAUAUUAUGAUUGCUGGUCUUGCUGGAUUACCUAAGGAAUAUGGUGUUAUUCGUACUGUUAUAUUGGCCAGGGAGUCUACACUCACUUUGAAGGAGUUCAGGGCAUUAUUACUUGGUGCUGAGAGGGAAAUUGAGGGUGAAAUGAAUAUAAUUGCUCAGAAUAUGUCUGCAUUGUAUAUUCAAGGGUCAAGUUCUAGUUCAACCACUGGUUCUAAUUCAAAUAUUGGUUCUAGCUCUUCUGCAUCAUCUUCAAAUUCUCACAGUCAUGCUCAUAUUCCAGCUAUCACUGCUGGUACCAUCUCUGCUGUCCCUUAUGAUUCAAAGUCCUUACUACCACCACUUCAAUUUCAACAACCAUAUUAUUCACCACCACCUUAGUUUCCGAAUGAUUCAUAUGGAUAUGGUUUUUCUGCAAACUCUAGUGGUCAUAAUGCAUCUGGACCACAAUUUUCUAAUGCACAAUUUGGAUCUUUUGGGAACAACUAUAGAGGUAAUAACAACUACAGGGGUGGAAACAAUUACAGGAAUCACAAUGGCUUCAGAGGAAGAGGGUAUGGUUCUGGUAGUUCAGGGGGCUCAAGACAACUCGGGAAUGGAAAUAACAAUUGGUCAGGCAUUGUUGAUACUAGAACUACAGUAGUAAUUGAAUGUCAGGUUUGCAACAAAAGAAGACACGCUGCAGUUAAUUGCUUUCACAGGAAUACGAAUAUACCAACCACAUGUGUUGUAGUAGAGUGUCAAAUAUGUGGGAAGAGAGGUCACUCAGCCUUGGAUUGCUAUCAGCGGGGAAACUAUGCUUAUCAAGGACAGGCUCCACCUCCAUCACUGUCUGCAAUGAAUGCACAACAGACAACACAAUUCAUUCCUCAAGAUACUUGGAUCGUUGACUCUGGUGCGUCACAUCAUAUAACUUCCGAUAUCAGUGCUCUUUCUUAAGUAACACCUUUUGAGGGAUUUGAGAAGAUAACAAUUGGGAAUGGUACAAGUCUACCAAUUAAACAUAUUGGUUCAACUACACUUCAGACUCCUACACAUUCUCUGGUUCUUAAUAAAGUUUUACAUGUGCCUAGUAUUGCUAGGAGUUUACUAUCUGUAAAGCAGUUAUGUGCAGAUAACAAAAGCUGGUUUAUCUGUGAUGACUCUGAAUUUUUUGUGCAGGACAAGAAGACAAAGGAGAUAGUGUAUCAAGGAAAGAGUAGGCCUGAGGAAUUGUUCUAGAUCCCUGUGGUCACGAGUGCAAAGGGUUCUCAGUUCAUAACAAAGUAUCCAGCAACUUAUUUGGGCAAAGCAGUGAAGAAUAAUGUCUGGCAUCAGAGAUUAGGACAUCCAGCUCAUGAUGUGAUGACUACCAUGUUAAAACAAUCGAAUAUUCCAGUUCAAACAGAUGAAAUUCAUAGUACUUGUAUCUCUUGUAUUCAAGGUAAGAUGUCUAGGACUCCAUUUCCUGUUAGAACUGAUAGGUGUACAUCUCCUUUUCAGAAAGUGCAUACUGAUAUCUAGGGUCCAUCACCUGUAAGAUCCAUAGAGGGAUAUAGGUUUAUGUAACAUUUGUUGAUGAAUAUACAAGAUUUGUUUGGAUAUUUCCUAUGAGCAAUAAAUCAGAUGUGUUUACCAUUUUUGUUAAGUACUAUAAGUUUGUUCUUAAUCAAUUUGGUACAACAAUUAAGUCAUUGCAAACAGAUGGGGUAGGUGAAUAUACAAGUAAGAGUUUUACUUCUUUUUCUUGCUGACAAAGGUAUCCUGCAAUUAAUAUCUUGCCUGUAUACUUUUCAACAGAACGGAAUUGCAGAAAGGAAACAUAGACAUAUCUUGGAAACUGCAAUCACUCUUCUCAGUGCUUCUGGUUUACCCUCUGAGCUAUGGUAUUUUUCUUGUGCUCAUUCAGUUCAGUUAAUCAAUAACAUGCUGUGCAAAAGUUUAUCUUUCAGUUCCCCAUACUUGGUUUUAUAUAAGAAGGUACCUGAUAUACAAUCUCUUAAGAUUUUUGGUUCUGCUGUAUUCCCUUGGCUGAGACCAUACAAUGUAAAUAAAUUACAACCACGAUCAGUGAUGUGUGUUUUUUUAGGCUAUUCACAAGGGUACAAAGGAGUGAUUUGUUAUAACUUGCAAACUAAGAAGUUUAUCAUCUCUAGACAUGUUCAUUUUAAUGAAUCCUUAUUCCCUGCAAAAAAUGGUUCAACAUACAAGUCCUGCAAGGCUACAUAGACAUGAGGAACAUGAUCAACCAAUGAGUGUCCCGGUUAUUGUAUCUAUACCAGUGUCAUCUAUACAGAGAAAUACAGAUCCUGCAGGAUCACAUAGCUCUUUAUCUCAAUCAGGUACAGAUAUAUUUUCUCCAAAUACAAAUACAUCAGAAGACCAUGUAUCAACAGAGUCAGAAAAUCAGGGUUUUGGAACAUCUCAUGCUCUUUCCUCUUCACCACACAUUACUCAUUUGCUUCGUGUCAUUGAUCCUACAUAACUCCAGGUAGUUCUUCCUUUUACCUCAACUUCAACUAAUAUUAAUUCAGUCAUCAUAGAUGUCGAUCAGAAUUGUAUCCAAACCAGGUUAAAAAUUGGUACCAUUCAUAGGAAAAGUUAUGUGGGGUGUCUUGUCUUUUUACCUCAGCUACAGUCUUUACAUCCUGAUGAUUUAUCUACUGCUGCUUUCUCUACCAACUUGGAUACACAUUUGACUGGAGGAUUCUCAUUUCUUGCUGACAUCACGGAUUGUGAAGAACCGAGAACAUUUAAAACUGCCUCACUGAAACAAGAAUGGCAAAUUGCCAUGCAAGAGGAAUUCAAUGCACUGAAAACUCAAGGCACUUGGAUACUUGUCCCACCACCAUCAAAUCGAUCGGUUAUUGGAAGUAAGUGGGUGUAUAAGGUAAAGAAAAAUCCCGAUGGUAGCAUUUCUAGGUACAAAGCCCGAUUGGUAGCACAUGGGUAUACUCAAGAGCAAGGCUUGGACUAUUUAGAGACAUUCAGUCCAGUGGUUAGACAUACCACCGUAAGACUCAUCUUAGCCUAAGCUACUCAGUUCAAUUGGUAAUUAAGGCAACUUGAUAUCAAAAAAGCUUUUCUUCAUGGAGACUUGGAAGAAGAGGUUUAUAUGAAACAACCACAAGGGUUUGUGGAUGCUACAUGUCCUGAUCAUGUUUGCAAAUUGAUCAAAUCUCUUUAUGGUUUAAAACAGGCUCUUCGAGCCUGGAACUCGAAAUUCACAAACUAUCUUCCAGCUAUUGGAUUCAAUAAUCUCUUUUAGAUACCAGUCUCUUUGUCAAAGUUGAUGGUGGAGACAUAAUCCUUCUAUUAUUGUAUGUUGAUGACAUAAUUCUCACUGGUUCAAACUCAGUUAAAAUACAAUCUGUGAUUGAUGAUCUUGCUGGUGUAUUUGAUCUCAAAGAUAUGGGAAGAUUGACAUACUUUUUGGGGCUGCAUAUACAGUAUAGGGAUGAUGGUUCUUUGUUCAUAUCACAUACUAAAUAUGCCAAAGAUGUGUUACACAAGGUAGCUAUGGACAACUGCAAGUCUACUUCAAUACCAUCUAAGCCUCAUACUCAAAUUCUUGCUGGUGAAGGAACAGCGUUAUCCGAUCCUAGCCAUUAUAGAAGCAUAGUUGGGGCUCUUCAAUACCUGACUUUUACUAGACUUGAUAUAGCCCAUUUAGUGAACAUGAUUUGUCAAUUCAUGGCACAACCAACUGAUUUAUACAUGUUUUUGGUCAAAAGAAUCUUGAGAUAUAUACAAGGUACUAUUGGCUAUGGCUUACAGUAUACAAAAAGCAAGGAAUUCAAUAUAACUGCUUAUUCCGACUCAGAUUGGGGAGCAGACAUCAACACCAGAAGAUCAAUUACAUGUUUUGUUUUCUAUCUUGGGGUAAAUCCAAUUUCUUGGCAGUCUAAAAAGCAAUCCAUAGUAUCUCGAAGUUAUACAGAGGCAGAAUACAAGGCAUUAGCUCACUGUGCCGCUGAUGUUUUUUGGAUCCGAUCAGUGUUUAAGGAUAUUCAUCAAUACAUAUCAGUCCCACCUUCCUUACACUGUGAUAAUCUCUCUGCAUUGGCUUUAAGUUCAAAUCCAGUUUUCCACUAAAAGAUCAAACAUCUUGACACGGAUUAUCACUUCGUACGUGAUAAGGUUCAAAAAGGAGAUCUUACGGUUCACUAUAUUCCCACCGAUGAUCAGGUAGCCGAUGUGUUUACAAAGGGAUUGCAUAGUCCAAUUUUUCAAAAACAUUGCAGAUCACUUGGCUUGGGAGUUGUUUUGCAGCAAACUCAGCUUCUGUAGCUCCGCUUCAUUUGAGGGGGGAGUAAUAACCAUAUGCCGUGUGGCAUUAUGUCAUUGGUUAGCCAAUUGGAUUGAGGUAGUUAGGAGGAAGUUGUUAGAAAGGGUAAUUGAGUCAUUUUGUAAUGAGAUGUUAGCUAUUAUAAACAACUGAUGUAAAAGUCAUUGGGCAUUAGAUUGUAUUUCAUUUCUUUUACUCUUCGAAAUAUACAAAGCUUUAUUCUUCUCGUCCUUGUUGUUCUAUCUUCCAUUGUUCUAUAUACUGUGAGUUUCAUAGUUUCAUAGGUUAAUAAGACCAAACCCAAAUUUGAAUUCGAUCCUUUCUCCUGUUCAUUGAAUCGUCUGAGUCGAGUGCGGGAUCGAGGACAACUCGAGAGAGAUGAAAGAUGGUGCUGAAGAUGAGUUGCAGGUUCAAUGGAAAGGAAAAAUAGAAGUUAAGUUAAUCUAGCAACAUACGGAAAGGAAAGAUGAUUUGUAGUUCGGCGGAGGAGAAGGGAGGGAGAGGGUUAUAGAGGGGACGGGAAAAAGAGAGGUUUUUACAAAGGUUAAUGCUAGGGAGACUAAUUUUGGAAACUAAAUAAUGUGCCAUUAAUAAAAAUAAGCACGUUUAUCAACGAUUAAGUAAUAAACCAAUCAUCAACUUCUAUGUCCUUCAGUUUCCAAAAUUUUGCCUACAAAUUUAGUCUCUUUAGCAUUACUUUUUUUACUAAGGCAUAUGCCAAUUUGGCCCCUAAACUUGUAUUAUCCUCUGAACUUUUAUAAUUAGUCAAUUUCCCCUUGAACUUUAAUUUUAGUCAAUUACCCCUUGAAUUUUCAUAAAUAGCUAAUUUCCCCAUUAACGCUAGAUUUUAAAACUUUCCAUCCAAUUUUUUUUUUCCAUUUUGAUCACGCGGACAACACAUGAUAACUGUAUAGUGGCAAAAAGAAUGGAAAAUUGGAUGAAAAUUUUAAAAUCUAACGUUGGGGGGAAUCGGAUAUUUAUAAUAUUUUAUGGGGUAAUUGGCUAAAGUAAAAGUUCAGGAGGGAAAUUGGUUAAUUAUAAAAGUUCAGGAGGUAAUCAGCUAAAAUUAAAGUUCAAGAGGGAAAUUGACACCUCUAUACAAGUUCAGGGGCAAAUCGACAAAUACCUCAUUUCCAAAAAUAAGGAAAAAGAUAAAAUUAAUAAUGAAAUGAGUUAUCUUUUUAUUAUUUAUCUUUGCCCAAUUGUCUAGGCAAUUAUUUUGUGGGUGUGGACUUGCUUAAACAUGCUCUACUCAUAAGUUAUAAAAAUGUAUGAUCUGAGUGCAAAAUAUUUUACAUGCACACAUAAUAACAACAACAACAAUAAAACUUUAUCUUAUUAAUUCCAGACGCUUAUCUUAUUAAUUCUGGACACUCACGUGCACACAAACACUAUAUUUCAGCAAGAAUAUAGGAUAGCUACGGCUUUAAGAGGAUAUUUUCUAUGGACAGUCGCACCCGUGGAUUCGGUCAUGUCUAGGUCCUCCCCUCUUGCACCACCAGGCAAUGGCCAAUCAAACUUGUGGACUAAAUUUGCCAGAGCAAUCUCUUUAACUGCCACAUCAAACUGAAUUCCAGGGCAACCCCGUCUACCAGCCCCAAACAGAAUUACUUCGAAGUCAUUCCCUUUAUAAUCUAUGUCACUACUUAAAAUCAUUUCCGGCUCGAACUCCUCCGGGUUGUUGUAUGACUUGGGAUCUCUUCCAAUCUGCCAUUGCAGCUCACGUUUUGCAAAACAGAAGGAGAAAGAAAUCCACGUAAAAGAGCAUUUAGUAGCAGCAACAUUUUUUUUAACAAACGAUAUUGUUUACAUUAAGAUGGAAGGGGUGAGUUUAAUUAGUCUCACAAUGAAUUAGUAAUAAUAUGAUUCAAAUUUACCUUUGGUAUUAGCAGCAUUUUUAAUUCAAAAGUUCAAAGCAUUUUCAAAUGAUUUUUGAGUAAACCUAAAGCCAUUAAACCCUAAAAAGAAAUCCAUCUUUAAGACCCUUCGAAUCCAUGUGAAAGAGUAUUUAAUAGUCACUAUAGCACCUUAAGUCCGUGUAACAGUCACACUGAAAAAUUUGUCCUCAAUCCUACUAUCUCCCAUUCCCCACCCUACUCGACCACCAAAGGCCACCGUUAGUAGUACAACACCAGACUUUUUCUCUCCAUAACGUUGACAAUGAAACUAUCAUGACAUGUUUUGAACAGUCUUUGUAACAAAGAUUAUGGAUGAAAAAAUGUAGUUUGUUGAUGCACAAAAUCAGCGACCACUUUGGUACAACAGAAGGUGUUAAGUUUGCGACCUUCGCUAGAUUGCUCUGGUCACUAGUGUGAAUAAGUAUGUAAAUGGAUAGGGACAGGGAAGCAAACACAAGAUGUACGUGGUUCACCCAGAUUGGCUACGUCCACAGAGUAGAGGAGUUCUCAUUAAUUGUGAAAGGUUUACACAAGUACAUAGGUUCAAGCUCUCCUUUAGUGACUACUAAUGAAUGAUUUAGUACAAAUGAUAUUAGGAAAUAUCGUGAGAGAAUGAUCUUUAUUUAUAGAAGAAAGUUUCUAGUUUCAUUCUGACAUUGACACGUGUCAUGUUGUGAUUGGCUUCUGAUGUUGACACGUGUCGCGCUAUGAUUGGCUUCUGAUGUCGACACGUGUCGCGCUGUGAUUGACCUUCUGGUUGGAGGGAAACUCUUCUGGGUCUUUGACGGUAUAACGUUGACCGGUGCUCAGUAGUGUUAGGAUUGGUCAAGUAUGGUACAAACAGUGCUCCCCUAAGUUCCCGAGUGAGGGAAACUCCUCGGUUGGGGACUUGCAAGAUCCAAGCCAUUGAGUAAUCACGAAACUUCUAAGUACCGAAGUGUGGUAUCAUUUUCACUUGCCUUAUCUGUCUCAUACGUAGAUGUGGCAUCUUCUCUAGAAGUACUUUUCAUCAAUCCAGGGGUGGUAUCUUUAACCGAUGAAGAUGCACAAGGUAAUGUAUCAAUUUCACUUGAAGGUUACUUGUAGUUUCGGGCUUGGUCAAGUGCGAUACAAAACCCUAUAGUAGGAGUCCCCCAAGUGGCCGAGCUAGGAGAUUUGCUGAAAGAGGUAACAGACAAGGUAAGCAAUUAGACUUCCAAGCAAGCAACCUGGAUCAGAGGUUCGACUUUGGAUUUCGAUUGAUUGUUCUUCUUCUCCUUGUGUCAUAAACAGCAACAAGGAUAAGGAGAAGUAAAUGGAGAAGAGAUGAUAUGAUAUACUUUUGCUUUUGAAGAAGUAACUUUCCACAAACUUAUUCUUGAACUGGGCUGGAGGGUUUUCUGGUUUCCUCCAGAGUAUAAGGCCGACUCAAGAAUUUGAGGGUCAAAACAAGUCUAUCAAAUCAAGAGUGCGUUCGACCUUGAUGAUAUGGGAUACUUUUACCAUUAACGAAGUAAUAGAUGAAUCGGCACGUGUUCUGUUACGCUUGUCUCCACAUGCUUCCUUGUAUCUUUCUUACUUGCCCUAUCUGUUCCUCAGGUAGAUGUGGUAUCUUUUCUGGAAGCAUAAGAUGUUGAAGAUGAGUACUCGAGAGCAAUGCCAGGUAAGUAAUCAGGCAAGGGGUUCCAGGCAGUCAGUUCCUGACUGGAAGCUUGAUUCUAAGUGCUGACUGAUUGCUCUCUUUCUCUUUGUCUUGCAGGUAAGAACAAGGGCAAAGGAAAAGAUAGGGAAAAAGCAUGAUAUGGGAUACUCUUGCUUUUGACCCUGAUGAUAUGAGAUACUCUUGCUCUGGUGUGGCUGGUUUGCAUAGGUAUUAUUGGGGGGGGGAAGAAAGCUGAGUAUUUCGAGAGGCUUUGUUGGGAGUGCCCUAUCAGAUAUGAGGAAGGGUUGAGCAUUUUUGCAGGUCUACCUGUCCGUGGAGGAUGGAUGUCGACAUAUAUAAGAGUCUCCCUAACAACAAGUAGUAAUGCUAUUCCUUUACCCUUCUUGGUUGUAACAAUGUAGUGGGAGCUGCAAGCUUCACGUGUUUUAACUUUGUCAGAGCACUUUGAAAAAGUGGUAUGUGGUAUCUGGAAAGCUGAUGUUGCGUGUGAAGAUCGUAGACAAGCUUUAUCCAAGGAAAUCUGGCUCUCGAAGUUCGGAGAGCGAUGCCUCUUCGAUUUUCGAACAAGCAAUCCUGUUGGGAGUCUGACUCUUGAGAUUCGGAGAGUAGUGUCUCUUUGAUUUUUGAGAAAGUAAUCCUGUUGGGAGUCUGGCUCUUGAGAUUUGGAGAGUGGUGCCUCUUCGAUUUUUGAGCAAGCAAUCUUGUUGGGAGUGUUUUCUCAAAUGUGAGUAAAGGUUGGGCAUUUUUGCUAAUCUGCCUUGCCACAGAACACGGAGGUUGACACACAUUGAGACUUUUUAGUUAUCAAGCAGUGGCGCUGUUCCUUUACCCUUGUAGGUAAUAGUAGGGUAGCUGGACCUUCAAAAUUUAUGUGUCUAAACUUUGUCAGAGAUCUUUGGCAAAGUUAUCUGUGGUACCCGAGGAGCUGAUGUUGUGUGUGGAAAGUGGUGCAUCUUCGAAAUCCGGAGAGUGGUGCCUCUUCAAUUUUUGAACCAACGACCUGUUGCCAUUUCUUUUAUAAGGGCACCAAUUGUGUGCAAGAAGUACAUUCAGAGAGUUAUUGCUUGUAGGAAUUUUCCCCUUACUUCAGAGAUUUAUUGCACCUCAUUUCUCCUUCAUCAUUUCUGAGAAUGUCUGGCCCAUCUGACCGUCGUUUUGACUUGAACUUUGGUGAAGAGGCAGCCAUGCCUUCUCAAGACAACAUAUGGCGCCCAUCCUUCUUAUCCCCUACUGGUCUUCUUACCAUUGGGGACUCUAUGAUGAAGAAUGAUAUGACCACUGCGGUGGUGGCCAGGAACCUUCUCACUCCCAAAGAUAACAGACUACUUUCCAAACGGUCUUAUGAGUUAUCUGUUAAAGAUUCUCUGGCUUUCAGUGUUCAGUGUGUAGGUUCUGUGUCUAAUAUGGCCCAACGCCUAUUUGUUCGAACCUGCCAAGUUAAAUCAUUGGCGGUUGAAGUGAUAAGUCUCAAACAGGAGAUCAGAGGGCUCAAGCAUGCGAAUAAAUAGUUGCACAUGCUCGCACAUGAAGAGGAAAUUCGACCAGCUGCAUGAAUCUGAUGGUUAGAUUUUACUUGAUCAUCAGCGGUUUGUGGGUUUGUUCCAAAGGCAUUUAUUGCCUUCGUCUUCUAGGGCUGUACCGCAUAAUGAAGCUCCAAAUGAUCAACAUUGGGUGCCUCCUCCUUUUGGGGUUCUGCCUAGUACUAAGGCUCCGAAUAAUCACCCUUUGGUGCCUCUUCUUUCUGGGGCUCUGCCGAUUGCCGAGACUUCUUCUGAGCAGCCUUUGUGAAGGCUCCCUCUUGUUUGUUUAUUUUGAUUCAUGUAUAUGUAUAUAUUUGUAACUUGUCGGAGAUAUCAAUAAACAAGCUUUGCUUCAUUUCAACGUAUUGUGUUAAAUACACCAAGGCCUUCUUCAUUAAGUUCUUUAAAUUUUUCCUUCUGUUAAAGCUUGUAUGUUGAAGCUUUGUGAGUGAAGCAUGUUGGUUGAGGUAGUGCUCCCUUAAUUUCUCGAGUGAGGAAAACUUCUCGUUUGGAGACUUGAAAAAUCCAAGUCACUGAGUGGUCGUGAGACUUCCGAGUAUGAAGGUGCAGUAGCAUAUGGUAGGAGUCCCUCAAGUCUCUGGUCAAGGGAGUUGACGAAUGAGGCAUUUUCUUUUUAAGUGGUAGCCCAAAACUCCUUCUUCAUAUAUAUUUGUUAUGAAAGUUGUUAGGCCCAAACAAUAGGAGGCCUAGGCAAAUUUUUUUUUUUCGAUUUGUUUUUUUUUUUUGAAUUUUUGAAUUUUUGAAUUUUUGAAUUUUUGAAUUUUUGAAUUUUUGAAUUUUUGAAUUUUUGAAUUUUUGAAUUUUUGAAUUUUCAAAUUUCCGAAUAUAUAUAUAUAUAUAUAUAUAUAUAUAUAUAUAUAUAUAAAGCUUUGUAGGUGAAGCUUUGGUGUUGAAGCUUUGUAGGUGAAGCUUUGUAGGUGAAGCUUUAGUGUUGAAGCUUUGUAGGUGAAGCUUUGAGGUUGAAGCUUUGUUGGGCACCAUGAAUUGAUUUUGCUUCACACUAUCUUGAUCAAGAUAGAGUGAAGCUUUUGUAGGUGAAGCUUUUAUGUUGAAGCUUUUGUGGGUGAAGCUUUUAUGGGUGAAGCUUUUGUGGGUCAAGCUUUUGUGGGUGAAGCUUUUGUGGGUGAUGCUUUUGUGGGUCAAGCUUUUGUAGGUGAAGCUUUUGUAGGUCAAGCUUUUGUGGGUCAAGCUUUUAUGGGUGAAGCUUUUGUGGGUGAAGCUUUUGUAGGUGAAGCUUUUGUGGGUCAAGCUUUUAUGGGUGAAGCUUUUGUAGGUGAAGCUUUUGUGGGUGAAGCUUUUGUAGGUGAAGCUUUUGUGGGUGAAGUUUUUGUAGGUUAAGCUUUUGUGGGUUAAGCUUUUGUGGGUCAAGCUUUGGAGUUGAAGCUUUUGUGGGUGAAGCUUUUGUGUUGAAGCUUUUGUAGGUGAAGCUUUGGAGUUGAAGCUUUGUAGGUGAAGCUUUGGAGUUGAAGCUUUGUAGGUGAAGCUUUGGAGUUGGAGCUUUUGUUGGGUACCAUGAAUUGAUUUUGAUUCACACUAUCUUGAUAAAGAUAGUGUGAAGCUUUUGAGAAUUUGUAGUUGUCCUCCAUUGAUGAAGCUUUUGUUGGUGAAGCUUUUGUGUUGAAGCUUUGUAGGUGAAGCUUUGGAGUUGAAGCUUUUGUUGGUUACCAUGAAUUGAUUUGCUUCACACUAUCUUGAUCAAGAUAGUGUGAAGCUUUUGAGAAUUUGUAGUUGUCCUCCAUUGAUGAAGCUCUGGAGUUGAAGCUUUUGUUGGUGAAGCUUUUAUGGGUGAAGCUUUUGUGUUGAAGCUUUUGUAGGUGAAGCUUUAGAGUUGAAGCUUUGUAGGUGAAGCUUUGGAGUUGAAGCUUUUGUUAGGUACCAUGAAUUGAUUUUGCUUCACACUAUCUUGAUCAAGAUAAUGUGAAGUUUUUGAGAAUUUGUAGUUGUCCUCCAUUGAUGAAGCUUUUGUUGGUGAAGCUUUUGUGUUAAAGCUUUGUAGGUGAAGUUUUGGAGUUGAAGCUUUUGUUGGGUACUAUGAAUUGAUUUUGCUUCAAACUAUCUUGAUCAAGAUAGUGUGAAGCUUUUGAGAAUUUGUAGUUGUCCUUCAUUGAUGAAGCUUUUGUUGGUGAAGCUUUUGUGUUGAAGCUUUGUAGGUGAAGCUUUAGAGUUGAAGCUUUUGUUGGGUACCAUGAAUUGAUUUGCUUCACACUAUCUUGAUCAAGAUAGUGUGAAGCUUUUGAGAAUUUGUAGUUGCCCUUCAUUGAUGAAGCUUUUGUUGGCACUAUAAAUUGGUUUUGCUUCACACUGUCUUGAUCAAGAGUGUGUGAAGCUUUUGAGAAUUGUGGUUACCCUCCAUUGAUGAAACUUUUGUUGGCACCAUAAAUUGGUUUUGCUUCACACUGUCUUGAUCAAGAGUGUGUGAAGCUUUUGAGAAUUGUGGUUGAACUCCUUUGAUAAAGCUCUUGUUGGCACCAUAAAUUGGUUUUGCUUCACACUGUCUUGAUCAAGAGCGUGUGAAGUUUUUGAGAAUUAUGGUUGCCCUCCAUUGAUGAAGGUCUUAUUGGCACCAUAAAUUGGUUUUGCUUCACACUGCCUUAAUCAAGAGUGUGUGAAGCUUUUGAGAAUUAUGGUUGAACUCCUUUGAUGAAGCUCUUGUUGGCACCAUAAAUUGGUUUUGCUUCACAUUGUCUUGAUCAAGAGUGUGUGAAGCUUUCUACGAGUUGUAGUGUUUGCAUUGUUACAGAGGGGAAAUGUUUGAAGCAGAUGCAAGAGGGCUGAAUAGCUUGAUCUUCGUAUGCUAUGCACUAAAGUUGUUGUUGGCUUGCAAUAAGACUUUGUUGGUGACUAUAACUCUUGUUGGGCAUAAGUGUUCCCCUAGUUGAGUUGUCAAGCUUGAGGGUUUUUGAUUAUUUGUGAAUGCUAGGAGUUCACAUGUACAAGUUGUACCACUCGUCUUAUGGUAAGUGGAAUGGAUGGUGAGUUACUUUCAUCACUUGGUUGGUGGUAUGAAGGUGAGUUCCUUCAUAACCUUUAAUCACAUUUUAUCACCCGGUUGGUGGCACGAGGAUGAGUUCCUUCUUCCCCUAAUAGGUGGCAUGAAUGGCAAGUUGCCAAAUGAUAUUAGAGUACAGGUUGUACAUUUCAUCACCUGGUUGGUGGCAUGAAGAAGAGUACAUGUUGUACAUUUCAUCACUUGGUUGGUGGCAUGAAGAUGAGUUCUUUCUUCACCUGGUUGGUGGCAUGAGUGGCAAGUUACCAAAUGAUAUUAGAGUACGGGUUGUACAUUUCAUCAUCUGGUUGGUGGCAUGAAGGAUAGUACGGGUUGUACAUUUCAUCACCUAGUUGGUGGCAUGAAGAUGAGUUCCUUCUUCACCUGGUUGGUGGCAUGAGUGGCAAGUUGCCAAAUGAUAUUAGAGUACGGGUUGUAUAUUUCAUCACCUGGUUGGUGCAUGAAAGAAAGUACGGGUUGCACAUUUUAUCACCUGGUUGGUGGCAUGAAGAUGAGUUCCUUAUUCACAUUUCAUCACCUGGUUGGUGAGAAUAAGGGCAAGGUGUCUAGGCACAAUGUAGCAAGUGUCGAAUGACACAAAGUAUGUUGAACCCUUUCAAAGUACAGUUGGCUUAUGUAUGAAUGUGUGGGAAUGUAUGAUUGAACGAAUAUACUGUGAAGCUGUUCGUUUAUUUGUAUAGUCUUGUUGACAUAUACUUAGACUUUGUUUCAUGUUGGAAGCAUUCAUGUUGAAGCUUUGAACGCGAGUGUUUCAUUGCUAGGAAUGUAAGAGGAUUAUGAUCAAGUUGUCUAAAUCACCUCUUUAUUGAAUUCAUGCCAAAUAGUAUUCGUUACAUAGGAUGCCGAACGGCUGAAGCUUAACACUUGUACAAUGUGCGUUUACUUGUAAUAGUACUUUAAGUGAUCAGCGUUCCAUGGAUGGCCAAUGUCUUGCCAUCGAAGCUUCUAAGCUUGUAGGAGCCAGGACGACUGAUGCCAACAACUUCAAAUGGUCCAUCCCAGUUUGGACUAAGUGUGCUUUCACUCGGGACUCUGUCGCAGAGUAAUCUUUUCUUCAAUACCUAGUCCCCCACUUUGAAAGAACGAGGUUUGACCCUGGAGUCAUAGUAGUUGGAGAUGCGCUGCUUGUAGGCGACAUUCCUCAAGUAAGCCUGGUUUUUGUGUUCCUCGACUAGAUCUAAGUUAAGGGUAAGUUGUUUGUCAUUUUCGCUUUGCACGUAGUUCUGGACUCGGAACGUUGAUUGCUCAAGCUCAACUGGGACAACUGCCUCUGUACCAAAGGUAAGUGAGAAUGGGGUUUCUCCUGUUGAUGUCCGAUACGAAGUGCGGUAUGACCAAAGAACUUGGGGUACAAAUUCUGGCCAACAACCUUUAGCCUUGUCCAAGCUGGUUUUCAAAGUUCGCUUGAUUAUUUUGUUGAUGGCUUCAACUUAUCCAUUAGAAUGGGGAUGAGCUAGGGAGGCAAAACAUAAGUUGAUGUUGAAUUUAGAGCAGAACAUCCUGAACUUAUUGUUGUUGAACUAUCGCCUGUUGUCAGUGACUAUCGAAUUGGGAAUGCCGAAUCUGCAAAGAAUGUUCUUCCAUACGAAGUCUUCUAUUUUUGCCUCAGUAAUGGUUGCUCAGGGUUCUACUUCGGCCCACUUUGUGAAGUAGUCAACUACAACGAUUGCAUAGCGAACCUUGCCAUUCCCUGCAGGUAUUGGGCCGAUUAAAUCAAGUCCCCAUUGGGCGAAGGGCCAAGAGCUGAUCAUAGGAGUGAGCGGCUCGGGAAGGGAGUGAGGAAUAGUUGCGUAGCGUUGACACUUAUCACAUGAGUAGGAUAUUCUGAUGGCAUCUUGGUGGAGUGUUGGCCAGUAAUAUCCUUGGCGAAAAGCCUUGUGUGUUAAGGAUCGAGAUCUAGCAUGAUCUCUGCAGACUUCUUCAUGUAUUUCCCAAAGGACAGUUUCCGCCUCUGCGGGCGUAAGACAUCUUAGGUAUGGUAGGUUAAAACCCCGCUUGUAGAGUUGGUCAUUAAUGAUCAAGUAACGGGUAGCCUUGUAUCGAAUCUGCUUAGCUUGUACUUUGUCAUUUGGAAGGGUGCCAUGAGCAAGGAAUCUACAAAUUGGGGUAAUCCAACUAUCCCCCUGUUGUAAGUUGCAUACUUCCGCAGCCAUGGUGCUUAGUGCUGCCAACAAUUCGACUUAAAUUUUUCUCCCAAUCUUGUCUUCCACCGCUGAGGCGAAGCGAGCCAAAGCAUCUGCAUGACUGUUUGCCGCUCGAGGAAUUUGGGUGAUCUGGUAGUGGAAGUGCUUGAGCAACAAUUGUGUUUGUGCCAGAUAUGCUGCCAUGAAGCUAUCCUUAGCGUCAAAGUUGUUGGUGACUUGGUUAACCACUAAUUAGGAGUCACUGAAGAUAUCAAUUCAUUUAACCCCAAGGUGUUUGGCCAAACGUAAGCCUGCUAUGAGGGUUCAUAUUCGGCCUUAUUGUUCGACGCCUUGAAUUUGAAACGAAGAGCAUACUCCAUCGCCACUUUAUCAUGGGUCGUAAGGGCUAGUCCUACUCCACAACCCUGUUGGUUAGACGAGCCAUCAACAUAUAGACUCCAUGCUGGGGCUGUUGGUUCUAUUUUCUGAGCUUCCGAGGGUAAUGAAACCACCUCUUUAAGCGUAGAAACAAUGUCAACAGGAUAUGUGAAGUUGACGAUGAAGUCUGCCACUCCUUGGCCCUUCUCAGCUGGCUUUGGUUGGUAGGAGAUGUCAAACUCACCCAAUGCUAUCGCCCAUUUGAUCAUUCGCCCAGAAGUGUCAGGACUUUGGAGUAUCUGUCGAAGAUGAUGAUUGGUAAGCACGAUGAUGGAGUGUGCUUGGAAGUAAGGGCAAAGUUUUCGAGCAGACAUGACCAAUGCUAGAGCUAAUUUCUCAAUGUUGGAGUAUCGUGUCUCUGCAUCUUGUAAGGCUUUGCUAGCGUAGUAGACAGGCCGUUCGACAUUACCAUCAUUUCGAAUGAGAACGGAACUUACUGCUGAAGCCGAUACCGACAGAUAGAUAAUGAAAGUGUCACCAACCUCAGGUUUGGAGAGUAAAGGGGCUUUACUCAUGUAGUCUUUGAGGUUCUUGAAUGCCUCAGCACAUUCAUCAGUCCAUGUAAUGUACUUCUUACUUCAUUUAAGUGCUUUGAAGAAAGUAGCACAUCUAUCUGUGGCCUUAGAGAUGAACCUAGUUAAGGUUGCCACCUUGCCAGUAAGGCUCUGGAUGUCUUUUGAAGUUACUGGUUCCUUCAUGUCGAAAUUGCUUUGAUCUUCUCGGGAUUAGCCUCAAUGCCUCGUUGGCUUAUCAUGAAGCCUAAGAAUUUACCAUAGCCUACGCCGAAGGCACAUUUAUUGGGGUUCAACCUCAUUCAAUACCUCUUCAGAAUGGUGAAAGUUUCAAAUAGGUUGGUGAUAUGUUGGUUAACAUGUUUGCUCUUGACUAGCAUAUCAUUAAUGUAAACUUCCAUGCUCUUCCCAAUGUGUUCGACGAACAUUGAAUUGACCAGUCUUUGAUAAGUCGCUCAUGCAUUCUUUAGGUCGAAGGGCAUGACUUUAUAGCAAUAUAGUCCCCUGUCAGUAGUGAAGGCUGUGUGUUCUUGGUCCGAAGGGUUCAUGAGGAUUUGGUUGUAUCCUGAGUAAUCAUCCAUGAAGCUCAGGAGUUCACACCCUGUCGUAGAGUCUAUAAGUCUGUUUAUGAGAGGAAGAGGAAAGCUAUCAUUCGGGCAUCCUUUGUUUAGGUCGGUGUAAUCGACACACAUUCUCCAUAAGACCUUUUGGAGCAGGAGACUUUCCUUGGUCGGAUUCUUCUUAACAAGGACAACAUUUGCUACCCAUGUUGGAUAAUUGACUUUGUGGAUGAAGCCUAUGCCUUUGAGUUUUUUAACUUCUGCCUUUAUUGCCUCGUACCGUUCCACGUCAUAAGAUCUUCGCUUUUGUCUCACUGGCUUGGUCUUGGGGUCAAUACUUAGGCAAUGAUAGAUUAUAUCGGGGGAGAUGCUUGGCAUGUCCUCGUAUGACCAGGCAAAGACCUCAGUGUUCUCUUGCAAAAAAGAGAUCAAUGCCAACCGAAUGGGUGGUGACAAGGUGGUACCAAUCUUCACCAUGCGAUCCGGAUAAUCUUUUGAGAUAGAGACCUUCUCCAACUCUUCAGCGGGUUGUGCUUGCUGGGUGAAAGAGUCAUCUCGAGGAUCGUCGGGUUGACUGUUGCCACCGUGAAGAUCCAAGUUGGCUUCGUCUGGGCUGGUCUUUAUGACUUGGUCAUGUAUAGAAAGGGUUUCCUUGGGCACAAGCAGGUGCUGUUGCUUGACCGAAGUGUUGUAACAUGAUCGUGCACUAAGUUGAUCUCCUAUGAUGUAACCAUUGCCAUAGGGGGUUGGAAAUUUCAUCAACAACAUAUGUGUGGAUACCAUGGCCUUGAGAUCAUUGAUGCUUGUGCGUCCGAAGAUGACAUUGUAUGCCAUUGGGCAAUCAACCACCAGGAAGUUAGUGGUAAUAGUAGCUGUGUAAGGGCCUGUACCAAUGGUGAAAGGUAAGUGUAUGCUCCCCAAAGGUUGCACGAUAUCGCCGGAGAAGCUUAUCAAAGGGGAAAUCGAGCGAUCGAGCAAAUUUUCAGCUACAUUAAGUGCCCUGAAAGCUUUAGCAAACAUGAUAUUGACUGAAGCCCCCGUGUUUACCAAGAUUCGUCGUACUUCAAAGUUGGCUAUGUGAGCUUCCACGAUCAGUGGGUCGUUGUGAGAGUAGAUGAUACUUACCUCUCCUGAUGUCUUCCACGUGAAACACUUGGUGGCCAGACCUUAAAGCUCGUUCAUUAUUUUUCAUGGCCCUGUUGAAAGAUUUAGAUAUGGGUGUGCCACCACUUAUGGAAUAUAUCACAUUAACCUGGCGUUGGUUACGGUUACCCCUUGGAAGGUGAAGGAGGAAUUGAUCAAAUUUUCCUUCACAUGCCAAAGCUUCAAUAUGAUCACGAAAGGUGAUACACUUCUUGCCUUCAUGGUCGUUAUACUUGUGGUAGCAGCAAAACGUGCCCGUGUUCUUCGUGGACUUGUAAUCUGAGUGCCUCGACUUUGGCUUUGGUAUCAGGUAUGCUAUGCUGGGGUAAAUGGCCAUGCAUGUGGCGUUCAAAGGUGUGUAUGCCUCAUACCUCGGGGUAGGGGCUGUCUUGACACGUGCUUGACCCACUGUGUUGACUGCCUAGGGUCGAGGAUUAUCGUGGCGAUACUUUUGGUUAUCGCGGUAGUGUCCCUUACUCAUUUUACUAAAAUAAGACUGGUGAUGAUGGAAAUCUUUCCUUUUACCCUGAGAUUGAUAUGUCUGUUGACUUGGCAAAGUAUUAAGUAAGGCAGGGGGAGACACCGCUGCCGUUUGGAAGGUCGAGGUCUUCUCAUUUGGUUGGAUCUGGCUUCCACUCCCUACUUGCUGAUAAUAGGUGGAUAUGGGGGGUUUCCCUUGAUAUGUCCUUGCCUCAGCGGAGGCAUGGUUGUAAACCUGUGCCAUCACCUCAGAGUAAGUCUUCCAAGUGUUGGCAUUGAUCAUGUACUUGAAGAAACAAUCACGUAUGCCUGCCAUGAAGGCCUUGAAGGCGGUCUUAUCAUCUGCCUCAGCGCAGCGAGAAUACUUAUGGCUAAAGCGACUGACAUACUCUUGUAGUGACUAGUCCGGCUUCUGGCGAAUAGUGUACAAGUCAUCUGCAUAAUGCAAGCGAUCGGUCUGGAAAAUGUGGUGAGAAACAAAUAGUUUCCUCAAUUCCUCAAAUGAGUCUACUGUCUCAGGUGGAAGAAGGCAAUACCAAUUUAGAGCUCCGCCAGAGAGGGUGGAGGGGAAGAGAAGACAUCGCUCUUCGUCGGUGUGCAUCCGGUAUGCCAUGGUGGACUCAAAGAGGUUAAGGUGUUUAAUCGGGUCCUCUUUUCUAGUAUAGAGUUGCAAGCCAAACUUCUGCUUUGUCUUUGCUUGGAUGAGGUGUCGAUGAUCCUCUUUGUAAGAGGACUAGGCCUAGGUUGGUUCCAAUUAGGUAUCUCUGCUUGUCGUUCGGCCUUCAACUUGUUUACUUCCUUAAGAAGCUGUAGGACAAGAGGGUCCUGAGUGGAGUCAUGUACGACUGGAGCUUUCUUUCGUAAAUCUCAAUCUCCUCUGGAAGCAGGAAGGUUUGAUCAAGAGCAUGUGAUUUUUCCCUAGACUCGCCGUACUGACUUUCAAGGUAUGUCUGUCGAAACAUCUCUGAGUCCUCUAUACCUUCGUGUUUCUCUAGGACUUGUUGCCUCUUUCCCAAAUUGGUAGCCGGCCUGGGACGUGGAAGGGGACCGAGUCUUUCAGAAACCCUUGGGUCAUUGAUCUUCGAACUUAUGUGGUGGGGAUUCUCUCAAUGUUGCUUUAGGAAGUCUCGGCAGUCACGAUAAACGGCUUUCGAUCAUUCCAACCUUUCUGCAAGGAGGUGUCUUUCUCCACUUCUCCUGCUUCGGGUCGAAGCAGUUGGGUUGAGAGAAGUCUCAUGCUGAUCAAUGUUUUGAUGAUUAGCUCGCUCCUCAUCAGAGAUACCCAUGUUGAAGGAAGGUGACCCUCCUUGUUGAUAGGCAUCCAGAUGAUGGUUGAUGUCCACAGGGGUAACGAGUUCUUGUGUUUGAGUACGCCCAGUUUUGUGGAGCAUCUCAAAGAGCUUCUCAUACUGCUCUUGGAGGACCUCAUUCUUCAUUGCUAUCUUGUUGUUUUGAGAUUCUAGCUCAUCGACUUUAGCUUGAAGAGCAACCUUCUUUCCUUCCUUCUUUCGUUGCUUCGCACUAGGUGCAAGAUGGGUGUCAUUCUGUGUGCUGUGGCUUCCUUUACUCCCCAUGUUGGAGAGGGAUGCCUGGUUAAAAGAGAGUGUACGAAUGGUGGAAACCAGCUUGGCAAAGCUGAAGAGAGUGGGAAUAAGUGUCGUUCCCACAGACGGCGCCAAAUGUUGAUGCACAAAAUCAGUGAGGACUUUGGUACAACAGAAAGUGUUAAGUUUGUGACCUUCACUAGAUUGCUCCGGUCACUAGUGUGAAUAAGUAUGUAAAUGGAUAGGGACAGGGAAGCAAACACAAGAUGUACGUGGUUCACCCAAAUUGGCUACAUCCACGGAGUAGAGGAGUUCUCAUUAAUUAUGAAGGGUUUACACAAGUACAUAUGUUCAAGCUCUCCUUUAGCAACUACUAGUGAAUGAUUUAGUACAAAUGACAUUAGGAAUUAUUGUGAGAGAAUGAUCUCUAUUUAUAGAAGAAAGUUUCUAGUUCCAUUCUGAUUGACACGUGUCGUGUUGUGAUUGGCUUCUGAUGUUGACACGUGUCGCGUUAUGAUUGGCUUCUGAUGUCGACACGUGUCGCGCUGUGAUUGGCCUCCUGGUUGGAGGGAAACUCUUCUGGGUCCUUGACGGUAUAAUGUUGACCGGUGCUCAGUAGUUUCGGGAUUGGUCAAGUAUGGUACAAACAUAGUUUGUUGUUUAUUUUUUCAAUUUAUCUUCGUCUAGUUUUUAUUGGAACUUUUAUAUUGGGACAACUCGAUGUUAAAAUCUUGAAUCCGGCACUAUCUACUGUUAAUGAAUGACAUGGACUUAAAACAAAAAAACAUAUUAACGGGUUGGCUCGAUAAAACAUUUGACCCGUUAAACUUCGACUUGAUUUCUGAUUUUUUUUGUGUCGUUCAUAAAAUUGCAAAUCUAGUUCACACCCUAUUUUUCCUUGUAAUUGGAUACGUCUAAAAUCUAGUACUUUUGUGUUUGUAACUGGAUAGUUUCAAAGUUCAACUCUAUUAAUGGUGACAUGGGUAUAGGUAUGGUAAUUCAACAAAUAAAUCCAAUAACUUUGGAUAACCAUCCGAAUGGGGGCAAAUUUGGGGAUGAAAAUUGAGGCAUUUUUUGGAUAUGGGGAAAAACCGUUAAUAUUAUUCAAUUACAAUUUUGUACAUGACUAUAGGAAUCCCCAAUCCGUUUCCGUCAUGCUUCCGCCCCAAAUAAUAUAGUAUAAUAUAAAAACACUACAAUACAAUACCAUACAAUAGAAUACAAUACAACAAUACAAUACAAUACAAUACAAUACAAUACAAUACAAUAUAAUAUAAUAUAAUAUAAUAUAAAUGUAAUACAAUAUAAUAUAAUAUAUAUUCACGUAUGGAAAUUAUUUGAUAGUUUUGCUUUCGGUGCAUUUUUGCUCAUCCACAUUAAUUAAUUGUGGUGUAUGCUUACCACACACCUCUAAGCAUGCCAAGUGUCCUCUUACUUGACCCUAGUUAACCUUUUCAUUUAUUAUUAAUUAUAUUAUAUAAUAAUGAAUUAAUCAUCAUUUGAGCAUUAUCUUUUAAUUUUUUAAUUUUAGCAUGGUUAUACAAGUAAUUGACACGCUAGCCGGAUAAACUCCAAAGCGUCUUAACUUAUGUUUACAAGACUAUCAAGAAAUUAACGUGUGUGUCGAGCGCCCCAAAAACCAUAACUUUACUUUUUAUUCAUCACAAAUUCAGUGCCUCCAUAUUCAUAACAUGUGUCAUACAUCCAUCCUUAGUUCAGGGAACAAACAUACUCUUCUGAAGCAUUGAGAUUGAGUUAAAAUCUGAAAAACAAAAUGCCAUCAUUUUAGGGCAAAACUAAUCACCACAUCACUUCAGCUUCGGGAAAAGCUUGGGAGCAACCUGCAUCGCGCAAUUGUAGUUUUAGGCUUUUAGGUCAACAAACAUGACAGUAUAACUAAAUGAGUUUCAAGACCUUUGAACACUACUACUUACACAUUUGUCGAUACAAGACCAGAAAUCAAAAUAUUGUCCAGUACAAUGCUUGUGUCCGCUUUCAUAAUCUUGGAUCCUCUUAACGCAUGCAUGCAACAAAGUAUGAGAUUGCCAUUUGUACACACCCUUUGCAAACUAAUUCAAAUUCUAGGGCUACAAACUUCCGUGCAGGUUAACCAAGUUGGGAAACACUUGUGUUUUCUUGUUCAUCUCUGGCAAAAGGUAGAAAACCACAAAAUAAUUACAGUGGAGAGUUUAAUAGCUAAUAUUCUAAAUCUUAACUAUCUCUAUUUAUUAAUUCCAUAUAGUUAGGGUGAAAUAUUUCUGGCUUCCUUUUGUUUCCUCAUGACUAGUUGUUGACUUGUAUACUAUUUUCCUUUAAUUCUGGGAUUCCUAUAAUAUUAGGUUUCCUAGUUUAGGUUGUAGAUUGAUUGUAAUUAUUCUUUCCUUAUUGUAGUAGGAUUGUACUUGAUUAUAUAUACCUCAAAAUGAGAAGAAUACAAUUAACACAUUCAAAGCAUUAUCUUCUUGGCACCAGAGCCAUGUCGUAAAAAAAAGGAAAGAAAGUUUCGAACCCUAACAAGGUUUGUUAUUGUGCCGUGCCCAGCAUCACCGUGGUGCCUCUGAAAAAAAGCAAGCAACGUGAAGUUGUUGCUGUGUCCCGAUCUUAUUGCCCUGAAUUCUGAUAAGCAACGCGUUUUGUUGCUGGCCCGAGUACCUUUGCCGCUGCACAUGUUUUCUAGUCUCUAUGAAAGAUGUCUUCCGAGAACAACCAAAUCGUUUUUGCUACCGCUUCGGUCAUGAUUCAGCCAGAUAAUUCAAACUUCAACAUUGGGAUGGUUUUGGAUGAGAAGAACCAUGACAUAUGGGAUCCUCUUAUUCAAAUUCAUAUUGUUGGAAGGAAGAAGAUAAGAUAUCUUUGUGGGUCCAUUAAGGCUCCUGCAGAGGAUGAUCCCAAAUAUGAUGAUUGGUUCUCUGAAGAUCAGAGAAUUAAGAGUUGGCUCUUGUCGGCAAUGAAGCCGGAGAUCAUGAAACGUUAUAUUUGUUUUUCAACUUCUAAAGAGAUAUGGGAUGCUCUUAAGAUUGCUUAUUUUGAUGAGAAUGAUGAGGCUAGAAUUUAUUCAUUAAAUCAGAAAGCCUCACGUCUCAGGCAGAAUGGGCGGCCUUUGGCUAGUUACUUUGGAGAAUUGACAGAGAUUUUUCAGGAAUUAGACCACUUUAAUAAAGUGGCCAUGGCAUGUGAAAAAGAUGUUUUGAUUUUCUAGAAGACAACCGAGCGACAAAGGUUGUAUUUGUUUCUUGGUGGGCUUGAUGAUGAGUAUGAUCAAGUUCGUGGAGAAAUAUUGCGCAAAGAUGCACUUGGACUUCAAGCUACUUAUGCGUAUGUCUGUCGUGAAGCAGAUCGCAAGGAAGCUAUGAAGAUGGAGGGCCAAAGCUUAGAACUGACCGCAAUGGAGAAGUAAAAAGCAGAAUGUAGUAGCUUGUUCAAGUGCAGAAGCAGAAUAUAGAGUUAUGGCUCUUGGUAUUUGCGAACUCUUAUGGCUUAAGUUUCUAUUAUGAGAUUUGAGGGUCAAUCAUAGUUCGUCGAUGAAGUUAUUUUGUGACAACAAAGCUGCUAGGGAUAUCGCUCCUAAUCUGGUACAAUAUGAUAGGACGAAGCAGGUGGAGGUUGAUAGGUUCUUCAUUAAAGAGAAAUCUACUACAAAAUUAUCUAUAACUGGUGGUCCAAAAACCGAAAAAAAUGUAUAUUACUGUCGGAUUUUAAGCAAAAUCGGACAGAAAAUGGAUGUAGCGGCGGAUAUAAUAAGCGACCGAAUUGCCAGCAUCAGGAAAUGAAUUUUCUGACAGAAAAUACUCUAAAAUCGACAGAAAUUGUGUCGGAUAUAACUGACAAAGAAUAUAUUAAUAAUGAAUAAAUAAGAGCAUUUCUGUUGGCUAAAACCGACAGAAAAUACUAAAACCGACAGAACUUAUGUCGAAUCUAAUCGAUAGAGAAUUUAUUAAUAAGAAUAAAUAAAAGCAUUAUUGUCGGAUAAAACCAACAGAAAAUAUAUUAAUAAUAAAAAAAUAUAUAAACAAUCACUUUCUGCAUUUUCCAUAUCCCAUGCAUUCACUGUAUUUUCCAUAUUCACAGCAAGAUCAGACAUAGCUUCAUUAGGAAGCAGUUUAGGAUGCGUCAUGCUAGCCACUGUUACAACAUCGUUUGUUCUACCUGCACACAUUCCAUUAGAAUCACUCAAUCACAGCAAGCAUUGCUCAUUGAAAUGAAUCUCUCCCCGAAAUCGAAUGAAAAUCGAAAUACUUACAGUGUUGAUGAGAUCUAUGAUCACAGAGAGCUCUUGGUGCGCCAAUUGCAAGUUCACCACCAUGCUUUGCCAUUGCCACUGUGUCGCCCGUUCUCUUUCGAGCGUUUCUUCUACUUCUUGUUCUCGUCCUUCUCCACUGCCCAAGUGAAAUCGAUUCUUCGAAUCAAAUUCUGUCACUUCUCGUCGUAGCCUACAUCACUUUAAUCGAAGAAAUAGAUAAUUAGGGUUUCCGAGAAAUCAAAAGUUGAUGCCUGUUUCGUUGCCAAGAAAAGAAAAUCAAACAAAAAGAGUAUAAAUCGAGGUAGCGCAAGAGAGCUUCAGCCUCCCAAUUGAAUCUGGCAGUGUGACAACUGUGCUUGAACUCAUGUCUAGCACACGCAUAUAUGUAAGUGAAUGAAUUAUUUCACCUUGUCCUUUCCCAAAGGCUCUCAGUUGCAAGUGUUGAACUCGACAGAAGGAAGGGAGGGGAGAAAAGGGGGAAGGAAUGGGGAAGGGAGAAGGAAAUGAGGAGAGAAGAGAAGAGAUGUAAGAUCCCACUCACCUUGAUAAUUUGAGCUUUGACAAGACAACCUAUCUAAAAAUCUCCAGAACUUAAGCUUACAUGCAUACUGACUAACUCCUGCAUGAUAACAAACAAGAGCCUUUGCUCUUAUUCAUACACUCGGCCUUUCUCCCUGCUUCUCUACGUUGCUCUUUGCAACAUUGCUCUCUGUGCGUGUAGAUGAAAUGAAAGAGUUUGAGGGAAAAAGAGAUAUGAAAUAGAGAGAGAUUGAGUGGCUGAGAAUAAGUGAUGUGAGGGAGGGGAGAGUGCACGGGAAAGUGGGGUGUGUGUCAGAGAGAGAAAGAUGUGAGUGAAGAGAACCGGCUGAUAGGGGGAGAAGAAAUAAAAUAAAAGUGGGAGGAUGGGACAUGAGAGAAGAAGUGAGAGAGAUUUAAUAAAAAGUAAUGAUGGUGCUGUUGAAAAGAUAAAAAGGUCAUGAUGAUGUUUGUAGAAAAAGAAAGAAGGCCGGCAGAUGGAAGUGGGGAAGGAUCCCAUUUUCUGAUCUUAAAACUUCACAGAAACCUAACCAAAAACGGGUUCUCACAAGAGAAGAGAAGGAAAUGCAAGGAUGAGAAAAGGGGGAAGGAAGGGGGAAGGGAGAAGGCACCGGCGCAAGGAAGAGAUGGAGGGAUUUUAUGUUGGAAAAUUUUCAUUACUGUCGGUUAAAACCGAUAUAAAUAUUUUUUAAAUAUAAACCGACAAAAAAUUUUCAUUACUGUCGGUUAUAACCGACAGAAAAAAAUGGUGGCAAAAAUCCCCCCAAAAUACCCUCCCAAAAUUUUGUUAUGAUUUAAAAAAAUAAAAUAAUUAUUGUUUGGUUUAAUAAAUAAAUAAAUAAUAUGUAUUUAAAUAGAAUACGUUUUUAAAAAUUAAAUAAAUAAUUGUUUGGUUUAAUAGAUAAUAACCCAUGUAAAAUAUGCAAUAAAGAAACAAAAAGAUAAUUGUACAAUGAAAAUGUCAUCAUACAAACUAAAUAUUGUCUAAUCAAUACUUGAAAAACAUAAAUAAAAAUUUAGCACAAAUUACUUUUCCCACUUCAAAAUUUAGGCAAAUUUAACGGAGAUAUGCAUUCUACGAAACUAAUUUCAAUGAUCUAACCGUGAAACUUGUUUGUAGAUACUACAGGAUCGCAUAAUAAAAUUUUCAUUUCUAUUGGUUAUAACCGCAAGAAUACUAAAAUAAUAACCGUCAGAAAGUAAAAUAAUAAAAUUGUCAAUUUCUGUCGGUUAUAACCGCCAUAAUCUGUCAAAAAUAUUAUAAAAAAAAGAUUCAAAAAUACUGUCGGUUAUAACCGACAUGAUUUUUUUGAUAUCCGCCAGGACUCUAUGUCAGAUAUAACCAACAUGAUUUUUUCUAAUAUCCGCCACUAAUUAAAUGAUGUGUCAGAUAUAAUUUAUCCGACAUGAUUUUUCUAAUAUCUGCCACCUAAAGCUAAUAUUGUAGUCGUGAUUAGAGGGAAAAAUAAUUGAAUUGCCUCCGAUUAGGAACCGAGGAUCAAGUGGUUGAUAUACUCACAAAGGCUGGUUUGAGUGACAAGUUCUCAAGCUUCUUGAACAAGUUGGGCAUGUGUGACAUAUAUUCACCAACUUGAGAGGGAGUGUUGACUCGUAUAUUAUUUUCCUUUAAUUCUAGGAUUCUUAUAAUAUUGGGUUUCCUAGUUUAGGUUGUAGAUUGAUUGUAAUUAUUCUGAUUGAUUGUAAUUAUUCUUUCCUUAUUAUAGUAAGAUUGUACAUGAUUAUAUAUACCUCAGAAUGAGCAGAACACAAUUAACACAUUCAAAGCAUUCUUUUCUCUAGUGACCACCCACCAUGACCAAGUGUUUGUAAAUUAUAGGGAUGUGCUAUCCACACACCCCAUUUUACUUCUCACACACCCCUUGAUAAUUUCUAUCCGUUGAUCUUCUUCAAUUCAUCCGAUCCGACAGUCGAAAAUUAAAAAGGUGUGUGAGAAGUAAAAUGGGGUGUGUGGAUAUCACACCCCAAAUUAUAUUACAUGUUUCACUAUCAUCUCCUGUCAUUGUGAGUUUAUGCUGAACUCUUGAAUCUUGAACGAAAAGUUGCUUUCUAUUUUUUUCAGAAUUUUGCCAAACCGUUUUUGGUGUUUGCUAUGUGCCUUACUAGCAAGCAAGACAUUAGAUGUCAAGCUGGUCUUCAAGGACGACCCUUAUCCUGGUCAGAGUAAUGAAACAAGGGAGAAAGACACUUCAUUGCCAAAAAACCUUAGGAUGUUGCAAAUUCCUGACACUCGAGGAACGGUGUCACACACUUUGGAUUGCACGAUUUUUCGGGGUACUUCUUUUGAUAAGUAGGUUCCUCGUCCGUCCUAAAUAUGUUUUACCAAAACUAAUAAAAAAAAAUAGAAAAGAAAUAUAAACUAUACAUGCACACAAAAAAGAAAAGGGACAUGCUCAAUAUAAAUCGAGAAUAGAUCGGCGUUGCACACAAAACAAGUAUAGCAUUGGAGAGUCCAUAAUAGUAUUAUCACUAAAGAAAGAAUUGAGCUACCAAUACCACCUAUUAAGGGAAGGAUCCAGUAGUAUAAACAUUCAGAACUGACCAGUAGUAUGAACAUUCCUCGUCCGCCCUUCCCAUUUCUUAUUUUCUACCCCACAUUUUUUAUCCUCCACUAGAAAUCAGAAAAACCAAAAUGAAGAAAAAAAACGAAGAAGGUUCUCCCACAACGAUAUUAAAAUAUCGUGGCUUGGCAGAAAUAGCUGAAAAGGAAAUCCCUAUUACAUACAAACAUAGCAGACUUCUCAAUUCAUGGAUCCAAUUUAUUUCUCCCUUCUGUCUGUGUGUAAACAUAUUCAGCCAAAGGCUUCUUUGAAUAACUUAUUACAUAGAGGAAGCUUUGAUUGGGGAUCCCUCAAAUAAGCUUAUUAGAGGGAACACAUCUAGCAUUGUAUAUCAACGAUUCAAACAAUCUAAGUUUUUAUGUCUUUUCUUGAAGAUCAUCCUUACAAAAAAUCACUUAAAUCAGUGGCGGAGCCACAUGGUGGCCAGCAUAUAGGGGCAGGCCCAUCCCAAAAAUUUCCAAUAUAUACAAGUUAUCUGCUUCCUUUAGUAAAUAGCUUGUGGUGUAUUGGUGAUUAGUAUAUGAUAAUAUUGGAGGAGUGAUUGGUUCGAAGCUUGUUGGAGCAAAAAACCUAACCAGCCUUCUGUUAUAAAAUUCAAUUGCUCUUGCUAGGCAAUUCACAACUCCACACAAAACAAGGUCUAUACAAUUUAGAAGAAGAAAUUAUGCUUAAAGAAAAAUCUCAUAGGAAUGGUUUUGAUUCUUAACUUUAAAUUUUUGUUCGGGCUUUUUAUCUUUAUUUUAUUUUAUUUUAUUUUUAUUUUAUCAAAACUCAUAAAGAAGUUAUGUUUUUAUGAUAUAAUCUUCUCAAUACCAAUUUUUUUCAUAUGAAUUUUAAAGCUCCAUCACAUUAUAUAUUUGUUUGAUUAAAAACUUUCAUCCCAAUUUCCAACUAAUUAUAUUGCUAUAUUUUGUCUAGUUUCUUUCUUAUGGCUUAAAGGCCCCUCCUGUGACCGAUUUUUGGUUUCGCCACUGACUCAAAUCUGACACCAUUAUUGUAUGGCUUUCAUUUUAAUGUUUCCUUGAAAUACCGUGUUCAUCUAGUUAUUCUACUGAGACUUGAUAUUUUACAAUUUCGGAUUUGUCUCACUUGAAGAUGAACUUUGAAAGAAGACAGUUCGUAAUUUCAGAUUAUUGAAGGGGUGCUUUAGAUUUUGACCCUCACAAUUCAUGAUUCCUAGAUAAAAACUCAUCUACAUAUAAACGUUCAAUAAAAGCCCAAAUUUAAAAUCUGCAGCCAUAUUGGAACAUUAUUAACCUACUAAUACAAUUUAUUUACACCCAUGCCACAUUCCCAAAUCCCUAAAUAUAUUCCAAAUUAAAAGUUGUAGAAAAGUGAAAUAAAAAAAAUAUAAAUUGUUGUAUUGCAUUAAUUGUAUCCAUAUCAUACCAAAAUUUUACCUUUUUUGUGAUAUAUAUUUUGCAUUAAUUGGGAAGUAAAUUAAUUUGUUCCAAUUAUUAAAAAAUUAUACUAAAUCCGUAUUAUAUAUAUUUUGAAUCAAAUAACACUUCUCUAACUUGUAGGUAAAUUAUUUUUCAUGUAUUGUUAAAUAUAUUAGGCACAUUUUAUUGUUGUAUAAAUAUAGGUAUGAAAUAAUAUUUUUCAAUAUAAUACAUCAAAUUAUAUUUCUUCUUGUUAUGGGUAAAUUAUUCUCCAUGUAUUAGUGAAUAAAAGAUAUUAUAUUACACACGGGGUAUAAGUUUUUGCAGGUAAAUGAUUGGAAAUUAAUUUGUAGGUAGGUAAAUUAAUUUGUUCCAAUUAUAUUAAAUAUAUAUAUAUAUAUAUAUAUAUAUAUAUAUAUAUAUAUAUACUGCACCUAGAUUAUAUAUAUAUAUAUAUAUAUUGACACACCCCGACCCAGAGGAUCAAGGCGUGCUGGCCGUCACGUGAGCGUGACGUAACCAUAAGUGCGACACGGAAGCAAGAUAUAACAAAACAUAAGGAAUUCAAACCAAUCUCUAGUAGAACCACCUACUAGAAUAAAAGGAUGAGUUAUAAGGUAAACACAUAAAUUCAGAGCAUAGGUUUAAGUGCAGUCAAGUAGGACCAAAAUAAAAUACAUCACCCGCAGGUGAGUCCUACAUGAAGAGCGUCUGUCAGAAUGCCGAAAAACACCUCGAGAGCCACCAACCGCUAACUAGAACCUGGAGGGGCGCAAAACAAAAUUGAGUGGGUCAGUAAAAUCAAAGAUUUUCCAAAACAUUUCAUUUAAAACAUUUCUAACCCCUCACCGAAAAACCUGUAUACUUUCCCAGAAAAAUAAUAUAUAAACAUAUAUAUAGACAUAUCAUCAAAACUCAGCUCAUAUCCAUCAACAUAACAUCUCAGAAAUAAUAUGCCACGCCAUGCCAAAUAUAGUCAGAAAUGCAUCAAUAUCAAUCAGGUGAAAUAAUAAAUCAACCGAAGACCCUGCAAUGGUCCUGUACGGCUGAUUCUAAAGCUCAACAUCCCACUCAGCCAGAGUCACCACAGUGACCUAUACGGCCUUGCCGGAGUCACCAACUGUGACUUGUACGGCACUACACUGCACAUCACUCGGAACUACGUAUAGUAGUCUGUAUGAUGAAAGGUGUAUAAAUACGCUCUAGUGCUUUUCUCAUCAAUCAUCAGCGCGCAUAACUAAGGUCACCACUAGUCGGAAUCACAUCUAGUGAUCUAUACGACUAGCAUGUCAGAACCCUCACAUGGUCUGUACGACAUCCACCUACUUGGAUCCAAGACGAAUGUGCGGUGUGGUGAAUAAUAAUAUAAGCACUAACACCUAGGGUGCAGGUUAUGAGCUUUCAAUGCAAUUCUCAUAAAAUAACUCAUUUGAAUAAUAUAAAAACUCACCUGUGCGUCCACCGCGUCAAUUAACAUAUAUAUGCAUCCAUUAUCAAACUAAAUAUCUCAACAUUUGCAUGCAUGACAAUUUAAAUCAUAAUUUUCAUAUAAACGAAUUUUCUGGGAAAAACAGUUGUAUAUAGAUAAUACGAAAACAAAACUGCCCACUCACUGAUAAGUCGAUGGGUCGUAACCCCCGUGACGUCCCUGGAUGCGCUCGUCCUCGGGAUAAGUGUCACCUAUAUGCGAAACAACUAUAAAAACGUUAAUUUAAACACAUAACCAACAAUUCGAAAUAACUUCUCAUACGAUGCUCAAUUUGGGUAUAUGAAUAUACCACAUUGACCUACUCGACGUCACGGACGUCGAGUAAUUUUUAGAAAAAAUUUUGGAGGCUGCACGCGCCCCCAUGCGCUAGGACAGGCACGGGGACACGCGCCCCCACGCGCACCAUCUUCAACCUCGGGCUCGCUGGACUGAACUUUCCGGCGGCCGGUUUCCGGCCAAACUUUGAACGUCUCGUUCUCCUUCGUUUCUCAACCAUUUUCUUCGUAUUUUAUACCAAAAUGAAGCCCCAAACAUGUAGAAUCACGAUACACUACUUUUAAGCUUCAAAAACAACUAAAUCUCACAGGAAAAAUUCAAGUAAAACCGGCCAAACUUAACCCUCGUGAUCCCGACGUCCAAAUCCUUCAAACGAAGCACUCCGAGCUUCCUUGGGGCCUCACUAAGCUCACUAUAAGCUUAGAAUUCCCUGAAACACAACAUUUCAUGUGUGCAUGAACAGUGACCAAAAAUGGGGGUUUCGGAUUCACGUGAAAUCGAAGGUUCUACGUCCUAAAACCAGUACCAAUCAACUCAAAACAUCUCAAGGAUGAAGAUUCUUACCUUGGUUACCUCGAUCCACAGCAUUUUGGGUGGUUUUGGUGUGAGCCGUACGUUUUGGGUGAGAGAGGGUCGUGAGGGAGGAGAGAGAGGGAAGGUACGGGGGAGAGAGAGAGCAGGGAGUGUGGUCCAACCAACAUACAUACAAGUUUUAAUUCCUAACCACACAAAAAUAUAAAUCAAAAUUUUAAUCCAAAACUCGUAAAAUUAAUCCAAUUAACAUCACACCCACGUACCUUAAUACCCGCUAAGGGCAAAUCCGUCAUUUCACGUCCUUAAUAAGAACAUCCCGGGACGGGCUGUGACAUAUAUAUAUAUAUAUAUAUAUAUAUAUAUAUAUAUAUAUAUAUAUAUUUGAGAAAACCUAGAUUAUAUAUUUUGAAUCAAAUAACAUUUUUGUAUAUAUGGUAGGUAAAUUAUUUUUCAUGUAUUAUUACAUAUAUUAACCUAUUAGGGGCGUUUUUUGGUAAAAAUAUAUAAAGUAAUAUGUAUAUGAUUGUUUGUAGGUAAAAGAUAAAAUCAAAAGCAUGAUCCAAUUCCUAAGUUUAUGCAAUAUUUUGUUGUUGGUAUACAAUAUUUUGCAUAAUUGGAAAUGAACAUUUCAAAUAGUAGGUAGGUAAAUUAAUAUGGUCUAAUUAUAUAAAUACACACACACACACACACACACACACACACAGAUAUAUAUAUAUAUAUAUAUAUAUAUAUAUAUGCACAUUUUGAAUCAAAUAACAUUUUUGUACAUGAUAGGUAAAUUAUUAUUAUUUUUUAUGUAUUAUUACAUAUAGUAGGUCUUUUGUUUUUUGUUUUUUUGGUAAAAAUAUAUAAAUAGUAUUAAGCCAACAAUUUGAUAUUAAUUUGCAAUGAAUUUUUAACAUUAAUGUCAUAUUUUUCUUUUUGCAAAAUCAUUAACUCUCACCUUACAAUAUGUAUAGAAUUAAUUGUGUACAUCAAAUAUGCAAUAGGAGUAUUUUAGGCAUCUAAAAAAAUGUAAAAUGUGUAAAGUAGUAUGUAAUUUAUGAAUUCACUUAGGUGGAUCCUAGUUAAUGCAGAACGACAAAGGGAUAGAGGAGAUGUCAAAAACACAUAAGGCUUGACAGAAAAAUGAUAGAAGAGCAAUGCUCAAUUCUUUGUUACCAUAAAAUUAUAAUUCUAAAUUGUCUCCUUUAGCAUAUCAAACUCACUCCCUAAUAUACUAGUGUGCCAAAACAUCUUCAUCAAUGCAAAUACAACUCCCUAAGCCACUGAAACACAUUAAAUGACAAUUGUUCCACCUAACCACUUAAUUUAAAACACAACUUACAAUGCAUCAAAAUUACUACAAAACAUUACAUUACAACCUAAGAUACAUGAAUCUCAAAUUAAUAAUUAAUGGAAUGGAUGAACACCAAAAUACCAAAAGCCCCGUUGAAUAAACUCCUUAUUCACUGCAUUACUAGUCACUGAGGAUUUUUUGAGUAAAAAAAAUAUGUUGGGUUUUAUAUAGAAAAAAUUGAAUUUUAGGGAUUAAAGUCAUAUUUUCAGUUAUUGAAAUAAAAUCUAGAGUGAACCCCACGAAUAAAAAUAAAUAAUAAUAAAACGCUGAACGUGAUCUUUUAGUUGGUUAAAGUCAGCCAGCUAUGGCACAAUAUCAUCGUAUAUUACAUUAAAACUUUGUUAUUGAUAUCUAAACCAAGCAUCAUCUGACAAGCAACUAGAAGAAUGAUAUCAUGAGAUACAGCAUAUAUGAUUUCUUUACUUCCAUGAGUCACGAGUUAAACUAAGCUCUCCAAACCUAAAUUUAAUAAUAUAACAGAAAAUAUUAAUAAAUCGUCGUAAGUUUGCUGUUUAUGAUUUAUGGCGUCAUGCAAGCGUAAAUCUGACUUAACUUGUGGAAAUGAUUAUUUCCAUCUGGCUUAGUGCGUGGGAUGUUAACUAUGCUGCAUGCCAUUGAGAUAGAUGAUGCCCUCCUAGCAAACUGUGCGAGAUCACUGGAGACGGUGGUUCGAUCCGUUGGGACGAAGUUAGGCGUGACCAAGAAACAAACCAAGAUUGGGUUCCCAAACUUAGAAAAAUGUGCACGUUGAAAGAUUGAGAGAGCUAAUUCAUGUAUGCUAUAUUUCCAUAUUCAUGCUGCUGGACUAGGAUUUCAGCGUAAGGAACUGGUUGAUCUGAAAUCGAUUCAUCUUAACACUCUGUAUCUUAUCAAUUCGAGUUGCUUAUUUUUGUGACUACAAAUUGAUAGUCAACGAAAAUGAAAGCACAUGAAUGCAAGUUGUAAACCAUUGCGAGGGAUAUCAAUUUGACUGAACCAAAUCGUAGUUAAUCACUCAGCAUCAACCGAGGCAUUCUCAUCUGAUUGUCGAUUAAACUUAAAGAGCAAGUCCACCUCAUGCCAAUUACUUGGGUAAUUCGGCAAUCCAACCCUCCAAAAUCCAAAACAGUCUCUCCACCCCAGCCCAAUCAGCCAUGCUAAGGGAAGCCCAAGUUUGCCACUGAGUAGAUCUGUCAGACAUCGAGCACCGAGUCACAGCAGCCACCUCGAAUGAUGCUGAAGCUCUGGAAAUUGUACCAGAACUGCCUCUCUUUCCACCCACUCAAAAUCCAAGUCAUCAGCUCCGGCGCUCUCUGGGGCUUCGGCGACCUGUGACUGCCCAACAAUGGCGGCAGAUCUGGUUCUUGACAUAGCCAUCAGAGACUGGAUUCCAGCACGAGAUUGCUAACGAGCCCUCCAAUCACUUGUCAGCGACUCUUCGUUUGCAACGCCCCCACGCCAGGAAAUUCCGACACCCCUUACUAACGGGCCGUUAGACCAAACCCAAAAUUGAAUUCGCUCCUUCCUCCUGCUCAUCGAAUUCCGAGUCGAGGGCGGGAUUAAGAACAACUCGAGAGAGAGGAGAGAGUGGUGAAGAUGAGUUGCAUGUUCGACGGGAAGGAUAAAAUUAAUAAUAAAAUAAAUAUCUUUUUAUUAAUUUCUUUAUAAAAAAGUAAUUUUUUAAUGUCAAAACUUUGAGCAAUUUAUUUGCGGGUGACAAUUGUAAGGAUGACAAGGAUCGAGCUACAUUCAAUGAUCAAGAUGCUGACAUUUGUCAGUGAUUACGUGGUAAGAGCUGAGAGAUUUUUUAGGGUAAUUGAUACACGAUGUGGUACAUCAUGUGUUACUAUACAAAUGAUAAAAUAUUUGUGUUAAAAAGUUAAUAAGUUAAAAAAAUACAAUUUCUCACCACUUAUAUAAAAACACGGGGUGUAAUGAUGAUCACUCGUAUUCCGGUCACAUUGAAAAAUUUAUCGUAAGAGCUGUUAAGUUAGUUGUAUUUAUUAUUAUUAUUAUUAUUAUGAAGUUAGUUGUAUUUGUUGAGAGAAGAGAAAGCACUGUAACUAGUAUAAAAGGCAAGAUUACAGUUGUAUUCAUAAUAUAAAAGGCAAGAUUACAGUUGUAUUCAUAAUACAGUAACAAUACACAAUAAGCAUUUCUCAUUUAUCCUUCUCUCUUCUCUCUCUAUAUUCUGCAAUCUCAUUACCUCCAUUGAUAACCUUCAAGCUCAGAUCUCUGCAUUCACACAACAAUCACUAUUCACUAAGGCAAACCAAUUGUGAUCUAAGUGCAAAAUAUUUUACAUGCCCAUACAAAAACAACAACAAUAAAGCAUUAUUUUAUUAAUUCCCAACACGCACGUGCACACAAACAGUAUAUUUCAGCAAGAAUAUGGAAUAGCUACGACUUUAAGAGGAUAUUUUUUAUGGACAGUCCCACCCGGGGAUUCGGUCAUGUCUAGGUCCUCUCCUCUUGACCCACCAGGCAAUGCCCAAUCAAACUUGUGCACUAAACUUGCCAAAACAAUCUCUUUAACAGCCGCAGCAAACUGAAUUCCGGGGCAACCCCGUCUGCCAGUCCCAAACGGAAUUAAUUCGUAGUCAGUCCCUUUAUAAUCUAUGUCAUUACUCAAGAACCUUUCCGGCUCGUACUCCUCUGGAUUGUUGUAUGACUUGGGAUCUCUUCCAAUCUGCCAUGCAUUCACAAUAACUUGCGUGUUGGCCUUAAUGUCGUAACCGCUUAUUUUAACAUCUUGGCUUGACAUCCUGGGCAUCAGUAGCGGAAGUGGAGGAUGUAAGCGAAGAGUCUCCUUAAUCACGGCCUUCAGGUAGUGCAUUCCGACUAAAUCAUCCUCUGUUAAGUCUGUUUUGUUGCCGACUAUUCCCCGUACCUCGUUCUGCAAUUUUUUCAUCACUCUGGGAUGCCUUAAAAGCUCAGACAUUGUCCACUCUAGGGCUGUAGAUAUCGUAUCAGUGCCAGCCGUAAACACAUCCUGCAAGAUUAUUCAUUAACUUAAUUAUCCUAAACAUAUAUUGGAUGCUUAUUCGUUAUCAUUUGGUAGAACUAGUUCAAAAAAGUUUCGACCAUAAAAUCAAUUUUUAGUGCUUUAGGCCGUGCACACAGCAGUAAGAGAGAAUGUUCAUUACCAAGGUAAUAGCUUUGAUGCAAACUAGAUCAAUAGGAAUAGCAAGCACGUUUGCUUUCUGAAGGGAAAGCAAAACGUCCACAAGAUCCUUUUCAUCCUCGUUCUUGACAUGAUCGCCAUCCAUAUGCUCUUGAACAACGGUCUCUAAGAAGUCAUCAUAUCGUUUAGCAAGAUCGUCUUGUUUGGCAUCCAAACCAUUGAGACGUGAGAGCCAAGAAAGCCAUGGGACAUAGUCACCAAUAUUGAUGCGUGACAUGAUCUCAGCGAACUCCACGGAAAGCCCCUUAAACAUCUUCCUAUCUUCGCGGCCAUCGUUGUACUUGGUCCCCACUGUAAUUCUACAGAUAACAUCAUUAGUAACUGUCAGAAAGAUAUCGCUUAAAUUAAAAACUGACGAUGUAGUUGACUUCGAUUGCUUCAUGAUGUUGUUGAUCAUGGAUUUGGCUUCCUCUUCUCUCACAGCGCGAAAAGAGCGAACCUUUUUGCUGCUCAGAAGAUGUAACACACAUAUGCUCUUGACCUGCCUCCAAUACUCGCCAUAAGGCGCCGAUGCCACGUCUUUGAAGUCAUAGAGCAAUUUCUUAAAGAAGGUGAUCUUGGGUCUGUCGGAGAAUGUGAUGUCAUGGGUCUUCAUGACCUCGGAGGCAGCCUCAGCCGACGAGACCACGAGGACUGGCAUGCUUCCGAAAUGAAGCAUCAUGAGAGACCCGUGGCGUUGGGCUAAAGCUCGAAGUGAGCGAUGGGGGUACAACCCUAGUUGAUGAAGGUUUCCAAUGACAGGCAGCUUACGCGGAGAAGGUGGCGAUGAGUUUGGGGUGGAGGUGAAGGACCAUUUGUAUAUGAGGAUAAGGAAAAUAGCCACCAGCAAGAAAUAUUUGAAGGAAAAUGGGUGCAAUAAGCAUAGGGUUUCAGUUAUUAGUUUCAUCAGCACCACCAUUUUCUUUUCUCUUAAUCUCUUCUUCUUCUUCCGUAACCUGCAGACAAUAUAUAUAAGAUCGAUCAGACCCCGGCUUUCGACGGAAGCGAUUGGACAGCACAUAUCAAAGGAAAAAUAAAUAAAUAAAUAAAUAAACUAACAAAAUAAUCAUAUGUGUUGUAGAAGUCGUACGACUGAAUAAAUAAACAAAUUACCAGGCUUUAAACAAGAAUGCCAUAAAAUGCGGGAAUUGCAUUUUUCUUUAAAAAAUGUUACUUUUACCACAUAUAUGUAUCAUCUCUCCUAUAAAGGUGAGAUUCAUAUAUGAUAAUAGGCCUUACCUCUAUUAGUGAGAUGGUACAAAUGAUAAUACAAAAAUAUUGUAAGUGUAGCAUUACUCUUUUACUUUUGUUUUCUGAGAAUGACAAUUCACGGACCAGUAAUAUUUUCUUUCCAAGAUUAAUUAGACAGGUUUUGAUGAUUUCGAAAUCUUCCCUCUCCAUUAAUAAAAAAAACUUGGUACAUAUACACUCUAUACAUCACCGUCUUUGAUCUAUAUAUAUGGUCUCGUUUUGGUAGGGAGGAUUAUAUUGAAAUGAAUAACUCUUUAAUUUAAGUUAUUUUGAAGGAAGAAGAGAAUGGCAAAGUGGUGCCUUGGUAGAUAUAGUCUUCCUCUUCAACCACUACUGAACCGAACGAACAGUGACUUCAAUUUGGUUUUCAGUUUAGGCAAAAAACCGAACAGAACCAAACCCACCCCUAGUUUAGAUCAAUUUAGGUAGAUUAUCUAUUGUUGUUUGGUAAACCUCUAAAUUUUUUUAUAGGAGGAUGAUUUUUCAUUUUAAGGGGAUUCGACCAAAAUUUUCAUUUUCUUCUUUCAACAUAACUUGAAAAUAGGUACUCAUCUAUUCCAAUCCAAUCCUUCAUACGAAACAGAGGCUUUUUGUAUUAUUCUUCUUCAAAGCAGUCGAUUUAUGUGAAUCUCACAUCAAGGAAUGAAUAGACCUCUCACAUGCUUCAUUAUAAAGAGUUGGAUUACUCUCUAAAUUGUGACUUGGUUUAUGGUGGAACUUCAAUUUUUUUAUUUUUUUAUUUAUUUUUUUAUCAAAGCACACUAAACAAUGUGUUGAGUCUAACAGUCCACGUGCUCUCACAUUACCCAAUAUGCAUUUUCUAUGACUUCAUGUAUGAGGUUUAGAUAAUUAUAAACAAUAACAACAAAGUCUUAUUCCACUAAAUGGGGUCAGCUGUAUGAAUUCUAAAACGCAACUGCACUUACUUUUUUGCCAAGUCUUCCGUUAGCUCCAAGUACUCUAUAAUUUUUUAUAGUAUCUUUCAAAGUCUUCACCUACUCCUUUUACUCUGAGCCCUUGUCUCAUAGUUGCAUCUUUUAACCGAGCAAUUGUAGGUCUCAAUUCACGUAAUAAACCAUCUUAACCAAUUUUUCUUAUCUUAACUUCAAUUGCGGCCACUCAUACUUUGCCUUAGAUAUCUUCAUUCUUAUUCAUAUCCUUUCUCGUGUGCUCAUACAUCCACCGAAGAAUUCGUAUCUUUGCUACUAUAAUUUUUUGCACGUGUUGCUUUUUGACCACUCAACACCUGAUGUACUCUUUCACUUCAUCCAUCCAGCUUGUACUCUAUGGUUGAUAUCUCCAUCUAAUUCUCCAUUAUUUUGCAAGAUAAAUUCAAUAUAAUUAAAAUGUUCACCCAAUUUUAUGGUAGAUUAACUAUACAUGUCAUAGUAAAACAUUAAGUUGCCAAUCAAUUUUAUGGUAAAACCUCAAUUUCAUUUUAUCGUUAUACGUUACUGCACACCCCGACUCGAAAUGUCCACUUAGACUCUGAAUCAAGAUGUGCUGGCUGUCACCAUGAGGAUGACGAAGCCAUGAAGUGUAGUGAUGUGGAAAAGUGAGUAAAUUUAAACUUAAAGGUGCUUAAAUGUAAGAGUGCGCUAGUGAGCGGGAAUAAACUCAUUUCACAUGUGAUGUCAGAGCAUAAGUAAAGCACAGUAAAGUGGAUUGAGAAUUAUACGAUCAAAGGUAACCUCCUAUACCAAGAUUUACCAAGAAUCCUCAUCGAUACGAAAACUCAGCUGCUAAAACCUGGAGGGGCGAAAAACAAGGGUGAGUGGGCCUAAAAAUAAAGAUUUGUAAAAAUCUUUGGGAAAACAUAAUAACCCCUCGAUGUAAAACCAGUAUAGUUUCCAAAAUAUACAUAUUACGUAUAGAAUGAAAAUACUUCUCGUAGCUUGCAAUAACUCAAGAAUUCAAUAUGUCAUAAAAUUCAUAAAUAAGCAUCUAACUUCUAGUAAUCAUAAAAUCUCUUAGAAAUAAACAUAUCACAUCAAGUACUCAUCGACACAUGCUGGCACACGAGUUCAUGCAGAGGUAUCCUGACAUGAACAGAUGACAUGCCCCAAUCCCAAUGUCCGAUGAACAGCGGGAUGACCACGUGUUGGCCGACACCCGAGGGUGAUGUAAGCCAUGUAAUGAAUGCAUAUGCCGAGAACAUGUGAAACAUGCAUAUAAAUUUCGUGCGUAACUACGCAAAGUAUUAUUCGAAACACAAACUUUCCAAAAUAUAAAAAAAAAAAAAUUCAAUUGCCAACAAUGAAAAUGAUAAUGCAUGACAUGUUAAGAGCAUACAUCUAAUUCAGAAUAGAAGCGGAAUAUGCUAUUACAAUGAUGUCAAAGUAGAGAGGAUGACACAAUGUCACUGGUAGGGGAAUGCCUUGUAGCUCAUAUCAUAUGCCUCGUUCCUAAGUCCUGAGGGGGAGCAAAAUAAACAUGAGUGAACCAAGUUGAUAUAUAAAUAAUAGGGAAACAGUUAUACAACAACAUACUAACCCCAAAGUUUAUGAAAACUAAUAGCAUAAUAUGUGAUAGGUUUUCUGAAACCCUAGCAUGCCAUAAAACUUUUGUAAAACAUAAAUCGUAUAUAAUGUGCUAACUAGUGGUAUCAGUAUCACCUAAAGGCAUAUAGAACUCUUUCUCCAGAACACUUCCUUUACAAGUAUCAAUCGCUUGUAUGCUCCUACAACACCCAACCCAUAGAUCAAUAUAAGUAUCAUUGCAUGUAGGCUCCUACAACACCCAACUCGUAGGUUAAUAUAAGUAUAAUUGCCCGUAGGCAGAACAAUGACCUCUAGAUAAGCACAAAACAUUGAACAUAAUGUUUUCAAACAUAAUAUAUAUAUAUAUAUAUAUAUAUAUAUCAUCCGAGCUCAGUAGCUCAAACAUCAUAUCUCAAAACAUCUUUAUAAUAUAUAGUCAUCCAUCAUAUAUACUACAAAGAACAUGAAAAUCGAUAAAGCAUGGUAUCCUAAAAUAUUCUCAAUAAUAAAGUGUAAAUUUAGUUUACUCAUAAAACGUAACAAUUAAAUCAAUGUUUUGCAUGUAUGCAUUUCUAAUAGUGAAAUCAUGCGUUUUAGAAGGGGUCCACUCACAGAUAGUCCGUCAUCGGAGAGCCAUGCGAAAUAGAAGGAACGAAAACGUUGCUAAUAAUAGCACCUAAGCACAUAAAGGGUCCAAUUAACAAAACUAUACUUAAACCAUUGAAUUUCGAAAACGGACGUCAUAAACGGAUUCAGGACCUUGAAAAACAUAAAAGGGGACCUCGGGUACCCCAUGUGCUGCCGCAAGGUGACGGUUCGUACACGCUGGCCCAUGCGCGACCUGGGUUCUUGGGAUUUGGUUGGGUUGGGCCAGAUCCAAGUUUGGGUUUGGGUUAAUGGGAUUAGGCUUUGGGUCAGUGGGCUUGUAACCCGACCCAAGGGAAAAGGGUUUCGGGUUCAAUGGGCCAAGGGCCCUAGGUUGUAAAUAAGGGUCUUGGGCUCUAAAGGUUAGGCCUAGUCGGCCCAUUUCUCACUAAGGAAGAAGAUCAGAGCCUCCUGAGCUCCGGUCACCAUCGUUUGACUACUAAACCCUACGAUCUAACUACCAAAAAUAAGGUACAGACGAGGGGAAGGGAUUUCAUACCUUGAUAAUGUUGAAUGGUGGCCGAAUCUUUGCUCGAAACAUGCGGGCUCGUCGGACCUAGGUUAGGUAUCCUCUAGGUGCCCCAGAGCUUCACAGAGACAAUGAAGAGGGAUGUGAGGUCUUCAUGUAGGUGGUGGUGGUGGUGGUGAGUUCAAUAAGUGGUCGGGUGUCACCGGGAAAAGGAAAGGGAAAGGGUCCGAGAAAGUGUGAGUGUGUGAGAGAAAGAGUGUGUUGAGCUUAGAGAGAGAAAUGAGAGUGUUGACUUGGGAAAUGAGAGAGAGAGAGAGAGAGAGAGAUAUGGAUGAGUUAGUGGGCUACCACGUGGUAGAUGGAGAAAGGAGAGAAAUCUAAAAGGGAUCCGGAUAGGGUAGGAUUUCGGGGGUAAAAUUGUCAUUCCCUCAAUAUUUGGUACAAAAUUACAAAGAAUUUAGGGAGGGGUUUUACAAUCUACCCCCUUAAAACAAUUUUGUCCCCAAAAUUAUAACUUAACUAAAAAGGUAUGGGUACUGGUUCCUCAUCAAGUCCUCCGUUUCCUAUGUCGCUUCCUCGACAACAUGGUUUCUCCACAUUACUUUUACCAACGGGAUGACUUUAUUCCUCAGAAUCUUUUCCUGCCGGUAGACAAUCACCAUUGGUGUCUCCACAUAACUUGCAUCCUGAUGCACUUCCAGCAGUUCUGGCUGAAUAACAUGUGGGGGAUCCGGCAUAUACUUCCGAAGCAUUAAAACAUGAAAAAUGUUGUGAAUAUGUGCCAACUCUGGUUGUAGCUCCAAUAUAUAGGCAACUACACCAAUCUUCUCCGUAAUCUGGUAGAGACCAACAUAUCGAGGGCUCAACUUCCCUCACUUACCAAAUCAAACUACACCAUUCCAAGGAGACAACUUCAAGAAAACCAAGUCACCGAUCUUAUACUCACAGUCCCUGGAAUUUCAGUCUGUAAUGCUCUUAUGUUGGUCUUAUGUUGCCUUCAGGUUCUUCUUAAUUAGCUGGAUGUUAGUAUUAGUCGUGUUAACAAUUUUCAGCCCCACUCACACCCGUUCACCGACCUCUGUCUAACACCCGGUUUCCAGCACACCUUUCCAUUAGCUGGAGUGAUAGCUGUUAUUGUAGAUGAACUUGAUCAAGGACAAAUAGAUAUCCCAACUACUCUUCCACUAGAGAACAGACACUCUCAACAUGUCCUCCAAAGUCUGAAUCAUCCUCUCAGAUUGAUCAUCGGUAUGUGGAUGAUUGGCAGUGCUAUAUAAUAACUGAGUAUCCACGGUGGCAUUAAAAGCUCUCCAAAACCUAGAGGUGAAUCUUGGAUCUCUAUUCGAAACGAUAGUGACGGACACACCAUAAAGCUUGACAAUAAUAUCAAUGAACAACCUUGCCAACUUCUUUAGUGAGUAGGUAUGUCGAAUACGCAAGAAAUGAGAGAUCUUGGUGAGUGGGUCCAUAAUCACUCAAAUGCCAUUAAAUCUUGACUGCAUCAUCGACAAACCAUACACGAAAUCCAUUGUGAUAUCUUCCUACUUCCAUGCUGGUAUCGGGAGAUUCUGCAUUAGCCCCUCAGGUCUUUGUCUCUCUAUCUUCACUUGCUGGCAAAUAAUGCAUAUCCUCACAUAAUCUGCCACAUCCCGUUUCAUCCAAAACCAGUAAUAGAAUGGACGGAUAGUGUGAUACAGUUUAGUGCUCUCCGGAUGCAUAGUAUACGCUGGGAUAUGAGCUUCAUCAAGGAUUUCUUUAUUCAUCGCUUCGUUAUCUUUAAGCAUAAACAGCCUAUUUCCUAUCACCAAGUCUUUGUCUUUAUAGAUCUUCAAAUCUCGUCUCAACCCAUCCAAUACUUAAUUUUUUAGGUUUGCACAUUGUUGAUCAAGCUCCUGAGCUUCGCUUUAGGUCUAACUUGGAAGUGUGCCAACAAGGCUCCAUGUGAAUCUGGUGUCACAGUAACACUGGUCUCUCGAAGAGAAAACAAUAAUGGAACAUGGAUAACUUGAAGGGAGGCAAAUUGUCCAUGAGAUCUUCAGUUCAGUGCGACCGCUACUACAUUGGCGUGUCUAGGAUGAUACUCGAUAAUGCAGUCAUAAUCAUUAAUGAGCUUUAUCCACCUUCUCUGCCUUAAAUUCAGUUCCUUCUGAGUGAAGACAUGUUUCAGGCUUUUGUGAUCAGUGAAAAUGUGACACUUCUCGCCGAACAAGUAAUGUCGCCAGAUCUUUAGAGCAAAGACCACUGCUCUGAGUUCCAGAUCAUGAGUGGGGUAGUUUUUCUCGUGAUUCUUAAGCUGUCUAGAAGCAUAGGCGAUAACUUUCCCAUGCUACAUCAAUACACACCCCAAUCUUAACAAGGAUGCAUCAGUGUAAAUCUUGAACUCACCGCCAUCGUCCAGAAGAACCAAGCCAGGAGCCUGAGUAAGACAUUACUUAAGCUCUUGGAAACUCCAUUCACAAUCAUCAUCCCACUUGAAAUUGACCCUCUUCCGAGUCAACUUAGUAAGAGGCAGGGCAAUUGUUGAGAAAUCUUGCACAAAGCAUCGAUAAUAACUUGCCAACCCAAUGAAGCUUAUCACUUCAGUAAUAUUCCUCGGUUGUUUCCAUGUAGACACUGCCGAAACCUUCUGAGGGUCCAUACUAAUUCCCUCAGUAGAGACCACAUGUCCGAGGAAACUGAUCUGGUUUUGCCAAAAUUGACAUUUACUGAACUUAGCAUACAGCUGAUGAUUUCUCAACCUCUCCAACACCAACCUUAAAUGCUUCAUGUGCUCAGCAUUACUUUUGGAAUAGAUCAGGAUGUCAUCAAUGAACACAAUCAUAAAUCGAUCCAGAUACGAUCUAAAAACUCUGUUUAUCAAAUCUAUGAAUGCUACAUGUGUAUUUAUUAACCCAAAAGGCAUGACACGGAACUUAUAGUGUCCAUACCUAGUGCGGAAGGUAGUCUUCAGCACAUCUUCAUCUUAGAUCAGUAGCUGAUGAUAACCCGGAUGAAUAUCGAUCUUAGAAAAUACCUGAGCACCCUUCAGCUGGUCAAACAGAUCAUCAAUCCAAGGCAGAGGAUAACAGUUCUUCAUCGUCACACGAUUCAGUUGCCUGCAGUUAAUGCAAAGUCUCAUCAACCCAUCAUUCUUUCUGACAAAUAAAACAAGAGUGCCCCAGGAGCUCUUAAAGUUGAAUUUUCAAUUCUCUCAACUCCGUUGGUGCCAUUCGGUUUGGUGCCAAGGAAAUAGGGUUAGUACUAAGAAGUAAAUCAAUAGUGAAUUUGAUCUCCUUCGCAGGUGGUAACCCUGGCAAAUCCUCAAGAAAUACAUCAGUGAAUUUAUUCACCAUUGGUACAUCUUCGGCACACAAAUAAGGUUUAUCCCUGGUGACUACAUGGGCUAAGAAUCCUACACAUCCCUUCUGCAAUAGCUUAGUCGCCUGGAUGGUAGAAAUGACACUAUUUGGAAAGAUUCAUCACUCACCCUGAAACGUGAUCGACGGUCGUCCUGGUUGAUUGAAUAUCACAAAUUUCUCCCUACAUCCGAUAUAAGCAUGGUGCCUAGAUAGCCAAUAUAUUCCCAAGAUGACAUCGAACUCCGCAAGUUUGAAGGGAAUUAAAUUAGUCUCCAAGAGUUCUCCUUCAACUAUGACUGGGCAAUCCCUAUACUCCCACUAUGCACAUAAAAUAUCUCUAGAUGGCAUUUGUAUAAGCAUAUCAAAAUCGAGCGGUGUAGGUUGCGAGUUUACAACCCGUGCAAAUAAUGGAGAUAAAAAUGAAUAAGUCACACCCGGAUCAAUCAAAACUCUAGCCCAAUUACCACACAUAAGUAACAUACUAGUAAUGACUCUAGGCUUUUUCUCCACCUUCUGCUGAGUUAUGGCGUUGAUACACCCAUGAACCUGACAUCCCCCUCCAUUGUUACGGCUACCUCAAGUCCUAAGAACCUGGUUAUUACGGCAUGCUUUGUUCCCCUGAGCAUGGCUGCUUGAAGCUGCUCCAGAAUGUUGUGGGUGUCGUCGGCCAGGAAACUAGGUACUCUGGCCACCACUGCCUCCAUAAUUCUGAGUACUGCCAUAUCCCUGAUUAUUACUGUUCCCACCAUAACUAGCAUUUGGGUUAUUACUCUCACCGUAACCUGAAUUAGCAUCAUAAUUAACAGAUGAAGGUGAAGUACCACAAUCUUGGGUAAAGUGUCCAAUGUCGCUGCACCUGUAACACACAUUUGGUCUAGUUGCCCCUGAAUCAAAGUGGUUGAAAGAUUGCCUCACCAAUUCACUGCCUGAGUCGUCACUAGAUUAUCCCAAACCCUGACCAUGUCGUUUGAAUGACUGAGAGCGUCUAGGGCUGAAAGAAUUAAAAGAAGUAGAAUACUCCCUCAUACUCCGGGAUCGGAAUCCUCGACCCUUCUUAUUCUGAUUCCAAGGUCGGUUCUAGUUCCUAAACUAGUUUUAACUCUGAGGUUGACCCUGGUUAAGACUAUCUCAUCUCGUCUGUUCGAUCCUCAAGGCCGUCUCAAUCAUAUCCUCGUAGGAUCUAUGCCUUUGUGAUGCUAGAAGAAGAAAAGGUGUUUGGAAUGUGAGAAAGUGUUGAGAAAAUUCAAAAAAAAAAAAAAGAAUGAUCGUUAGACUUCCUAUAGAGGUACCAUAUUCAGUUUAAGAAAUAGUCAGUGCACAUCAACCUAUGUUCAAUUUCAAAAAUAGUGUUCAUGUUCAGUUUCAGAAAUAGUGUAGUACUCAUGUUCAAUUUCAAAAAUAGUGUAGUACUCGUGUUUAGUUUCAGAAAUAAUUAGUGUUCAGAUUUUAGAAAUAUUGUUCAGUUUCAAAAAUAGUAUGUGUGAUGGAUGCACAAGGUCUUGCGCGUCAGUUUUUAAUUACUUUUCUAUUUUAUUUUUAUUAUUAAACCUUUGUCAUUUUUAUUAAAAUUUAAGUCAUUUUCAUUAAGGUUUAAGCCAUUUUCAUUAAAUAAAGUUAUAUGAUGGUUUUUGGUUGAAAUAAAUUUAGCCUAAACUUUUUUCAUUAAAACUCCCUAUAAAUAAAGAGUAGAUAAGUUAUUUUAGCUUACCUUUUGCAUAUAUAAUAAGGAGUAGGUAAGUUAGUGUUUUUUUUUUAGAACAUCGAUAUUUUUUACACCAAGAGGAGAGGGAGUUUGGCUAAGCCACACAAUGGGUAGCCUAAUUUGAUAUGGAAUUCGCCAUUCACAAGAUUCGAACCUAAGUGACACACCCUGACCCGGAAUGUCCACUAGUACUCCAAAUCGAGCUGUGCUGGUCGACACCUGGAAGGUGACGAAGCCAUAAAAUGUAGUAAUGUGGAAAAUAUGUAUAAAUUUAAACCUAAAAGUGCCUAAAUACAAGAGUGCACUCAUGAGCGGGAAUGAACCCAUUUCAUACUUGAUGUCAGAGCAUAAGUAUAGUACAAUAAGAUAGGGUGAGAAUUAUACCAUCGAAGGUAAUCUCCAAUACCAAGAUUUGCCAAGAAUCCUUGUCGAUACAUAAGUUUAGCUACUAAAACCUGGAGGGAUGAAAAAUAAGGGUGUGUGGGCCUGAAAUAAAGUUUUAAUAAAAACCUUUUGAAAACGUUAUAACCCCUCGCCGUAAAGCAUGUAUAAUUUCCAGAAAAUCAUACUACGUAUAAGUAUAAAACCAAAUGCAAAACAACAGUAAAUCCAAAAAUAUGCCAAAACACAAUAUCUGAACAAUAGCAUAAGUAAAAUCAAGUGCUCAACAAUCUAUUCUAGCACACAAGUUGGAGUCGCCUAAUGCGACCUAUACGACUGAAUUGAUGCUCAUCAACCUAUGCUAGCACGUAAGUCGGAGUUUCCUAAUGCAACUUGUACAACAUGACUGGGUGUAAUCAUAAUAUACGCUUUAGUGCUACAAUUAAGUAAAGACUGGCGCUAUUCGCGGUCACAUAUGAGUCGAAGUUGCCUAUUGCAACCUGUAUGACAAGAUGUUGGAGUUGCCUAUUGCAACCUAUACGACAUGUCUGACACCUACUUGAAUCAAAGGUGAGCGUGCGAUGCGGAUGUGAACAUACACAUGAAAGACUGGCCUUGGCCCUAGGCGAGCACUGACACCGGAUUGUAGCAAUGAUAAGUAGACUACAUAAAUAUAAUCAUGCCAUAACGAUUCAAUAAUUCUAGUCAUUAUAAUACCAUACAUGGCCAUAAAUAUAAUUAAGGCGUCCCCUUAAUUAUAAGCUUACAUGUGCAUCCCAUAGGAUAAGGCAUUUCUUAUGAACGUUAAAUUAAUUAUGGCAAUCACGUAGGAAAUUCAUUAAUAAAUGUAUAUAAGGAAACUAACCAAUAUAUAUAUAUAUAUAUAUAUAUAUAUAUAUAUAAAAGAAAAAACCCACUCACAAAUCAUGUCGUCGAGUCGAACCCGCCUCAUAGCAUCAAGAGUCCUUGCGAAGCGUUUCGUCCAGAAACGAAACCAUUUGGUAAAUAUAACGUACUAGUAUAAAUACGUGUUUUCGUACAAAGUACGGCUAAUUAAGGAACUAUCUUAAAACAACCAAAUUUCGGAAAACAGAAGGCGGAUUCGGGUCCGGCACGUCGAGAAACUUUAGACCAUCUCCAACCCUUAGACCAUCUCCAACCCUGACCUAAAACCUAAAAAUAUAUAGCCCAAAAAUUUUAGGUUUUAGCCCAGAAACAGCUUUUUUGCUCCAACCCUUCUGGUUUAAAAUUUUAGCCUGAGAUUAUCAAAGAAUGAAUUAAGGCUUUUUUUUUUAAAAAAAAAUUAACCUUUUAAAAAAAUUAUGUAGACUAUCCUAAAUUAAUUUUAUGAACAUUUUAACCUAAAAAUAUUUAAAUUUUGAUAAAUUUUGAAAAAUCACUAAAUCAAUACAAGAAAAUCAUGAUAAACCAUAUAAACUUAAUACAAACGACAUUUAAUAAACCACAUAAACUUAAUACAAAUGACCAUUAAUAAACCACAUAAAUUUAAUAAUGAUAUCCACCAUCUUGACUUGGUGAUGGACUUGGGUGAUAAUCUUGAGAUGAAUCAUCAUCUUGAAAUAUACUCCUUGUGGCAUUCUUUCAUAAAAUGUCCUUUUGCUUACCACAUAAGUAUUUCUUCCUCUCUGGAGUGUAUUUGUCGAGGUCCUCCAUCAUCAAAUUAAUUUUGAACCUUUCUUGCUCCCUAUCCCCUUCUUCCUUCAUGGCCAAAAGCAUUUGGGCCGAUUCUUCUUACUGAGAGAUAUGGUUUUCGUUCAUUCUUGCAAUUUCGCUAGCAAAUUGUGCAUGUAUCGGAUCUUGGGACUUCCCUUUUCUCUUUGCUUCCUUUUGCUUAUCUCUACUCGGGGGCCUUGCAAAAGAAAAAGUUGGGGUCAUUUGUUCGACACCUUCAUUGUUGGGGAAAUUCACACCUUCAUUGACAUCAUUUGGGGGUGAGGCUUCACUAUGAAAUAAUCUUCCACAUUGUUGGUUCGCAUCGGUUCCCUACCUCGGAAAAUCCUUGAGGAUGUUGCAAGCAUGAUGCAACUUAAAAGCUUGAUUUUUUAGUGUAGUUUUUGACUUGUAAAUUGCGAUUGCUUUGUCACCCUAUGCAACAAAUACAUAAAAACAAUUAGUUGCAAAAUAUUAUUAUGUACAUGACAACUAAAAUAUCAACAAAGAAACCCACAAUUUCCGAGGCGCCACUUCCACUAGGCAUGUCAACCAUGGCUCUCUCCAAGCUUCCCUUCCACAAAGUGCACACUUUGUUGAUAAUUUUCCACCGAUCAUAAACACCACCAACUUCCCUUCGAUCGGUGUUGGAGUUUUCAUGGAACUUAUCAACGAUUUUACCCUAUAAAACCUUUUUAUUUUGACUCGUGCCAAUGACACCAUCUUCACUAAUAGAAACCUAUGCCAAACAUAAAGCAAUAUCUUCGUCAAAGGUCCAAUUACGACCUUUAACAUGCUCUUUUGCCAUCUUGAAAAUUUUGGAAAUGAGAAGAAAUGGUAGAAAGAAAAAUUGGAAGAAUUGUAGGAGAAAAGUGAGUUUAGUGUGGAUGUUUGAACAAAUACAUAGGUAUUUAUAGAGUUUUUGGUUGAAUUUGAAGUUAAAUAAUUUUUUUAAAAUUAUUUUAGCUGUUGGAUUUAAAUUUGGACCGUUAGAUCUUCUUUUUUACCGUUAGAUUUGAUUAUAUUCGAUUUAAGCCGUUGGAUUCAAUAAUUAUAUAAAUAUAAAAAAAAUAUUUGAACGUGGACCGUUGGAUUAACCAACAGUCCAAUUAAACUGGUCAUUGGAUGAAGAAAAGUAGCCGUUAGGCUACAGUAAGGCUGACAGCAGAGGGGGACAACCCAUGUGGUUGGGCCUUCGGCUGGAAACUUUGUGGCGCGUGAGACGCGUUGGGAAGAUUGGGUUUUCGGGUGUGGGCUUCACAGUCCAUUUUUCACUCUCAUCCGUGGGUCCCACGUCAAUUUGUGGGCUAAAUUGUGGCUGGUAUUUGCCUUCCUUUUAGGUUUUAGGUUUUGGGUUAGAGUGGAUUUUUGGGGGGGGGCGAGGGAAAAUUUAGGUUUUAGCCCAUGGUUGGAGUGGGUUUAAGGAGGGACCUUGGGUUACAAAACGUGUCGCCGCAAGGUGGUGGCUCCAACGACCACGUGUCGUUGUACGCACCUAGAUAGGUCGUCAAAAAAGUCAACGGGGCCACCGUGGACGGCAGCAGAGCACAAUGCCUCUAGCGGAGGAGCUUGUGCUCCACGUGCCGACCAAGGCUCAGCCUCAUGUGCUGCCUAUGCACAGCCUAGGGUUAUGUGAUCUGGCUGGGUUGGGCCAGAUCCAGGUCUAAUAUGAGCGGGGGUCUUGGGCCGGUCUAGUUCGUUUUGGGCUUAGGUUCAUGGGUCGAAGACCCAAGUCCUACACGACCUGAAAGCCUGGAGUAGGUUUAGGCUGAGUAGGCUGGGCCUAGGCUCUUUAAGCUUAAGGCCCAAGUCAAUACGACCCAAAGACCUGGGCUUCUAGGUUUAGCGGGCCAAAAGCCCUAGGUUUGGGUUAAGGGGAUUUGGGCUUGAAAGCUUGGCCUAAAAGGUUGAAUUUGGGUCUUGUCGGGGAAGAAGACUGAUGCGAAAAUUAACUUAACACACAAAUUAAACUCUCUUGUUGACAAUUGUAGUAUGGAUAAGUAGGGAUCAUUCUUAAACCGGGUCAUGAGGGAUUGCUAAAACACUCUAAAUUGACUCAAAUAUAUAAAACUAGGCUAAAAACACUUAACUAGACUCAAAGAACUCAAAACAAACUGAAAAGACUCAAAACUAACUAGAAUGACUCAAAACAACUUAAAACAACUAAAUAGACUCAAACUAGACACUAGGAAUGACUUGAACGAAAAUUGAUUGAAACUUGACUCAAAACACUUAAAAACACAAACUAAGACAGAUUUUAACUAAUUAGACACUCUAAAGUAAAAGGGGAUUGAGUUUUGGACGAAAAUAACUAAAAACAAAACAGAAAUUAGAACUAGAUAGAUUUGCACAAAUUUGGUUGAAUUAGAUGGAUGAUAGGCUAGCUAGAAGGUCUUUCUCCACACAUAACACACUUGUAUACAAAUUGAUUUCCAGUUGUUUCUUUCAAUAAACCAUAAAUCUCAACACCCCAGAUUAAUUAGGUACGCUUAAAUUAACCCUCAGAUUUUCAUUAUAUCAUUGAAUUGGACGGAAAUAGCGCAUCGCAAUCAAAUUAUUCUUCAAAAGUUCCUUACAUGAAAGCGCAUAAUAGAGAUACAAUCAAAGAUCAUUAAGUUCUAUGAAAAUCAUAAGUAUUGACAAGACAUUCGUAACUAUGAAAGCGCAUGAUACUUAUACCAGGAAUUUACUUAACACGAUUGUGCCUAGCAACCUCCACUACUUAUGAAUACAAGGUCAUAACGAUUAGGUGAAACUAUCUUAUAUCCUAACAUCAGAUUUAUGCAUGCAAAUUAAGUGUGCACUCUCAACCCACAUACACAAACAAGUUUUAAUUCCAACAGAUAAGUAAAUUGAAUUCACAAUUUAUGAAAUUACAACUGGAUGUAAUCAAAUCAUAUUGCAAGUAUAGUCCUGGUUUAAUAAAGGAAUUUGAUUUGGUGCAGGAAAUAGGAAAGAAGACCUUUCCCUUGCAUGGCAAGGAAGAGAAAGGACAAGGGAAAAGGGUUAGGUCCUGCGACACAAAAGAAUAAGGAAAGGGAAGGGGUCCCUUUUCACGGCAAGGGAAAGGGAAACAAAGAAAAGGUGCGGCAUUGCCUUAAAUGGUGCAAGGAACCUUUGGUUUGUGUCCUAAAAUGCAUAGGAGACCUUCAAUGUUGCUGGAACUUAGGGACAUUUAGGAUUAGGAAAGGUCAAACCAAAAUAGGAAACCUUGGCUUAACUUUCCUACUUCAAGUAGGAAUCCUCGUUCUUCUAGGAAUCCUAACAUCUUUAGGUCUUCAAUUUCGUCCAUUCCUUUAGCUCCAAGCAUGUGUCAUCCAUUCCAAGCCCAAUUUUGCUCCAAAAGGCUCUGAAAUGCACUUCUUUGCCACAUUAGCCAUAUAAACCUAAAAACACACAGAAAUGGCUUGAAAUACUAAAUUAACUAAGAAAUAACAACAUAAAUGCACAAGAACAAGCUAACUAAGUCGCAUAAAUAUGCUCUUAUCAAAUUCUCCCACACUUAGCUUUUGCUAGUCCUCAAGCAAAACAAAACAAACAAAACAUAACCUAGACCUUCCAACAUUUAAACAAUAGUAAGCAAAGUAAGCAAAGUAAGGAUAGACAAACGUUCUUAAAGCAAUAGUAAGCAAAGUAAUGACUUUGACACUUAUAAUUCACUUUUGAAUGCAAAAAUCCAUUUUAAACACAAAGGGAAGGUUCAUGCAACACUUAGGUCAAAUGCAAACUUUUGGACCCUUUCUUCAACAGCCAACACUUGUGAGCUCAUUCUCCUUAUUUUCAACUCUUUUUCUUUCUUUUCACACAAUGUUUUUUCUUUUCUUUUUAUUUUUCUAUUUAUGCCGUGCCUUUUCACUUUGGUACACAAAACACACACUUUAAAAACCCUUCCCCCACACUUGUUUUCUGCAAUAAUGUCACUCAAAAGGAAUUCCUUCUAAGUCAUGCUCCACUAUACUUUAAGAACAAGGGUAUGGAAAGUCCUAUUCUAGGCUAGGUAAGGAUAAUGUGGUUAACAAAGAAAAUAGGCUAAACAAGGUUCAAUGGGGUUUAAACCUACUAAACAAAUGACAAAGGUGGGUUCGGCUAUUUGGCUUUGGUUCACUAAACAACUUCAUCUUGAAUAUGUGUUAUGCAAAUCAAUGUCAUGCUUUAAAUGGAACGGGCAUGAGUUCUAGUAUUUAGAUCUAUAAUGAUGAAAUGCAUUCUAAGUAGCAACCAAGCAAAGAAUAAUGAGAUCAUGCAAUGACUUAGAAAACAAGAAUGCACAUAUUAAUAACUCUCCAAAUAACGUUUAGGCUCAAGUCUCUCAGGGAUGUAGCGUUUGUUUGAGUUCCUUCCUUCAAGCAUGUUACAAAAACUGAUUUUAUCCUUUGUGAUUACAUGUGAAUUUGUAAACUAUAACUACAACCAAGUAUAAACCAAAGAGCCUAUCAAACUUCCACCUAUGUUUGUAACUUUCUUUAACAGUUACGCACUUAAAAACCAAAUGCUCAUCAUUGUGUUGGAAGGUACCCUAAGACACGAACAAACACACAAAACAACUCUUUUUGGGUUUAUCAAAACACUUUUUCCAUAUUUUGUUUUUCAAAUUUUCGGACUUUUAAUUCAAAACACACCAAAAUAGCUUAAAAUACACUAAAAACACUUAAAAACAGUGAGAAACAACAUUAGAAGUGAUAGGUGAUAGAAUCUCACGAAAUUGCAUAAACCACUUGUUUACCCCCCCAACACUUAAAUCAAACAUUGUCCUCAAUGUUUCAAACAUAGACUCACACAUAAGCAAUCAAACAAACAACUAAUAGAACAUGGUAAAAUAAAACAGUAAAGAGAAGGGAUUAGGAAUGUAAAUCUGGGUUUGGAGUGAAAGGCCCUCUUCUCCUUGGUUGGAUACAUGGGUUACCUCCCAAGAAGCGCUUGCUUUAACGUCUUCCAGCCGGACGAAUCUGCCAUAUUAAGCUUCACUAUUGCCCACGACAUGGAGGGGUACAUCCUCGACAACAUGCUCUUCAAAAUUCCUCAUAGUAUGGCUUUAACUGAUGUCCAUUCACUUUGAAUUCUUGUCCCGUUUUCAAGCUUUGAACUUGGACUGCAUCAUAAGGGAAGACAUUAGUAAUAACAAAUGGGCCAACCCACUUAGAACGCAACUUACCAGGAAACAAUCGAAGGUGGGAAUUAAAGAGUAACACUUUCUGCCCAAUGGAGAAUGAUUUGCCUCGAAUCAUCUUGUCAUGGAAAGCCUUUGUCUUCUCCUUGUAAAUUCAAGCGUUCUCAUAAGCCUCAUGCCUAAUGUCUUCAAGUUCAUUCAAUUGGAGCUUCCUAUGAAUUCCAGCGGCAUCAAGGUCCAUGUUGAAUGUUUUGACAGCCCAAUGCGCCCUGUGCUCCAAUUCUACGGGAAGAUGGCAUGGUUUGCCAUAGAUGAGCGAAAUGGGGACAUGCCAAGGGGUGUUUUAUAUGCCGUGCGAUAUGCCCACAAUGCAUCAUCCAAACGCAAGCUCUAAUCCUUCCUUGUUGGCCCAACGGUCUUCUCUAAAAUCUACUUGAUUUUUCUAUUCGAAACCUUGGCUUGGCGAGGGUGGUAAGGUGUAGAAACCUUAUGGUUGACAUUGUACUUCUUAAAUAGUGCCUCAAUGGUUCGAUUGCAAUUACUCUUGGCAUUCCAAACCUUGCAAAUAGGUUAGUUCUAAUGAAACCUGCAACCACUCGAGAAUCAUUAGUUCGGGUGGCUUUUGCUUCUACCCAUUUCGACACAUAAUCCACAGCAAGUAAGAUAUAAAGGAAACCAUGUGAUGAAGGAAAAGGACCCAUAAAAUUUCAACGGGAAGUAUGACAUUUUGCGACAUUUGAUCCCUUGCACUUAUAUUACCCAUUCUUUGGCAACGAUCACAAGACAUACAAAAGGUUCUAUCAUCUUUAAAUAGAGUUGGCCAAUAAAAUCCACAUUCUAAAACCUUAAGGGCCGUGCGUUGUGUCCCAAAAUGUCCCCCACAUGCAUAAGUGUGACAGAAGGUUAAAAUAAAAUUGAACUCCAUAUCAUGCACACACUUACGUAUAAUCUGAUCCGAGCAAUAUUUCCAUAUGGAUCAUCCCAAACAUAAAAUCUAGCAUCAUUUUUCAAUUUAUCACGUUGGUUUCUGUUUAGAGUGUUUGGAACUUGUUUAGCCACCAAAUAAUUCACCAAAUCAGCAUACCAAGGCUCACUUACCUUAAUGGACAGCAAUUGCUCAUCAGGGAAUGUUUCUGAAAUAGGUAAAGAGGACUCGUCCUCAUGUACCAUAUGGCUUAGGUGGUCAGCCACCACGUUUUCACUCCUUUUUGUCUCGAAUUUCGAUGUUAAACUCUUGAAGAAGUAGCAUCCAUUGAAUUAGCCUUGGUUUGGCUUCUUUCUUGGUGAGCAAAUACUUCAAAGCUGCAUGAUCAGUGAAAAUAACAACUUUAGUACCAAGUAAAUAUGAUCAAAAUUUAUCUAAAGCAAAGACAAUGGCAAGAAGUUCUUUUUCAGUGGUAGAAUAGUUUAAUUGAGUAUCAUUCAAUGUCUGGGAUGCGUAGUAGAUAACAUGCGGCUUCUUGUCCUUCCUUUGGCCUAAAACAGCCCCUAAUACAUAAUCGGAAGCAUCACACAUGAGCUCAAAAGGAAGGGUCCAAUCAGGUGGAACAAUGAUUGGGGUCAUGGUCAGCAACUCCUUGAGGUGUUGGAAGGCUGCCUUGCAUUCCUCGUUGAAGUCAAAAGUCACUUCUUUUUUAAGGAGAUGGCAAAGAGGUUGGGAAACCUUUGAGAAAUCCUUGAUGAAUCUUCGAUAGAAACCUGCAUGUCCAAGAAAAUAACGAACCUCUCUAACCGAAGUAGGAGAGGGUAAGUGGCGCACAAGAUCUAUCUUUGAUUUAUCAACCUCAAUUCCUUUUUUAGGAAUUAUAUGACCUAAAACUAUGCCUUGUUUAACCAUGAAAUGACAUUUUUCCCAAUUUAAAACAAGGUUAGUUUCAAUGCAUCAUUUUAAAAUCAAAUUAAGAUUAUUCACACAACAAUCAAAUGAAUCACCAAAAACGCUGAAAUCAUCCAUAAAAACCUCAAUAAUCUUCUCAUCAUACAUCUUUGAAAUGUGGCAGGCGCAUUGCAUAAACCAAAUGACAUGCGACGAUAAGCAAAUGUACCAAAGGGGCAUGUGAAAAUGGUUUUUUCUUGAUCUUCCGGGGCUAUCACAAUUUGAUUAUAACCUGAAUAUCCAUCAAGAAAAUAAUAAAAUGCAUAACCCGCUAACCGUUCAAGCAUUUGAUCAAUGAAUGCAAAAGGGAAAUGAUCCUUCCUUGUGGUGGCAUUGAGUUUCCUAUAAUCGAUACAAACCCUCCAACCUGUUUGGAUUCGAGUAGGCAUAAGCUCAUUUUUGGCAUUUGUCACCACAGUUACUCCAGAUUUCUUUGGAACACAUUGAACCGGAGAAACCCAACGACUAUCCGAAAUUGGAUAUAUCACUCCACAAUCAAGUAGCUUGAUUAUCUCCUUCUUCACAACUUCCAUCAUUUGAGGGUUGGGUCGGUGUUGAGCCUCUCAAGAUGUUUUAGACCCCUCCUCCAAAAGUAUACGAUGCAUACAUGUCGUAGGGCUGAUUCUUUUUAUGUCGGCCAACGUCCACCCAAUUGUUGUUUUGUACUCAUUUAGCACCCUCACCAGCUUACCUUCUUCUUGUGCCAUGAAUGAGGAAAAGAUAAUGACGGGCAAGGUCUCUUGGUCUCCUAAGAAAGCAUACUUCAAAUGGCUUGGCAAUGGUUUUAGUUCAAGGGAUGGUGGCUGCACAACUGAAGGAAGUGGCUUAUUAGCCAAAACUGAAAUUGAAAUUGAGUCCAAAAACUUACCAGAUUGUGGUGGCAAUGAUUCGAGGACAGCCACUAUCUCAAUCAUAUCUUCAUUAGGAGGCACAGCAUGAUGUUCUCCAUGCAUGCCGUGGGUGGGCAUUGUGGCUGAUCCAUUGUUUUUUAAUUCCAUUCCUCUUGUAAUGACCAAUUCAAGUGCAUCUUCAUUCAAUUGUUCAAAAUGGUCCUACGCCAAGGAAUCAAUUACAUCAAUAGAAAAACAUGAAUGAUCAUCACUAGGAUACUUGAUAGAUUCAGAAAGAUUGAAAUAAAUAACUUCCCCAUCAAAUUCCAUUGCCAAGGUCUCAUUAAACACAUCAAUCUUAGUGCGGGCAGUUUUCAUGAAUGGUCUUCCAAGGAGGAUUGGUAAUGAAGGAGAAUGGUCUGAUUCUUCCAUUUCAAGCACGUAGAAAUCCACUGGAAAUAUUAAAUGAUUGACCUGCACUAAAACAUCUUCCAAAACUCCCUUUGGGUAGGCAUUAGAUCGAUCGGCCAAUUGAAUAAUCACACCAUCAUUUUUUAACUCACCUAAGUUCAUAGAUGCAUAAAUUGAAUAAGGCAUGACAUUAAUAGAUGCACCUAAGUCUAGCAUGGCAUGUUCAAAACGAUUACUGCCAAUAACACAAGGAAUUGUAAAACUACCAGGAUCCUUGCAUUUAUAGGGCAUUUUACGUUGUAAGAUGGCUGAAACAUUUUCACUUAUCUUGACAACCUCCUUGUUCAAAAUUCUCUUCCUAGUGGUGCAAAGUUCUUAUAAAAACUUGGCAUACCUUGGAACUUGCUUAAUUGCAUCCAAAAGUGGUAUAUUGACUUGUACUUUUCUAAAUGUUUCCAAAAUGUCCUUUUUAGCCUUCUCCUUCUUUAAUUGCAUGAAUCUGCGAGGAAAUGGUACAUUUGGGGGAAUAACAUUAGAAAUAAUCGAAUUUGGAACCUCCUUACCUUUGAAGGAUGAAUGAGGGUGUUUAGGUGGCUGCGACAUGGGUGGUUCUACCCUUGCCGUGGCCUGCUCUUACUCUUCCUCGAAUUGCAACUUCUUGUCCUCUGUUGGGGUUGAUUUAGAUGGUUGUGGGGCUGUUUCAACUUGUUUUCCACUUCGCAACAUGAUUGCUUUUGCAGAUUCGAAUCCUCAUUUCGGUUUGACAACGGUUGAACUAGGCAACUUGCCUUGCUCUCUGAAUUGGCCCAUGAACUCCGCAAUCUGUCCUACUUGCUUAUCCAAUUCAUCCACCUUUUUGUCUCUAUUUUGCAUUCCCAGUGCCAUAGAAGUUAAUAAUUGAAAAUUUUGAUCAUUAUCUAUGGACGAACCUGAUUUGGUAUGGGAAGGUUAUGCUUGGGGUUGUGUGGGUGCGUAUGGCCUUUGGUAGAAUCCCGGAGGUUACUGCCUAAAUGCACUUUGUUGUUGGGUUUGUUGGGGCUCCCUUCACUUGAAAUUUGGAUGAUCUUUCCAACCUGGAUUGUAUGUAUUAGAGAAAGGAUCACUCCUUGGUUGGUUUUGGCUCCCAAAACCCACGACAUUGGCAGAUUCUCACCUUCCAUUCUCGAUCAAUUGAGGGUACUUAUCCGUGAGAUGUCCGUGCAUUGAGCACACGCCACAAGCAGCUACACUUUGUACUUUGGUAUUUCAACCACCUGUGAAAAAAGAGUAGUAAGAUUAGCCAUUUGAUUUUGAAGUUCGGAAAUAGCACUUACCUCAUUCACAUGUUGCUGUCGUGGGGUGUCUCUUUGGCCAACGCCUUCAUAUUGUUGAGCAUUCAAAGCUCGGUUAGCAAUUAGGGUCUUGGCAGUCGUGGGUGUUUUGUCCACCAAAGCUCCUCCCGCUAAGGCAUCUAGCAUUUGGCGUUCAAUGGGAAGAAGUCCUUCGUAAAAGUAUUGAAUGAGCAAUUAUUCCUUCAUUUGGUGUUGAGGACAUGAAGCAACAAGACGUUUAAAAUGUUCAUAGUAUGCAGGGAAGAAUUCUCCUUGAUUUUGCUGAAUACCACUAAUCCUUUUGCGUAGAAAAAUGACUCGAGAAGUUGGGAAAAACUUCUCCAAGAAAGCCCGUUUCAUGCUCUCCCAAGAUGUGACAGUUCCGGGGGCUAGUUCAUACAACCAAUCUUUAGCCUUUUCCAAGAAAGAAAAGGGAAAACCCUUCAUUUUCAUAAUGCUCCCAUCAACAUUCACAGGGGUCAUGCUUGAACAAACAACCUCAAACUCCUUCAAAUGUUUAUUAGGAUCUUCCAUGGACAAACCAUGGAACUUAGGAAUAUGGUGCAAUAAGCUAGACUUUAAUUCGAACUCAUCGGUCUUGUCUUGGGCCGCCCUUGGAUAUUGAAUGCAUAAGGGUGCGGUAUUAUCCAAUCUCGAAGCAGAAAGCUCAUUGAUUGUUCUAUUGUCCGCUGCCAUGUCUCGUACUUCUUCCAAAAUCUGAGACGUGGGCUCCUCUUGCUAUGCUACCUCUUCUUCUUCAAGCACGGGGUCAGGGCUAGGUGGAUUGGAUUCUUGCUGAUUUCUCUUCCUUCUCAAAGUCCGCUCAAAAUCGUCGUCAAAGUCUAAGAUAUGCUCACGAACCGGUUGAGAACUCCGAGUCAUAAACUAGUACCUAAAACAAGAAAACAAACAAGGUCGGUAACUAAAAUAAAAACACACGAAAAUACACAAAAAGAAAUAACAAGGGAUUAGCAAAGUUGCUAAUCCCCGGCAACGGCGCCAAAAUUUUGAUGCGAAAAUUAACUUAACACACAAAUUAAACCCUCUUGUUGACAAUUGUAGUAUGGAUAAGUAGGGAUCGUUCUUAAACCGGGGAUUAGGAGGGAUUGCUAAAACACUCUAAACUGACUCAAAUAUAUAAAACUAGGCUAAAAACACUUAACUAGACUCAAAGAACUUAAAACAAACUGAAAAGACUCAAAACUAACUAGAAUGACUCAAAACAGCUUAAAACAACUAAAUAGACUCAAACUAGACACUAGGAAUGACUUGAACGAAAAUUGAUUGAAACUUGACUCAAAACACUUAAAAACACAAACUAAGACAUAUUCUAACUAAUUAGACACUCUAAAGUAAAGGGGGAUUGAGUUUUGGACGAAAAUAAGAAAAAACAAAACAGAAACUAGAACUAGACAAAUUUGCACGAAUUUGGUUGAAUUAAAUGGAUGAUGUGCUAGCUAGAAGGUCUUUCUCCACACAUAAUACACUUGUAUACAAAUUGAUUUCCAGUUGUUUCUUUAAAUAAACCAUAAAUCUCAACACCCCAGAUUAAUUAGGUACGCUUAAAUUAACCCUCAAAUUUUCCUUAUGUCAUUGAAUUGGACGGAAAUAGCGCAUCGCAAUCAAAUUAUUCUUCAAAAGUUCCCUACAUGAAAGCGCAUAAUAGAGAAUACAAUCAAAGAUCAUUAAGUUCUAUGAAAAUCAUAAGUAUUGAUAAGGCAUUCGUAACUAUGAAAGCGUAUGAUACUUAUGCCAGGAAUUUACUUAACACGAUUGUGACUAGCAACCUCCACUACUUAUGAAUAUAAGUUUAUAACGAUUAGGUGAAACUCUCUUAUAUCCUAGCAUCAGAUUUAUGCAUGCAAAUUAAGUGUGCACUUUCAACCCACAUACACAAACAAGUUUUAAUUCCAACAGAUAAGUAAAUUGAAUUCACAAUUUAUGAAAUUACAACUGGAUGUAAUCAAAUCAUAUUGCAAGUAUAGUCAUGGUUUCGAAAUUACCCCUAGCUAAGAGGGGUUUAGUUUUUUAUACUUACAAAACAAAGAUUAUUGAACUUAAACAUUGAAAACAAAAGAAAGAUUACACCUAAAACGUUCCAGCAACUCUAACUUGAAUGGCAAACACGUCCAAGGGCUCCCUUUCUUCUUCUUUGAUGCUGCACAAUGUGUGGUUGAUGGAUGGUGUAUUCUUAUUUAGGAUGAUGAAUGAUGGCUGAUAAGAGUGAAGGGUGCGGCUGGAUGUGUAUGGAAGUGAAUGGAUUUUAGAAUGAUGUGUCUAAGGGAAGUAUUUAAGGUUUUAGGAAAUCAAAACCCUAACUUAUUUAGGGUAACAGAAAUUAAGUCAAGACUACUAGAAAAAGGAAAACAAAAUCAGAAAUCAAGGGAAAGAAUAAGGAGAUAUGCGGCAAGGCUUUAAAUUAAUAAAGGAAUGUGAUUUGGUGCAGGAAAUAGGAAAGAAGACCUUUCCCUUGCACGGCAAGGAAGAGAAGGGACAAGGGAAAAGGGUUAGGUCCUGCGGCACAUAGGAAUAAGGAAAGGGAAGGGGUCCCCUUUCACGACAAGGGAAGGGAAACAAAGAAAAGGUGUGGUAUUGCCUUAAAUGGUGCAAGGAACCUUUGGUUUAUGUCCUAAAAUGCAUAGGAGACCUUCAAUGUUGCUGGAACUUAGGGACAUUUAGGAUUAGGAAAGGUCAAACCAAAAUAGGAAACCUUGGCUUAACUUUCCUACUUCAAGUAGGAAUCCUCAUUCUUCUAGGAAUCCUAACAUCUUUAGGUUAUCAAUUUCGUCCAUUCCUUUAGCUCCAAGCAUGUGUCAUCCAAUCCAAGCCCAAUUUUGCUCCAAAAGGCUCUGAAAUGCACUUCUUUGCCACAUUAGCCAUAUAAACCUGAAAACACACGGAAAUGGCUUGAAAUACUAAAUUAACUAAGAAAUAACAAUAUAAAUGCACAAGAACAAGCUAACUAAGUCGCAUAAAUAUGCUUCUAUCAAAGGCAGGAGCUUCCUAAGCUCCGGUUGAUACCGAUUCGCCACCCCAAUGGGCGAUCUGACUACCAAAAUGGAAGUAAGGACGAGGGGAAGAGUUUUCGUACCUCGAUUACCUCGUGCGGUGGCCGAAGUUAGCCGAAUCUUCACUCGAAAGCCACGAGGCUCGUUGGAGGGUUUGGGUGGCCUUUGGGUGUCCCAAUGCUUCGCAGGGAUGAGGGGGAGAGAGAGGGAGAAGGUCCUUCACGGUAGUGAUGGUGGUAGUGCCGUCGUGAGGAGUGGAUGUGUGUGUGUAGGUGUCGUUGGGAACAGAGAAUGAGAUGGGUCCGAGAGAGGUCUGCAAGAGAGGGAGCUUGGGGAAGAGAGAUGUGAGGAAUGACAGAACUGAAAGAGUACAGGAGGAUGAGUGACACGCGGACGCAAGGAAGAGGAGACCCACAUGGGUGGGUCCCACCAUGCAAAAAAUCUUACAUAGAAAAAUUAAUACAAUUAUGAAGAACAUUAUCUGAAAUAAUGAAUUUACCAAAUGUCCUUGAACUUCACAAGUCCAUAAAAUCUUCGUUGUAGCUCUAAAUUCACUUCUGCUUGUGCCUACGCGUUCGUAUCAUUGAGAACUAUGCAAAUACGCUAAAAGAAUAAGUCUAACCGAUGGUCAAUGAAAGUCAAAAUCUUUGCCUUUAGGGGCAUCUUCGUCAAUUCACGCUUUUAAAAUUAAUAAAAUUGUAAAAGUAGGGAUGGGUUGUCACACUAAGACCUCUCACUUUUAAGUAAAGGGGAAUACUACUAGACCAUAGUACUGAAUGACAGUAGGUAAGUUAUUUUAGCUUACCUAUUUGCAUAUAAAAUAAGGAGUAGACAAGUUAUUUUAGUAGGGUAAUUAAUUUAUAUGAAAAAACGAGUCCAUUAAACAAUACUAAAUGAUGUAGUUAUUAAAUAUGGCAAUGAUUUAGAUUGUUAGAAAACUAAAAAACAAAUGCUAUAAAAAAGUUACAUUAUUUGUUUGUUUUUAACGGUUUGAUUGGAGCCAAAAUUCAAGUGUGAGUGAGAAACAGCUUAGAAGCGAGUGCCUUUUUACCAUAGUGGUAAAAAAUGAGUUGAGCCAAUGCAUAAUAGCGUAGGUUUGAACUCUGUCAUUAGCUAAUCUAACAUCAAUCUAAUAAAAUCUAUGUUUGACCAAAAAUAAUAAAUAAAUAAAAGAAAAACAGUUAAGAAGAGAUGUGGCAUAAGUUGUAAAUAAUUUGUAAUAGAUUACUUAUAUAUUUUGUAUGGCAGUUUAUUUUAAUUUUAAUUUUUUUGUUAAAUAUUUAUAUAUAAGCAAGUUUUUGUCUAGAAAACACGAGUUGUAAGGAAUUGUUUGUAAUGAACCUUUAUUUCUAGUUGUAAGGACAUUUUUGUAGUAAGAGUCGUGAUUUAGACGGUUGUCUAGGUGAAUCUAAAUAGAUUUAGUGGAAAUCUAAGCAAGUUUAAAUGAUAUUUUUUUAAUUUUCAAAUACUUAAUAAUUAAUUGAGAUGAUGAUCGGCCGUCUAACGAGACGGGUGAUCAUAUUACAUAGCAAGAAGCACUGUGGUUGCAAAUAUGAUUCCAACAACAAUAAAAAAAAAUGAUGCCGUUGAAAUUGAUGAGAUGGUGGAUGCUGAUGUCCUCUUCAAUGAUUGCCAGUUAUAUUGUUUUUAAUGUUUAACGUUGUAAAUGUGGUGAAUGGCCCAAUGCAGAAAUUGAAAGCUGAUAAUUGCAAUAUUACUGUGCACGUGAAGACUUUAAGCCUGAUAAUUGAAUCUUUACUGUUUACAUGAAGACUUUGUACGUAAGGUUAGUUUGCUUUUUGUAAUUGUCGGAUGAAAAACCUUUAUAUAAAGAGGUGAAUUUACAUCGUUGUACACGCAAUAAAAUAUCACACGCAAAGGAAAGAAGCAAGAUCUAUAUUCUUAUUAGUUCAAAUAAUAAAAGAAAUUAUUACUGCUCCGAACAUAUAAGUUCAUUUUUUGAACUUCGUAAAUAUUGUGCUUUGUUUUAUAUUCUGCUGCACACAUAUAGUCUAAUUUACAACAUUUAACAACUUUUCUGUUAAAGUUCCAUCAUUUGAUCCUAUUUAAUCAUAUACUUUAACAUAAUUUUUUUUUUACUAAGAUUCUAUCUGCAAUUCUAGAGCAUGCUCACGCAUUUUUUUUGUGAUCCAAGUUUUUUAAAUGUAUCUUCAGAGGCUAGGGACUGGAGUGGCCACCACCCGGAAGCUCAAAUUAGUGGCUGUGAGAACCUCUGAAAACCAAUCAAAUUUGGGCUGUGGUGGAGUAAAAGAGCAACCAUGGCUGCCGAUUGCAGGGCACGUUCUGCAAAACAGAAGAAAAAUGAAGAAAUUUUUUUUUUUUUAAAUGACUUGAUCAAAACUAUAAGAUCCCACAUCGUUCAGGAGAGUGAUCCUUAUAUUUAUAUUCUCAUCUCUACCUAGCACGAGACAUUUUGGGAGCUCACUAGCUUCGAGUUCCAUUGGAACUCCAAAGUUAAGCGAGUUCGCGCGAGAGCAAUUCCAUGAUGGGUGACCCACUGGGAAGUUCUUGUGUGAGUUCCCAGAAACAAAACCGUAAAUGCAUGGUCGAGGCCCAAAGUGGACAAUAUUAUGCUACGGCAGAGUAGAGCCCAGGUCGGAAUGUGACAAUUUGGUAUCAGAGCCUAACCCUGGCCGCGUGUGUGCCGACGAGGACGUCGGGCCCCUAAGGGGGUGGAUUGUAAGAUCCCACAUCGUCCAGGGAAGUGAUCCUUAUAUAUAUAUUUUCAUCUCUACCUAGCACGAGACCUUUAAGGAGCUCAUUGGCUUCGGGAUCCAUCGGAACUCCGAAGUUAAGCGAGUAGCGCGUGAGAGCAUUCCAUGAUGGGUGACCUACUAUAAAGUUUUUGUGUGAAUUCUCAGAAACAAAACCGUGAGGGUGUGGUCGGGGCUCAAAACGAACAAUAUCGUAUUACGACGAAGUCGAACCCGGAAAGUGAUCCUGUCCGGACUGGGAUGUGACAAAAACAACGUGAUCUUGACCAAAUCAUGAAAGAAAUUUAAAAAGCUUAGCAACGUGAAAAAUCCUACUAAUCCACAUGAAAGAGCAUUUAGUAGCAGCAGCGUUUUUAAUUCAAAAGUUCAAAGCAUUUUAAGAAAAAGGCCAAAUGAGUCAGACACCAGCAAUUAGUAGCAGCUGCAUUUUUAAUUCAAAACGUUCAAAGCAUUUAAAUAAAAAAGCCAAGUGAGUCAGACACCAAUUCCAACCUAAUCCCAUUUCACUUCUUCACUUCACCUAAUUCAAAUUCCAAUUGGCUUUCCCCCGAUCCCCGCCCCCACCCAAUCGCCGAAGGCCACCACCAGCAGUGCACUACCAGACUCCCUUUCCAUGGUGCUGACAAUAAAAUUAUCAUGACAUAUUUUUAAAUUAUGAAAUUUUGUCGUGGACAAAUUUAGUCUUUUAGCUUAUAAUGUUAUUUGCAUAAUAAAAAGUUAUAGUUUUUCGCUUAUUUUUUCAACAUUAUUUUUAUCUAAUUUUUUUUGGAACUUUUAUAUUGAAACCAUCCGAUGUUAAAAUUCUAGAUCUACCACUGUUUACUUUAAAUAAAUGACAUGAACUUAAAAAAAAACAUAUUAAUAGGUUGACUCAAUAAAACAUCUGACCCGUUAAACUUCAAGCUGGUUUAUGAUUUUUUUCGUGUUGUUCAAAGAACUGCUAGAUUGCAAUUAGUACUUCUAAAAUCUAGUACUUUUGUGCUUGUAAAUAGAUAUUUUUUCAAAGUUCAACUGUAUAAAUGGUGACUUUAAUAUAGGGAUGACAAUUUAACAUAUUAAAUUCAAUAAUCGUUGAUAACCGUCCGAAUGUGGCAGAUUUGGAGAUGAAAAUUUAGGUAUUUUUUCGGAUUUGAGAAAAACCCAUGAAAUAUUAUUUGAUUAUGGUGUUGAAUAUUUAUAAGGGUCUCAAUUUGUAUCGAUCCCUAUAUCUACUCUGAUUAUGAUAUAAUAUACUAUAAUAUAUAGUUUUAUAUUCACAAGUAUUGAAAUUAUUUGAUAGCUUGUUUAGCUUUAUCCCAUAAUGGUUUUGGUAUUUGUUUUUAUCAUCCCUUUCCUUUUUUAAUGGAACCAAUUUGCCUUAAUUUGCUAUCAUAUUUGGCUUAUCAUGAACACCUCUAGAAGGUAUUGUAAUCUUUUGUAUAAUUUGGAUGUUGUUAUAAAUAAACAAAAGUUAGAGAGAUAACCUUUACUAGGGACAAAGCAAAGUAGGUGCAAAGUAUCACACUGUUUAGUUUCUUAACUAUAACACCAAAUGAUUGCAGGUAAAGAGAUGAGGGGAGAGAUACUGAUAUUAUUUCUUUCACUUCUUCCUUUGUUGUGUGUGUUGAUCACACAUGGAGUGCUCUUUAUAUAAACCACAUCCAUGAAUGUUUACAAGAAUGAAUAAUUGCCUUUUUUGGAGAAUUUCAUACAACAACAACAACACUAUUGGCAUUUGAAAAUAUAACUAUUAGCAUGUGGGCAUACAUUCUCACAAUUUACAGCACUCCCCUUUGGAUGCCCACAUAUCAACAUCAGUUGCCUUGUUAAAACCUUGCUCGGAAAAACUCAGUGGGAAAAAACCUUAGUGAAGGAACAAGAGUUCAACUUUGCUUCGAUUGUUGAUAUAGUGUUAAGUAUGCUUAUGUUGCCUUGUUAAAACCUUGAUAGGAAAAACCCAGUGGGAAAAAUCCUAGUCGAAGGAAAAAGAGUACGACAUGCAUGUAUCAUGGAUGCUCCCCCUAAAAUGUAUCUCCCCAUGUUUCCGCAUUCUUCAAAUUUAACUUAUUGGUAAGCCGACGUAAUCUGAUACCCUGCACUAGCUUCUGAAACAUGCACUUUGGUAAAGAUUUGGUGAAUAGGUCUACUAAAUUUUCAUUGGAAUGGAUUUGUCUGAGUUCAAGAACUUUAGCCUUUUGAAGCUCAUGUGCACUGAAAAACUUUGGAGAUACGUGUUUAGUCUUAUUGCCCUUGAUGAAUCAUUCCUUCAUUUGGGCAACACAAGUUGCAUUAUCUUCAUGAAUGACAGUUAUAGUGUCUAUCUUUGAAUGUAGAUCACAUGAAUUCCGAAUGUGAUGGAUCAUUGAUCUAACCAAGAACAUUCACGACUUGCUUCAUGUAAAGCAAGUAUUUAUGAGUGACUGGAAGAUGUAGCAAAUAAUGUUUGCUUUGUUGGGCGCCAUGAGAUUGUCGUAUCUCCAUUAUGAGCUGGCUUUAUGCGGAUCAAAGAGAAAACCAGCAUCUGCAUAUCCAACAAGGAUAUGGUCAUUUGUGGAUUUCUCUGAGUAGAAGAGGCCCAUGUCUGUUGUCCCACGAAGGUAUCGUAGAACAUCUUUAACUCCCUUCCAAUGACGAAUUGUUGAAGCAGAGCUAUACCUUGCUAACAAGUUGACUGAUAAAGCUAUACAUGGUUUAGUACAUUGUGCUAAAUACAAUAAAGCACCUAUUACACUCAAAUAUGGUACUUUUGGACUAAGGACUAUUUCAUCAUUCUCUUUUGGACGAAACGGAUCUUUCUUAAUGUCUACAGAAUGAACGACCAUUGGCGUGCUGAGUGGAUAAGCCUUGUCCAUGCCAAAUCGCUUCAUGAUUUUUUCAAUGUAAGUUGAUUGAUGGACCAAAAUUCCAUUAGCACAAUGCUCGAUCUGCAGGCCGAGAUAAUAUUUGGUUUUCCCAAUGUCUUUCAUUUCAAAUUCAUUUUUCAGAUAUUCAGCAGUUUUAUUGAGCUCUUCAGGGGUUCCAACUAAGUUCAUAUCAUCAACAUAUACUGCCACAAUAGCGAAUCUAUAAUUUGAUUUAUUAAUGAACACACAAGGGCAAUUGACAUUGUUGGCAUAUCCUUCUUUGAUCAAAUACUCACUGAGACGAUUAUACCACAUUCAUCCAGAUUAUUUGAGCCCAUAUAAUGGUUGCCUUAAUUUGAUUAAGAGCAUACCUCGUGGUUUGUUGGUCGUUUCAGGCAACUUAAGUCCUUCGGGGACCUUCAUAUAUAUGUCAGUGUCUAAUUCUCCGUAUAAAUACGCGGUGAUGACAUCCAUAAGUCGCAUGUCAAGUUUUUCUAAAACUACCAAACUUAUUAAGUAACGGAACGUAAUUGCGCUUUCUUGUGAAUACCCAUUUGUAACCCACAGGGUUUACACCAGGCGAGGUUUGGACUACCGGUCUAAAAACACUUCGCCUUUCCAGCGAAUUUAAUUCUGCCUGAAUUGCAAUUUUCCACUUAGGCCAAUCUUGCCUCUGUUUUCAUUCAUCAACAAAGCGGGGCUUAAUGUCUUCACUUAAUAUGAUUUUAACGGCUACUGCAAAUGCGAACAUGUCGUCAAUGAUCAUUUCAUUUUGAUCCCAUAAUUCAUUAGUACAUGCAUAAUUUAUGGAGAUUUUUUUGCUUUCAUGUACUUCUGUCUCUUCAGGGACAUAUGUCUCAUCAAGGACAUUUUCUUUUUAUGGAAGUACAAAAUCAUGGAUUGUGGAUUCUCCAUUCACUUUCUUUUCCUGAACGAUUUCAUUUGGAUUCAGCUAUGCCCUCACAUUUCUCUUUUGAGGGGCUUGAUCUUUUGAACCUGGGGGUCUACCACGCUUCAGGUGUGCACAUGAUGAAUCAUUUGCUACCACUAUAUUUUGUUCAAUAGGGACAUCAAUUCUUGCAGGCGUAUUUGCAGCUGGUAUAUGUAAUUUUGUCACUUUUGUGGCAUCAUUAAAUGCAUUUGGCAUUUGAUUAGCAAUACCUUGAAGAUGAACGAUCAUUUUCACUUCAUUUUCACAUUGAGUGCUUCAUGGAUCAAAAUGAGAUAAGGUGAGGUAUAACCCAUGUCAACUCUUGCCGUUCUUCUAAAAUGGUUUUUUCUCCCCCUAACGACUAGAAUAUUGUUUCAUCAAAGUGACAAUCCACAAAACGAGUUGUAAACAUAUCACCUAUCAAGAGUUCCAAAUAUCUAAUGAUAAAUGAUGAAUCAAAACCCAUAUAAAUUCCCAGUCUGCAUUGGGGUCCCAUUUUAGUGCGAUGUGGCGGUGCAACAUGCACAUAAACAGCACAACAAAAAACUCGUAAAUGUGAAAUAUUUGGCUAAUUCCCUAACAUGAGUUGUAUUGAUGAGUAUUAGUUGUUAGUUAUAAGUCUCAAUCGAAUCAAUGAUGCAGUGAUGCGUAAAAUAAGUUAACACACAAAAUUAAACCCUCUUUUUAUCAAAUGUAGUAAAGUAUGUAAGUAGGGAUCGUUCUAGGCCGGGGAUUAGGAGGGAUUGCUAAACACUUGAAAACUGACUUAAAAACAUAAAAACAAAAUUUAAAACACUAAACUAGACUCAAAGAAUGCAAAACUAUACUUUAAAAUACUUAAACAAACAUAAAACUCAAAACAGCAACCUAAUGACUCAAAACUGCCUAAAAACCACUUUCUGGGCAGUUUUGAGAACCUAACAAGAACUUGGACGAAGUUGGAUGAAAACUUGAAUCAAAACACUUAGAAACACUUUCUAACUAAUCUAAGACUUCAAAAUAAAGGGGGAUUUGUUUUGGACGAAAAUUGAAAACAAAACAAAACAGAUUGUAAAAACGUUUUUGGAUGAAAAAGGAUGGAUAAAAGGCUAGUUAGGAGGUUCUUCUCCACACAUGAAACACUUGCAAACAAAAAUGAUUUUCAGUUGUUCUUUCAAUAAAUUAUGAAACUCAACACCCCAAGUUAAUUAGAUACGCUUAAAUUAACCUUCAAGUUCUCCUUAAGUUAAUGAAUUUGAUGGAAAAGCGCAUACAACAAUUCAAAGCAUUCCUCAAAGGUUCCUUACGUGAUGAGCACAAUAAAGAUACAAUCAAGAAUCAUGAAGCACAAUGAGAACUAUAAGUGUUGACGAGGCAUUCGUUACUAUGAUGAGCAUGAAACUAGUGCCAAGAAUUCAUUCAACGCGAUCGUUUUCAAGCGACCUUCACUACUUGUGAUUAUAAGAUUGUAACUAUUAGGUGAAACUCCCUCAUAAUCUAGCAUCAUAUUCAUGCAUGAAAACUAAGCGUGCACUCUCAAUCAACAUACACAAAUAAGUUAUCAAUCAAGUAGAUGAACGAAUUGAAUCCGCAACUUAUGAAAUAACAACUGAAUGUAAUCAAAUCAUAUUGCAAGCAUGUACAUGGUUUCGAAUCACCCCCCAACUAAGGGGGUUUAGUUCCUCAUUCUUGCAAUACAAAGAUACAUAAAAUUAGACAUUAAAAUCAAAGGAAAGAAAACACCUAAAAUGCUCCAACUUGGAAAGCAAGUGCAUCAAUGGAUCUCCCUUCCUCCUUGUUGCGGCAUGAAGCUUGUGGACAGAUUUUUGGGUGGAUUUAUGGUGUAGAAUGGAUGGGGAAUGAUAUGGAGGGGUUUAGGGUGAGUGUGGAAGAGUGUUUGAUGGUUGGAAGGUGGUGGAGAACUAGGCAAAGAGGGUGGAAGAAGGUGGAGUGGCUGUUAUGUUUUCUAGGCACUAGAAUGGUGUUUUUGGGGUGUUUUGCUUCCUAGGGUGUGUAUGGACGAAUUUCUGUGAUAAAAUGAUGAAUAUGGGGGAUUAUCCUUUGGCCAAGGGGUGUAAACAUGUAUUUAUAGGCCCCAAAAACCUUAGAAAAUCAGGUUAGGUUAAGGAUGAAAUGCAUGGCAAUUUGUGUGUGUGGUGUGCAAUGGUCCAAGGGUGAAAAUGAAGUGAUGAUGCAAAGUGUGAAGGGUAAAAUGGAGUGGUCUUGAAGCUAGGGAGCAUGAAUGAUUGUGUACAUUGCAUAGAGAUGGAAAGGGAGGUGAAAAUGUGUCAAUAAAUGGGUCAAAGGUGCAGCAACAUGUGGUACACAAGGCAUGGGAUUCCAAAUGUGAAUGAUGGAGCAUCAAUUGGUGCAUGUAAUGGAUGUAAAUGUUGUCUAAAAUCUAAUGAGUGAAGGGAACAAGAGGUAUCAAGCAAUUGAGUGUAAUAAUUAAAUGAAUUGAAGCAUGAAAUUAGAAAUUAUGUAGGGGACAAGAGUGAUCAAGCAUGGCAUGGAAUCCAAAGGGAAUUCUAUGUGGUUUGCAUGGCAAGGAAUGCAAGUUGGGGUGACAGAUUUUUGGGCUGUUUUCUUCAUCUUUUGGACCAUAAUUCUUCAUAUUCUUGGCCUCUUUAGUUCUCAAAUUCGUCCAUCCACUUGGCCCAUGCAUUUGCUAUCCAUUCCAAGCCCGAAACAUGCUCCAAAGGCCUCCAAAAUGCAUCUUCUUGCAUACUUUGUACUUAGAGUCUGAAAACACACGAAAAUGACUUUAAACAUUAAAAUAACUAAGGAAACACGACAUAAAUGCACAAGAACAAGCCAACUAAGUCGCAUAAAUAUGCUCCUAUCAUGCAGCAUGUAAGAUGGCAUGUCCCCAUGUAGAAACUGGCAGCUUUGUUUUCAUAAGCAGAGUGGGAGCUAUUGAUUGAAGCCACUUGAUAAAUGCUUCUGCUAAACCAUUUUGAGUACAGGCAUGAAGAACAGGGUGAUCAACAUCAAUGCCUAAUGUCAUACAUUAAUCAUCAAAGAUUUAAGGCGUAAAUUUACCAGCGUUAUCAAGUCGGAUUGACUUAAUAAGGUAAUUUGGAAACUGUGCUCACAACUUAAUUAUCUGAGCAAGAAGUCUUGCAAAAGCUACAUUUCAAGUAGACAAGAGGCAAACAUGUGACCAUCGGGUAGAUGCAUCAACUCCACAAGGUGGUUAAAUAAGCCCACAAAUAUCCCCUUGAAUUCUUUGCAAAAAUGAUGGGGAUUCAGCAUCAACCUUUCAUUGUGAUGGUCUAAUAACAAACUUCCCUUGAGAGCAAGCACUGCAAUGGUUAUCAUUUAAGAUAGUAAUGUGUUUGCUCAGUAAUGGAUGUCCAUUAGAGCUGGUGAUGAUUCUACGCAUCAUGGUGGAUCCUGGAUGACCUAGACGGUCAUGCGAAAGCAUGUAAAUCUUUGGAUCAAUGAACUUCUGGUUCAUGACAAUAUGUGCUUCAAUUGUCUUUAUGUAUGUAUAAUACAAUCCACUCGAUAAACCACGCAAUUUCUCGAAUGUACGCUUCUGGGUAUCAUUAGAGGUAAUGCAUAGAUAUUCCACAUUUUUUGCACUUUUUGUUUCAAUGUGGUAUUCAUUUAAACGUAUGUCUUUAAAACUCAAAAAAUUUCAAGUAGAUUGAGUAGCAUACAAUGCAUUUUAUAUGGAUAAUAUCGUUCCAUUUGGUAACAUGAUCUAGGUUUUUCCUGAGCCUUCAAUUACAUCUGACUGGCCUGAUAUUAUUGUUACUUUUACUUUUGCAAGUAUCAAGUAUGAGAAAUAUUUUCGAUCUCGAAGUAUUGUAUAUGUGGUUGGCCUGUUUGCAAGACAGAUAUCUCCGCCAUUGAUCUUGUUUUGAGAAUAACCAUAGUUUUUCUCCAUGCUCUAUGAAUAAGGGAAUCAUUGUUAAAAGCAAUUUAUUCAUAAAAGGAAAUUGAAAUGCCACUUUUAUUGAAUUGAAUGCGAGUUUUGAACUAGAAGUUCAUAUAAUAAGAGUACAUCAAACAGAAAUGAUUCAAUCGAACCGAUACACUUCAUUCCCUCUUUCCAUAAUGAAAUCUAAGGUAUCCAGGUGGGUUGUGUUUAAUUGCCCUGAUAAAUCGAACAUUGGAUCAGGUAUAUCCAUUGGUUUAGCCUGAUCGAGAAAAUUAGUUUCGACACCCUUCUUCUUAAGGGAGGCUUGAUACAGGUCCACCAGAUGUUUUAGGGUACAACAAGUAUGCGCCCAUUGCCCAUCGCCACCAAAGUGUUAUUCAUAUGAGCUUUUCCAUUGUGGCAAUUAGCAUUUUUGAAGCUCGGGGCUGAAUUAUGCCUUGGACCCUGGUUGUAAAACUGGACACCAUGAUUCUUGCCUUUCCCGUUUCACCAGCUUCGCUUGUGACCACGUCCUCGUUUAUUGCCACGAGAGGAUGUGCUGUUCAUUUCAAGGGAAGCAGCAUUCACUUCUGUGAAUGGUGUCGAUCUAGUAGGUCGAGACUGAUAAUUUUUCAUCAGAAGCUCAUUGUUUUGUUCAGCCACAAGGAGCAUCGAUUCUGAUUGUACUCCGUAAAACUUCGCUCUCUAUAUUGCUACUACAGGAGAACUUUGGAGGCAUGAAAUGUGUUGAAAGUAUUUUCCAACAUAUCUUCCUCGGUGAUGGUCUCCCCACAAAGUUUCAUCUGGGAGCUAAUUCUGAACAUUGCAGAGUUGUACUCUGCAACCGACUUGAAAUCCUGGAUCCUCAAGUGUGUCCACUCAUAACGAGCCCUUAGAAGGAUCACUAUUUUCCGAUGAUUGUAUCUAUUUCUCAAUGCGUUCCAGAGGGCUAAUGGAUCUUUAACCGUUAAGUACUUGCUUUUCAGUCCUUCAUCAAGGUGGUGAUAGAUAAAGAUCAUGGCCUUCGCCCGAUCUUGAGAAGAUGCAUUGUUUUCCUCCUUAAUGGUUUCUCCAAGAUUCCCUGCCUCCAGAUGGAUCUUGGUAUCCACUACCUAGGUAGGUAGUUCUUCCUAGUAAUAUUAGGCAACAAAAUCAAGUUUUGUCAAGUUCGCAAUUUUCUUUUCUGAAAGAAAAAUGAGAUGUGUAAGAACUUGCAAUAAUAUGUAUUCUGGAGGAAUGUAGUGUUAGAACUUCUGGUUCUUACAAAAAAAAAAUUCAUUUUGAUUUUCAGGCCAAAAUGAUAAGCGCUUGAAACUUCAAGCUUGAGAUUUACAUGAUUAAUGAGGAGGGCGAUUGUAUUGCACCACUCUCAUUGAAACAAUAUAGCAUAGGAUGGGCAAUAUACUGCACCACUCAAGCAGCAUGAAAAUUUAAAUAUGCAGAGUAGAGUGGACGAUUAUACCGCACCAUCUAAAAUUGCAAUGAAAUUAAAUAGCAGGAAAAUUUAAAUAUGCAGAGCAGGGUGGACGAUUAUACCGCACUACCUAAAAUUGCAGUAAAAUUAAAUAUGCAGUUCAAGAUGGGUGAUGAAACCGCACCAUCUUUGAUCGCAGUAAAAUUAACAUAAAUAAAUAAUGGUUUAGUAAUCAAGAGCUACACCAAACAAGAAAUAAAAAAUAUAAGUAAUUGCUAUAUUGAGAACUAGGAGCAAGCAAGGUGCUAACAGAUCUUCGCGAGGGUACAUCAAACAAGUGAGGCAAAGGAGGAAGAAGAACAGUAAAAUCCUUGGAGGAAGCAUUUUUUUUUUUCUGCAAAGGGAAAUGAGAACUGGUUAGAGUUAGAGAGUCGUGCUGAUAACGUGUUAUAAAUAGGCAAAAGUUAGAGAGAUGACCUUUACUAGGGACAUGAACAAAGCAGGUGCAAAGUAUCACACUGUUUAGUUUCUUAACUAUAACACCAAAGGAUUGCAAGUAAAGAAAGGAGGGAAGGGAUACUGAUAUUAUUUAUUUCACUUCGUUCUUUGUUGUGUGUUUUGAUCACACAUGGAGUGCUCUUUAUAUAGAGCCACAUCCAUGAAUGUUUACAAGAAUGAAUGAUUGCCUUUUUUGGAGAAUUUCAUACAACCACAACAACACUAUUGGCAUGUGAAAAUAUAACUAUUAGCAUGUAGGCAUACAUUCCCACAAUUUACAAUAGAUGUGGAUAUUUAAUGACGGAAUUGAUUUUUAUUAAAUUAUAAUGUGUGAGUUGAAAGAAUAAUUUUUUUGCAUUGACUAAGAUGGAUAUAUGACCAUUAACUGUUGGAGAAUCCAUUGCCCGGUUGGUAUGGUUAUGGAUAAUUCCUGAUUAUUAAUUUGCGAUUAUAGAUAUGAUUAAUUUCUAUAGUUACGGGUAUGAAUAUGGCAUUUUAGUCCCCAAAUCAAACCUUUGCCACCCCCUACUACUACCAAAUACAGACCUACACAUUUUCAUAAAUAGUUCCGAAAUCAGUCCGAAACACCUAUUUCGUAAAAAUGUUGUGUGAUGUUUUUAAUUUGUGUACUCCAACUCCAAGGGGCUUUAAGUUCCUCAAUAGCUUCAGCAAAUAUACAUGCCAAUAAGGAGGAAAACACUCCAAAUCACAUAAAAAUACAUGUACAAGUAAUCAACACGCUAGCCGAAUAAACUCUAAAACGUCUUAACUCGUGUUUACAAGACUAUCAAGAAAUUAACGUGUGCAUCGGGCGCACCAAAGACCAUAACUUUACUUUUUUUUAAAAAAAAAUUUUAAUCACAAAUUCAGUGCCUCCAUGUUCAUAAAAUGUGUCAUACAUCCAACCCUGGUUCAGGGUACGAAACAUACUGUUUUGAAACUCUUAAUUGACUCAAAAUUGAAAAACCAAAUGCCGUGAUUCUAGGACAAAACUAAUCACCACAUCACAUCAGUUUUGGCAAAAGCUUAGGAACAACCUGCAUCUCGCAAUUGUUGCUUUAGGCUUUUAGGUGAACAAACAAGGCGGUGUAAAUGAGUUUCAAGACGCUACUACUUACACAUUUGUCGAUACAAGACCAGAAAUCAAAAUAUUGUCCAGUACAAUGCUUGUCUGCGCUAUCAUCAUCUUGGAUCCUCUUAACGCAUGCUUGUUGCAUGAAAUUGCCAUUUUCACACACCCUUUGCAAACUAAUUCAAAUUAUAGGGCCACAAAUUUCCGAGUAGGUCAACCAUUUUGGGAAAGACUUGUGUUUCCUUGUUCAUCUCUGGCAUGUAGCAGAGAAUGCACAAAAGGUAGAAAACCACAAAAUAAUUACAGUGAAGAGUUUGACAGUUAAUAUUCUAUAUUUUAUCUCUGGCUUGAUACAUUCCCUUUUAGCCAAAUGGCUGACGUGAUUGUUGGCAGAUGAUAAGUUUCCACUUGGGUAAUCGAUCUUUGAUUCUUUUAAUUUACGAUUUUUUUCAUUGAAAAACAAUGGCGGAGGCAGAAACUUUUUUAUGGGUGGGCAAGCUAAAAAAAUUACCCUAAAAGUAUUAUUAUUAUUAUUAUUUUGCUACAUACAUAUUGUAUGCAAAAAUUUAAGUUUAACUUCUAUAUUUGUAUACUUAAAAUUUACUUGGCAUAAACUCAACAAGCUUCACAUUUGCAAACUGCAAAAAUUACAUCAUCAAAUUUACAUAUAUUUAGAUGCAAACACAAGAAGAAGAUAAAAAGCUUGACAUCUCAAUUACAAUCACACAACUAGCACAAAUCAAAACAAUGAAAGUAGAUGUAAAAGCAAUCUUAAAAAAAUUGAUUGAAACUAAUAUAAAGCUUGCUGAAUGAAAACAGAAUAAUCUUGAACAAAACGGCAUCACAAUUUUCUUGAUAAGUUUUAUAUUUCUAGUUGUGCUAAAUACUCGCCGGGCUAGUUUCAUUAAAGAAUAAUUUUUUUGGCAGUUUUUUUUAUCUAUUAUAUUAGACUAACAACAACAACAAAGCCUUUUCCCACUAAGUGGGGUCGGCUAUAUGAAUCCUAGAAUGCCAUUGCGCUCGGUUUUGUGUACAACCCACCGUAGCCUUUGGUGUGGCUACGCCAUUGUUGAAAAAUGCUUUUUUUCCUGCAAAACACCACCGAUAGUGUGAAUAGUGGUAAACUUGCCACUCAAAAUAACCAUUAGUUUUUUUUUUUAUUUUUUUUUUUUAAUUUUUUUGAAAUUUUUAAUAUCCACUUGGGCCUAUAUUGACACGUGACGACCAAUUAUUGUCCAUGUGGAUGCCACAUCACCAGUUAAUGGCUGAAUUAACAGACAGCUGAACGGGUGUAUGAGACUAUCCCAAAAUUAAGACUUGAGGUAUAAUUCUGAGAUGAAAAAAACUUCACGUACCAAAUGUUGAAAACCACGAACUUUAGGGUAGUAAACUGAGAUUUCUAAAAUUAAAUACCCAUUAUGAAGUGAGCUUAUUUUGAGGGAAUUGGGAUGUGGUUGGCUGGCCCCAAUGCAUAUUCUCGGUCCAAACGUAAGUUGUAAACCAUUGCAAGGGUUACUAAACCAAAUAGUAGUAAUCACUUCUCUCAAUCGAGGCAUUCUCAUCUGAUUGUCGAUUUGCUUCACCUAUGUAUGUGACGUUGACGCAGCACGAGCGUAGAAUGAUUACAAACGUAAAUAUUCAAGAUCAAAGGUUUCUGGAAUUCAUCAAAGAUUGGGACAAAAUCAAAAGGUUGUUUGAUUAGUAAUUGAAAGAUGACAUUACAAUAAAAGCCAACGGCUUAAAUAACCUAUUCAAAAUGCCAUGGGGAUGUUAAUGGGGCUUAGGGAUUUGACGAACGAGUUUUGUUCAAUAUGCAAGUUCCUUAUUAAUUUGGCAGAAAUCUGGGACUGAAGUUUGAUUUGGGGAAGAAUUUUGAUUCACUCACGCCUCACCUGGUCACCCCCGCAUGCAACUCUUUUGCUAGCUGGAAAGAUUGAUGUUUUUUUUUUUUUUUUUUUUUUUUUUUUUCUAUAACUCUUUGCUUGAAUUUUUUAUGUGUUCAUUUCAAUUUCGAUGAGCUCUUGACAUUUUGUAUGAAUUCAGAUGACAUUCUAUUUAGUUGCAAGGAUGAAGGUAAAGGUUUAAUUCUUGGUUUUCUGGGUGAGCUGAGAAUUUGUGUUCAAUAUGAUUCGACACCAUUUUUGGUCUAAUUCUCGAUUUAUUAGAGCAGCAAUGACAUUUCAAGGCAUAGUCACACAACAAGCAGAAAAGAAAAAAAAUCAAAACCGAACUGAUUUCGAUUUCGAUUUCAAUUUUGGUUCGGUUUCGAUUUUGGCAAAAAACAAAACCGAUUUGAAUCGAAUCUUAGCCCGUAUUUGGACAGCCCAGAACCAGAAACCCAGCCCACUUCAUCUUAUUUUCAGCUAAUUGUUUUAAAAGCCCAAAUGAGCCUUAGACCGGUUUUAUCCAAGUGGGUUAAGCCCAACUUUCUUUUCUUUGGUUAUUUGCCCUGUGGGCCGUGCCUUGCAUGGACUGAGGACUGUGUUUGUGUGUGGUGUGUAUGUUAUGUCGUGCGUGUGUGGGUGUGUACGUGUACGUGUGUGUGUGUGUGUGUGGUGCACGUGUGUGUCUUGUGCUGUGUGUGCAUAUGUGUAUAUAGGUGUGUGCAUGCAUGUGUGUGUGUGGUGCACGUGUGUGUCUUGUGCUGUGUGUGCAUAUGUGUAUAUAGGUGUGUGCAUGCAUGUGUGUGUGUGUGCAGGCGUGAGUGUAUGUAUGUGUUGUGUGGGUUUGGGCUCAAGCCCAAACCACUCCCUUGGUUCCUAAACUACCAAAAUCCAAUAGGCCCUAACCUUAUUUAACCUAAAUCUAAACCUUAAUCCGGAUCCAAAACCAAGACCCAUUUCCAUUUCUUGAAAUUCUAUAGUUGGGUAGUUUGAUAAAUUGUACAUUUUUGUGUUUAGGUGAAGUUGCUAGUGAGGAUUUCCUUAAUCCUUUUCCGCACAACUCUGCUGCUACGGAGUAUCUGUGAGUGGACCCCUUCUAAAAUUUGCAUAAUUUUAUAGUUUAUUUGCAUAAAUGAAAUGCAUGCCUUACGAGUUUAUGAACUGAUUUUUAUGUUAAGCAUGUUUAUGAAAUAUGUUGUUUAUCGUCUCGUUUUUUUGUGAUGAAUUAAUUAUUAGCCUAUAUUGAGCUAUAGUUUGAUAUAUCGUAUUUUCUAUAAAAAUCAUGAACCGGUAGACUAUCUGAUGGAUGACGAUAGGAUGCUAGAACAUGUUUUAGAAACCUAUCUUUAUAGUAUAGACAAUUGAUGACUUUAUACUAUGAAGUGGUUAUUUAUGAGAGGCGUAAUUAUUUAUGCAUACCUAGUGGACACUAUGCCGCCUAGGGCGAUGAUCUAGUGUUGGCAGUUAGGCCGGGAGAAAUAAUCCCUAGCUAUGGGCUGAGGGACAUGGAGCAGGCAUUGGCCCGGGAGUUGGUAAUCUCUGGCUACGGGCGUAGAGACCAUGGUGCAGGCAUAGGGCUGGAAGUUAUAUUUAUUAAGUGAUCUUACUGGCAGCACACCGCGCUUACGAGACGAUUUGUGAGACGUUUGCUAUCUUGAUUUCCGCGAUAUGUCUUUUGAGAUGUUUUAUGGCAUGCUAGAGUUUCAAAAAACCUAUCACUUAUUAUGCUAGUAGUUUUUAUUGUAUAUAAACCUAGGGGCUAGUAUGUUCAUAACUGUUUUCGUAUUAUGCAUAUAUAUAUAUAUAUAUAUAUAUAUAUAUAUAUAUAAACUUGGUCCACUAACUCUUGUUUUGUACCCCCUUUCAGGAUUUAGAAUCGAGGCAUACAAUCCCAACAUCAACGCUUUCGCAUUGGCAUAUUCGAGUCCUCUCAGUGUAGGACCCACAUCCAUUUAUUUAUUAAAAUUUACAUUAAUUAUUUUAGAACUCUAGUUAGUUGUAUGCUCUGAACACGUUCCUAAAUUAUUAAUUGAUUGUAUUUUAAAUUCAUAACCCUUAUUUAUUUCUUAUUCUUAGUUUUUGUAUCAAUUAAUGGCUUUCGUCACCUUCGAGUGUCGGCCAGCACGUGUCUAUCCUGGUAUUCGGGGAAUAUCAGGGUCGGGGCAUGUCAUAAUUUCUUUCUUAUGGCUUAAAGGCCCCUCAUGUGACCGAUUUCUGGUUCUGCCACUAACUCAAAUCUUACACCAUUAUUGUAUGGCUUUCAUUUUAAUGUUUCCUUGAAAUACCGUGUUCGUCUAGUUAUUCUACUGAGACUUGAUAUCUUACAAUUUUGGAUUUGUCUCACAUGAAGAUGAACUUUGAAAGAAGACAGUUCGUAAUUUCAGAUUAUUGAAACAAAAUCUGGAGUGAACCCAUAAAUAAAAAUAACAAAUAAAAAAAAUAAUAAAACGCUGAACGUGAUCUUUUAGUUGGUUAAAAGUCAGUCAGCUAUGGCACAAUAUCAUCAUAUAUUACAUUAAAACUUUGUUAUUGAUAUCUAAACCAAGCAUCAUCUGACAAGCAACUAGAAGAAUGAUAUCAUGAGAUACAGCACAUAUGAUUUCUUUACUUCCACGAGUCACGAGUUAAACUAAGCUCUCCAAACCUAAAUUUAAUAAUAUAACAGAAAAUAUUAAUAAAUCGUCGUAAGUUUGCUGUUUAUGAUUUAUGGUGUCAUGCAAGCGUAAAUCUGACUUAACUUGUGGAAAUGAUUAUUUCCAUCUGGCUCAUUGGGUGGGAUGUUAACUAUGCUGGAUGCCAUUGAGAUAGAUGAUGCCCUCCUAGCAAACUGUGCGAGAUCACUGGAGACAGUGGUUUCGAUCCGUUGGGAUGAAGUUAGGCGUGUCCAAGAAACAAACCAAGAUUGGGUUGCCAAACUUAGAAAAAUGUGUACGUUGAAAGAUAGAGAUAGCUAUAUUUCCAUAUUCAUGCUGCUGGACUAGGAUUUCAGCGUACUCGACGGGUAGGAACUGGUUGAUCUGAAAUUGAUUCAUCUUAACACGAGUUGCUUAUUUUUGUGACAACAUAGUCGCAGCAGCCACCCAGAAUGAUGCUGAAGCUCUGGAGAAAGUACCAGAACUGCCUCUCUUUCCACCCAAUCAAAACCCAAGUCAUCAGAUCCGGCGAUCUCUGGGGCGUCGGCGACCUUUGACUGCCCGUGAAGCUCCAACAAUGGCGGCAUAUCUGGUCUUGACACUGCCAUCAGAGACUGGGUUCCAGCACGAGAUUGCUAACGAGCCCUCCAAUCACUUGUCUGCGACUCUUCGUCUGCAACGCCCCGACGCCAGGAAAUUCCGACACGCGUUACUAACGGGCCUUUAGACCAAACCCAAAAUUGAAUUCGCUCCUUCCUCCUGCUCAUUGAAUCUUCCGAGUCGAGUGCGGGACUAAGAACAACCCGAGAGAGAGGAGAGACGGUGAUGAUGAGUUGCAGGUUCGACGGGAAGGAUAAAAUUAAUAAUAAAAUAAAAUAUCUUUUUAUUAAUUUCUUUAUAAAAAAAUAAUUUUUAAUACCAAUACUUUGAGCAAUUUGUUUACGGGUGGCAAUUGUAAGGAUGACAAGGAUCGAGCUGCAUCAAUGAUGAAGAUGCUGACAUUUGUCAGUAGAUUAGGGGGUAAGAGCUGAGAGAUUUUUUAAUGUGACUGAUACACGGAGUGAUACACCAUGUGUCACUAUACAAAUGGUGGAAUAUAUAUGUUAAAAAGUUAAUAACUUAAAAAUUACAAUUUUCCACAAUUUAUAUAAAAACACGAAAUAUAAUGGUGUACCACUCGUAUUCCCGUCAUAAUGAAUAAUUUCUCGUAAGAGUUGUUAAGUUAGUUGUUUAUUUUUUUUAUAUUAUUAUGAAGUUAGUUGUGUUUGUUGAGAGAGGAGUAAGCACUGUAACUAGUAUAAAAGGCAAGAUUACAGUUGUAUUCAUAAUACAGUAAAAAUAUACAAUAAGCAUUUCUCAUUUUUCUCUCAAUAUUCUGCAAUCUCAUUCCCUCCAUUGAUAACCUUCAAGCUCAGAUCUCUGCAUUCUCACAGCAAUCACUAUUCACUAGGGCAAUACUUGUCUUUGCUCAAUUGUCUGGGCAAUUAUUGCCUUUGUGAGGUGGACUUUUGCUCAAACAUGCUCCAUUUACUGAUAAACUUGUACAAUAAGGCAAUAAUUGUCUUUGCCCAAUUGUAUGAUCUAAGUGCAAAAUAUUUUACAGGCCCAUACAAAGGGAGCAACAAUAAAGCAUUAUUUUAUUAGUUCCCAACGCGCACGUCCAUACAAACAGUAUAUUUCAGCAAGAAUAUGGAAUAGCUACGACUUUAAGAGGAUAUUUUUUAUGGACAGUCCCACCCGGGGAUUCGGUCAUGUCUAGGUCCUCACCUCUUGCCCCACCAGGCAAUGCCCAAUCAAACUUGUGCACUAAACUUGCCAAAACAAUCUCUGUAACAGCCGCAGCAAACUGAAUUCCGGGGCAACGCCGUCUGCCAGCCCCAAACGGAAUUAAUUCGUAGUCAGUCCCUUUAUAAUCUAUGUCAUUACUCAAGAACCUUUCCGGCUCGUACUCCUCUGGGUUGUUGUAUGACUUGGGAUCUCUUCCAAUCUGCCAUGCAUUCACAAUAACUUGCGCGUUGGCCUUAAUGUCGUAACCGCUUAUUUUAACAUCUUGGCUUGUCAUCCUGGGCACCAGUAGCGGAAGUGGAGGAUGUAAGCGAAGAGUCUCCUUAAUCACGGCCUUCAGGUAGUGCAUUCCGACUAAAUCAUCCUCUGUUAAGUUUGUUUUGUUGCCGACUAUUCCCCGUACCUCGUUCUGCAAUUUUUUCAUCACUCUGGGAUGCCUUAAAAGCUCAGACAUUGUCCACUCUAGGGCUGUAGAUAUCGUAUCAGUGCCAGCCGUAAACAGAUCCUGCAAGGUUAUUCAUUAACUUAAUUAUCCUAAACAACAUAUAUUGAUUGCUUAUUCGUUAUCAUUUGGUAGAACUAGUUCAAAAAAAUUUCGACCAUAAAAUCAAUUUUUAGUGCUUUAGGUCGCGCACACAGCAGUAAGAGAGAAUGUUCGCUACCAUGGUAAUAGCUUUGAUGCAAACUCGAUCAAUAGGAAUGGCAAGCACGUUUUCUUUCUGAAGGGAAAGCAAAACGUCCACAAGAUCCUUUUCGUCCUCGUUCCUGACAUGAUCGCCAUCCAUAUGCUCUUGAACAACGGUCUCUAAGAAGUCAUCAUAUCGUUUAGCGAGAUCGUCUUGUUUGGCAUCCAAACCAUUGAGACGUGAGAACCAAGAAAGCCAUGGGAUAUAGUCACCAAUAUUGAUGCGUGACAUGAUCUCAGUGAACUCCACGGAAAGCCCCUUAAACAUCUUCCCAUUUUCGCCACCAUCGUUGUACUUGGUCCCGACUGUAAUUCUACAGAUAACAUCAUUAGUAAGUGUCAGAAAGAUAUCGCUUAAAUUAAAAACUGACGAUGUAGUUGAUGUCGAUUGCUUCAUGAUGUUGUUGAUCAUGGAUUUGACUUCCUCUUCUCUCACAGCGCGAAAAGAGCGAACCUUUUUGCUGCUCAGAAGAUUUAACACACAUAUGCUCUUGACCUGCCUCCAGUACUCGCCAUAUGGCGCCGAUGCCACGUCUUUGAAGUCGUAGAGCAAUUUCUUAAAGAAGGUGAUCUUGGGUCUGUCGGAGAAUGUGAUGUCAUGGGUCUUCAUGACCUCGGAGGCAGCCUUAGCCGACGAGACCACGAGGACUGGCAUGCUUCCGAAAUGGAGCAUCAUGAGAGACCCGUGGCGUUGAGCUAAAGCUCGAAGUGAGCGAUGAGGGUACAACCCUAGUUGGUGAAGGUUUCCGAUGACAGGCAACUUUCGCGGAGAAGGUGGCGAUGAGUUUGGGGUGGAGGUGAAUGACCAUUUGUAUAUGAGGAUGAGGAAAAUGGCCACCAGCAAGAAAUAUUUGAAGGAAAAU
rnacentral:lncRNA from 1 species